UAAUACAUCACACAUAUUAUUGAGACCAACUAGCAACAUAGAAAGCACAAUAGUGUACCAACAAUGGCAGCCAAAAUAUUUUGCUUCCUUAUGCUCCUUGGUCUUUCUGCAAGUGCUGCUACCGCAACCAUUUUCCCACAAUGCUCACAAGCUCCUAUAGCUUCCUUUCUUCCCCCAUACCUCUCACCAGCGGUGUCUUCAGUAUGUGAAAACCCAAUUCUUCAACCCUACAGGAUCCAACAGGCAAUCGCAGCAGGCAUCUUACCUUUAUCACCCUUGUUCCUCCAACAACCGUCAGCCCUAUUACAGCAGUUACCUUUGGUGCAUUUGUUGGCACAAAACAUCAAGGCACAACAACUACAACAACUUGUGCUAGGAAACCUUGCUGCCUACUCUCAGCAACAGCAGUUUCUUCCAUUCAACCAACUGGCUGCAUUGAACUCUGCUGCUUAUUUGCAACAACAACUACCAUUCAGUCAGCUAGCUGCUGCCUACCCCCAGCAAUUUCUUCCAUUCAACCAACUGGCAGCAUUGAACUCUGCUGCUUAUUUACAACAGCAACAGCUACCACCAUUCAGCCAGCUAGCUGAUGUGAGCCCUGUUGCCUUCUUGACACAACAACAGUUGUUGCCGUUCUACCUGCACGCUGCGCCUAACGCUGGCACCCUCUUACAACUGCAACAAUUGCUGCCAUUCAACCAACUUGCUUUGACAAACCCAACAACGUUCUACCAACAACCCAUCAUUGGCGGUGCCCUCUUUUAGAUUGCUUAUGAGUUAUAGUUCAAUAAUGAAGUUUUUUGGAUGAUGUUUGUGGCUUCCCAGAAAUAAGAAAGUACAUUUCUAGAUUCUUAUGUGCUUCUAGCCUCCAAAUGUGGUUGAUAGUUAUUUUGCUCUAAGAUCGGGAGUAAUGAGGUAUAAAUCAUCGUUGUGGUGUGCUACUCGGUUAAUUAAGCAUUAACACACACAAACAUGACGAGGAUGGUAUGACCUCCAGGGCCAGUAACACGCCGGCACCAGCAAGAUAUCGUGUGAUGGUUAUUGGCGCGUGUUGUUUGUUCGACCCAUUGCUGCAACGCAGACCGCCGCUAACUACCAUCUCCAAGAGACUCCUUCAAUUAAGUCCUAAAAAUCAAAAUAGGACAUGGUUUAAAUUAUUUAAAACCCACCAAUUCGUUUUACUCCAACCGUGAGUCUGAGAGCACCUAGAGGGGGGGGGUCGAAUAGGUGAUCCUGUAAAACUUGAAAUUUAACUCACAAAACUUGAUUAGGAGUUAGCACAAAUAAUGCCAAGUGGCUAGAGAGGAGUCUCAACAAAACACAAUAACCACAAGAGAUCAAUCACAGAGAUGGCACAGUGGUUUAUCCCGUGGUUCGGCCAAGACCAACGCUUGCCUACUCCACGUUGUGGCGUCCCAACGGACGAGGGUUGCAAUCAACCCCUCUCAAGCGGUCCAAAGACCCACUUGAAUACCACGGUGUUUUGCUUGCUUUACUAUAUCCCGUUUGCGAGGAAUCUCCACACUUUGGAGCCUCUCGCCCUUACACUUAGAUGAUCACAAAGAAGCACAGAGUAAGGGAGGGAUAAGCAACUCACUCAAGACAAGAAAUCACAGCAACACCACGCACACAAGUCGCAACAAGAGCUCACAACACAACUCAAUGAGUUCACAACUCAACUAGAGCUCUAACUGCUAUCGCAAGGAAUCAAAAGCGCGGAAUCGAUGUCUUAGUGCUUAGGAAUGCUUAGAGAAUGCUUGGUGUAGUCCUCCAUGCGCCUAGGGGUCCCUUUUAUAGCCCCAAGGCAGCUAGGAGCCGUUGAGAGCAAUCCGGGAAGGCAAUUCUUGCCUUCUGUCGCCUGGCGCACCGGACAGUCCGGUGCACCACCGGACACUGUCCGGUGCGGAUUUCCUUCCUUAUUUGGCGAAGCCGACCGUUGGCAGCCUUGGAGCCGUUGGCGCACCGGACACUGUCCGGUGCACACCGGACAGUCUGGUGCCCCCUCCCGACCGUUGGCUCGGCCACGUGUCUCGCGCAGCCGACCGUUGGCCCGGCCGACCGUUGGCUCACCGGACAGUCCGGUGCACACCGGACAGUCCGAUGAAUUAUAGUCGUACGUCGUUAAUUUAUUCCCGAGAGUGACAAGUUCGCCUGUGCCAGCCUGGCACACCGGACACUGUCCGGUGCACCACCGGACAGUCUGGUGCACCCAGACAGAGCUGGCUUUGGCUGAACAAGGCUAUCUCUUUUCCAAUUCGAUUUCUCCUGUUUCCAGCACUUAGACACAAUAAAUUAGUCACUAAAACAAUGUACUAAGUCUAAGAAACAUACCUUUAUACUUGAUUUGUACUUUGUCCACCAUUUGACACUUAGGCACUUGUGUUGGACACUAGAUCACCAAAACACUUAGAAAUGGCCCAAGGGCACAUUUCCCUUUCAAUCUCCCCCUUUUUGGUGAUUAAUGCCAACACAACAUAAGGCAAGUAGAACAAGUACGAAAUCAAUUCAAAUAAGAACUCAAAUUUGUUUUGAAUCAAAUUUGGCAUAUAUGGAUCAUUCUUUGCCACCACUUGGUUUGUUUUUGCAAAUCAACCUCAAAUUCCUAUCUCUAAGUCAAAAACACUUGUUGAGACAUAACAAGAGUUGUUCCAAGAGAAAUUGAUCAGAGAUUUCAAAAACUCCCCCUUUUUCCCAUAAUUAAGCCUUCUCCCCACAAGAGACCAACUUUUGACAAUAAGAGGCAAACAAGAGUAUUUUGACAAACAAAAACUCUAACUCUAUUUUUUUAAAAUUCUCAAGUGGUAGCUGAUCUAUUUAUUGCUUUGGCCUUAUUUUCUCCCCCUUUGGCAUCAAGCACCAAAACGAGAUCAAUCUUGGCCCUCGAACCCCAUUGCCUCACCAAAAUCUUCAACUAAGAGUUAAAAAAAGGCAAUAAGAGUACAAAGAUGAACUUGGAAUAAGUUACUCGUUCAUCGGAGUGCAGUGGAAGUCUUGCAUAGUCCAAGUCCACCUUUUCCCUUUCAAUCCUCCUUUGAGACUAAAAUAAGCAAACUCACGCACAUGGUUAGUCUCAAAGGGUCAAGUUGUAGCACAUCUCCCCCUAAAUUUGUGCAUCACUUGCAAAUGAACUUGUAAGGUCCGGGGAGUGCUUGUACAACUUGAGCACCAUAAGUAAACAACAAAAUGCAUAAGGAACAUGAUCAAAGGCAUAAACACAUGUAUGCUAUAAAUCAAUCCAAGUUCCGCGAAUCUAAGACAUUUAGCUCACUACGCAACUUGCAAAAUGUCUGCUCAUCUAAAGGCUUGGUAAAGAUAUCGGCUAGCUGGUUCUCAGAGCUAACAUGAAACACUUCGAUAUCUCCCUUUUGCUGGUGGUCUCUCAAAAAGUGAUGCCAGAUGUCUAUGUGCUUUGUGCGGCUGUGUUCAACAGGAUUAUCCGCCAUGCGGAUAGCACUCUCAUUAUCACAUAGGAGUGGGACUUUGCUCAGAUUGUAGCCAAAGUCCCUGAGGGUUUGCCUCAUCCAAAGUAGUUGUGCGCAGCACUGUCCUGCAGCAACGUACUCGGCCUCAGCGGUGGAUAGGGCAACAGAGGUUUGUUUCUUAGAACUCCAUGACACCAGGGACCUUCCUAAGAAUUGGCACAUCCCCGAUGUACUCUUCCUAUCGACCUUACAUCCAGCAUAGUCGGAGUCUGAAUAUCCAAUCAAGUCAAAGGUAGACCCCUUUGGAUACCAAAUCCUGAAACAAGGUGUAGCGACUAAAUAUCUAAGAAUUCGCUUCACAGCCACUAAGUGACACUCCUUAGGAUCGGAUUGAAAUCUAGCACACAUGCAUACACUAAGCAUAAUAUUCGGUCUACUAGCACAUAAAUAAAGUAAAGACCCUAUCAUAGACCGGUAUGCCUUUUGAUCAACGAACUCACCUCCUUUGUUGAGGUCGGUGUGUCCGUCGGUUCCCAUUGGAGUCUUUGCGGGCUUGGCGUCCUUCAUCCCAAACCGCUUGAUCAAGUCUUGCUUGUACUUGGUUUGAGAGAUGAAGGUUCCAUCCUUGAGUUGCCUCACUUGGAAGCCAAGGAAGUAGAUUAACUCGCCCAUCAUCGACAUCUCGAAUUUCUGAGUCAUCACCCUGCUAAACUCUUCACAAGACUUUUGGUUAGUAGAACCAAAUAAUAUGUCAUCGACAUAAAUUUGGCACACAAAGAGAUCACCAUCACAAGUCUUAGUAAAAAGAGUUGGAUCGGCUUUCCCAACCUUGAAAGCAUUAGCAAUUAAAAAGUCUCUAAGGCAUUCAUACCAUGCUCUUGGGGCUUGCUUAAGUCCAUAGAGCGCCUUAGAGAGCUUACACACGUGGUCGGGGUACCGUUCAUCCUCGAAGCCAGGGGGUUGCUCCACGUACACCUCCUCCUUGAUUGGCCCGUUGAGGAAAGCACUCUUCACAUCCAUUUGGAACAACCUGAAAGAAUGGUGAGCGGCAUAUACUAGCAAAAUGCGAAUGGACUCUAGCCUAGCCACAGGAGCAAAAGUCUCCUCAAAGUCCAAACCUGCGACUUGGGCAUAACCUUUUGCCACAAGUCGUGCCUUGUUCCUUGUCACCACCCCGUGCUCGUCUUGUUUGUUGCGGAACACCCACUUGGUUCCCACAACAUUUUUCUUGGGACGAGGCACCAGUGUCCAAACUUCAUUUCUUUUGAAGUUGUUGAGCUCCUCCUACAUGGCCAACACCCAGUCCGGAUCUAGCAAGGCCUCUUCUACCCUGAAAGGCUCAAUAGAAGAGACAAAGGAGUAAUGCUCACAAAAAAUUAACUAAUCGAGAUCGAGUAGUUACUCCCUUGCUAAUAUCACCCAAAAUUUGGUCGACGGGAUGAUCCCUUUGAAUCAUCGCUCGAACUUGGGUUGGAGGUGCCGGUUGCGCUUCUUCCUCCAUUGCAAGAUCAUCUUGUGCUCCCCCUUGAUCACACGCCUCCUGCUCAUCAUCUUGAGUUGGGGGAUGCACCAUUGUUGAGGAAGAAGGUUGAUCUCGUUCAUCUUGUUCCUGUGGCCGCACAUCUCCAAUCGCCAUGGUGCGUAUUGCGGCCGUUGGAACUUCUUCUUCAUCUACAUCAUCAAAAUCAACAACUUGCUCUCUUGGAGAGCCAUUAGUCUCAUCAAAUACAACGUCGCUAGAGACUUCAACCAAACCCGAUGAUUUGUUGAAGACUCUAUACGCCUUUGUAUUUGAGUCAUAACCUAACAAAAAUCCUUCUACAGCUUUGGGAGCAAAUUUGGAAUUCCUACCCUUCUUCACUAGAAUGUAGCAUUUACUCCCAAAAACUCGAAAAUACGAAACAUUGGGUUUGUUACCGGUUAGUAGCUCAUAUGACGUCUUCUUGAGGAGGCGAUGAAGGUAGACCCUGUUGAUGGCGUGGCAAGCCGUGUUCACAGCUUUCGACCAAAAGCGCUCGGGGGUCUUAAACUCUCCAAGCAUCGUCCUCACCAUGUCUAUAAGCGUCUUGUUCUUCCUCUCUACCACACCAUUUUGCUGUGGUGUGUAGGGAGCGGAGAACCCAUGCUUGAUCCCUUCCUCCUCAAGGUACUCCUCCACUUGAAGGUUCUUGAACUCGGACCCAUUGUCGCUCCUUAUCUUUUUCACCUUGAGCUUAAACUCGUUUUGAGCUCUCCUUAGGAAGCGCUUGAGGGUCCCUUGGGUUUCAGAUUUAUCCUGCAAAAAGAAUACCCAAGUGAAGCGGGAAAAGUCAUCAACUAUAACAAGACCAUACUUACUUCCUCCUAUACUUAGAUAAGCGACGGGUCCAAAGAGGUCCAUGUGAAGCAUCUCCAAAGGUCUUGAUGUGGUCAUCACAUUUUUGGUGUGAUGAGAGCUUCCCACCUGUUUGCCUGCUUGACAAGCUGCACAAGGUCUAUCUUUUUCGAAUUGUACAUUAGUUAAACCUAUCACGUGUUCUCCCUUUAGAAGCUUGUGAAGGUUCUUCAUCCCCACAUGUGCUAAGCGGCGAUGCCACAGCCAGCCCAUGCUAGUCUUAGCAAUUAAGCAUGCAUCUAGACCGGCCUCCUCUUUUGCAAAAUCAACUAAGUAAAGUUUGUCGUCUAAUACACCCUUAAAAGCUAGUGAACCAUCACUUCUUCUAAAGACAGACACAUCUACAUUUGUGAAUAGACAAUUAUAUCCCAUAUUGCAUAAUUGACUAACAGAUAACAAAUUAUAUCCAAGAGACUCAACUAAAAACACAUUAGAUAUAGAGUGCUCGGAUGAAAUAGCAAUUUUACCUAACCCUUUUACCUUGCCUUGAUUCCCAUCACCGAAUAUUAUUGAAUCUUGGGAAUCCUUGUUUUUGACGUAGGAGGUGAACAUCUUUUUCUCCCCCGUCAUAUGGUUUGUGCAUCCGUUGUCGAUAAUCCAGCUUGAACCCCCGGAUGCAUAAACCUGCAUGGCAAAUUUAGGCUUGGGUCUUAGGUACCCAACUCAUGUUGGGUCCUACAAGGUUAGCACAAAUAUCCUUAGGGACCCAAAUGCAAGUUUUGUCUCCCUUGCAUUUUGCCCCUAAUUUUCUAGCAACUAUCUUCCUAUCCUUUCUACAAAUAGCAAAGGAAGCAUUUAAAGCAUGAUAUAUUGUAGAGGGUUCAUUAACUUUCCUAGGAACAUUAACAACAUUUCUCCUAGACAUAUGAACAAAAUAUCUCCUAGACAUAUCUCUACCAUGCAUAUAGGAAGAACUAGAAGCAAACAUGGCAUGAGAGUUAAAAGCAUCAUAAGCAUUACAACUCCUAUAAGACUGUCUUCUAUCAUGGUACAUAAAAGCAUGGUUCGUUUUAGCACUAUUUGCCAUAGGGGCCUUCCCUUUCUCCAUGAUGGAGAUGGGUGCCUUAUGGCUCGUUAAGUCCUUGGCUUCCCUCUUGAAGCCAAGUCCAUCCUUAAUUGAGGGGUGUCUACCAAUCAUGUAGGCAUCCCUUGCAAAUUUUAGUUUAUCAAAAUCACUCUUGCUAGUCUUAAGUUGGGCAUUAAGACUAGCCAAUUCAUCAUUCAGUUUGGAAAUUGAAACUAGGUGUUCACUACAAGCAUCAAUGUCAAAAUCUUUACACCUAUUGCAAAUCAUAACAUGUUCUACACAAGAGUUAGAUUUACUAGCUAUUUCUAACUUAGCAUUCAAACCAUCAUUUAUGCUCCUUAAGCUAGAAAUUGUCUCAUGGCAAGAAGAUAGUUCACAAGAAAGCAUUUCAUUUCUUUUAACUUCUAAAGCAUGAGAUUUUUGUGCCUCUACAAAUUUGUCAUGCUCUUCAUAUAAAAGGUCCUCUUGUUUUUCUAAAAGUCUAUCCUUUUCAUUCAAGGCAUCAAUCAAUUCAUUAAUCUUAUCUACUUUAGUUCUAUCCAAUCCCUUGAACAAACUAGAGUAAUCUAUUUCUUCAUCACUAGACUCAUCAUCACUAGAAGAAUCAUAAGUGGCAUUGUUUCGAUUACAUACCUUCUUCUCCUUCGCCAUGAGGCAUGUAUGACGCUCGUUGGGGAAGAGGGAUGACUUGUUGAAGGCGGUGGCGGCGAGUCCUUCAUUGUCGGAGUCGAAUGACGAACAAUCCGAGUCCCACUCCUUGCCAAGGUGUGCCUCGCCCUUAGCCUUUUUAUAUGCCUUCUUCUUCUCCCUCUUAUUCCCCUGUUCCUGGUCAGUAUCAUUAUUGGGGCAGUUAGCGAUAAAAUGACCAAUCUUACCACACUUGAAGCAUGAGCGCUUCCCCUUUGUCUUGGUCUUGCUUGGCUGCCCCUUGUGACCCUUUAGCGCUGUCUUGAAGCGCUUGAUGAUGAGAGCCAUCUCUUCAUCAUUUAGCCCUGCCGCCUCAACUUGUGCCACCUUGAUAGGUAGCGCCUCUUUGCUUCUUGUUGCCUUGAGAGCAAAGGGUUGAUGCUCAUUGAUUGGACCAUUCAAUGCGUCGUCCACGUAUCUCGCCUCCUUGAUCAUCAUUCGCCCGCUCACGAAUUUCCCAAGAACUUCCUCGGGCGACAUCUUGGUGUACCUAGGAUUUUCACGAAUAUUGUUCACCAGAUGUGGAUCAAGUACAGUAAAGGACCUUAGCAUUAGGCGAACGACGUCGUGGUCCGUCCAUCGCGUGCUUCCGUAGCUCCUUAUUUUGUUGAUGAGGGUCUUGAGCCGGUUGUAUGUUUGGGUUGGCUCCUCGCCCCUUAUCAUUGCAAAUCUCCCGAGCUCGCCCUCUACCAACUCCAUCUUGGUGAGCAAGGUGACGUCAUUCCCCUCAUGAGAGAUCUUGAGGGUGUCCCAGAUCUGCUUGGCAUUGUCCAAGCCGCUCACCUUAUGGUACUCGUCCCUGCACAAAGAGGCUAACAACACAGUAGUAGCUUGUGCAUUCUUAUGAAUCUGUUCAUUAAUGAAUAUAGGACUAUCCGAGCUAUCAAAUUUCAUUCCAUUCUCAACAAUCUCCCAUAUACUUGGAUGGAGAGAGAACAGAUGACUACGCAUUUUGUGACUCCAAAAUCCGUAGUCCUCCACAUCAAAGUGUGGAGGUUUGCCAAGAGGGAUGGAAAGCAAAUGUGCAUUUGAGCUAUGCGGAAUACGGGAGUAAUCGAAAGAAAAGUUCGAAUUAACCGUCUUUCGUUUGUCGUAGUCGUUGUCGUCGUUGUCCUUUUGGGAAGAAGUGGACUCAUCGCUGUCGUCGUAGUAGACAAUCUCCUUGAUGCGUCUUGUCUUCUUCUUCUUCCCAUCUUUGCAUUUGUGGCCCGAGCCCGAGUCGGUAGGCUUGUCAUCCUUGGGCUCAUUGACGAAGGACUCCUUCUCCUUAUCAUUGAUCACAAUCCCCUUGCCCUUAGGAUCCAUCUCUUCGGGCGGUUAGUCCUUUUCUUGAAGAGAACGGCUCCGAUACCAAUUGAGAGCACCUAGAGGGGGGUGAAUAGGUGAUCCUAUAAAACUUGAAAUUUAACUCACAAAACUUGAUUAGGAGUUAGCACAAAUAAUGCCAAGUGGCUAGAGAGGAGUCUCAACAAAACAUAAUAACCACAAGAGAUCAAUCACAGAGAUGGCACAGUGGUUUAUCCCGUGGUUCGGCCAAGACCAACGCUUGCCUACUCCACAUUGUGGCGUCCCAACGGACGAGGGUUGCAAUCAACCCCUCUCAAGCGGUCCAAAGACCCACUUGAAUACCACGGUGUUUUGCUUGCUUUACUAUAUCCCGUUUGCGAGGAAUCUCCACACUUUGGAGCCUCUCGCCCUUACACUUAGAUGAUCACAAAGAAGCACGAAGUAAGGGAAGGAUAAGCAACACACUCAAGACAAGAAAUCACAGCAACACCACGCACACAAGUCGCAACAAGAGCUCACAACACAACUCAAUGAGUUCACAACUCAACUAGAGCUCUAACUGCUAUCGCAAGGAAUCAAAAGCGCGGAAUCGAUGUCUUAGUGCUUAGGAAUGCUUAGAGAAUGCUUGGUGUAGUCCUCCAUGUGCCUAGGGGUCCCUUUUAUAGCCCCAAGGCAGCUAGGAGCCAUUGAGAGCAAUCCGGGAAGGCAAUUCUUGCCUUCUGUCGCCUGGCGCACCGGACAGUCCGGUGCACCACCGGACACUGUCCGGUGCGGAUUUCCUUCCUUAUUUGGCGAAGCCGACCGUUGGCAGCCUUGGAGCCGUUGGCGCACCGGACACUGUCCGGUGCACACCGGACAGUCCGGUGCCCCCUCCCGACCGUUGGCUCAGCCACGUGUCUCGCGCAGAUCGCGCAGCCGACCGUUGGCCCGGUUGACCGUUGGCUCACCGAACAGUCCGAUGAAUUAUAGUCGUACGCCGUUAAUUUAUUCCCAAGAGCGGCAAGUUCGCCUGUGCCAGCCUGGCACACCGGACACAGUCGGGUGCACCCAGACAGAGCUGACUUUGGCUGAACAAGGCCAUCUCUUUUCCAAUUCGAUUUCUCCUGUUUCCAGCACUAAGACACAAUACAUUAGUCACUAAAACAAUGUACUAAGUCUGAGAAACAUACCUUUAUACUUGAUUUGUACUUUGUCCACCAUUUGACACUUAGGCACUUGUGUUGGACACUAGAUCACCAAAACACUUAGAAAUGGCCCAACAACACAUUUCCCUUUCAGAGUCAUAUAAUCAUGUUACUUAGUUAAUUCUUCGCUUCACCGCAACAAUGUCGUCGUCGCUCUAUCAUCGUCCAUGUUCGGUCAGGUGAGGUGAGGUGAGGUGUAGUCUCUAAUAUACUUAAAGCACCAGUUUCAACGGUCGUCCUACGCCAUCUUUUUACAAAAAGUCCCUACAUUUCUUUUAAAUCAAUUCAGCGUAAAAUGUUAAAAAGCGGCGCCAGAGACAAUCUUUCACAUGAUCAUGUUGUCCUGCAGAUGGAGUAGUAGGCCUUCACGUGAUCAUGUUGUCCGAUAGAUAGGGUAGCGGGCCAGCGGUUGUUGGUUACUCUCCACCAACAAGAGAGAUAGGAAUCUAUUAGAAGCCAGAGCUCCAGCUUGCUAGUUCGAUUUGAUGGCAGCAACUAACAAGACAAUGACGCUCAGCAUGAUAUGAAGAUUGCCAUCGAUAGGAAGGAUCAUCACCUGCUGUUCGCGGAGGCGAGAAAGGAUGUGGUCGACUUCUUCUCCCUACUCGUCCUACUCGUCGGCGCGACCGUCAAACUGCUGGGGAAUAAGGGCAUGGCCGACAACACCUGACCAUUGAUCUCACAUGCCAUUUUAGCUCUCUCAUUCUCUAGUCUCACCCUGACUAUUUAGGUCUCCUGACUCGCUAAUAUAAACACCAUCCUAUCAUUUGAUCUCGAAUACUUCUUUGUCACAACUCAACUGUCAGAUGAGUACUCCAUUACAACACUUACGUACAAGAGUUCUAUGAGAGCAGGCCUCCGAAAUGAAUGUCGACUAAGUGUUUAUCUACUCAGAUGAAGGACGACAAUCGUGUUCUUCGAAAAUAUCAGCGACAUAACUCCUUACUUCCUCCGCUUCUUUCUAGUGUUUUUUGUUGUGAUUGAGUCGACACAACAACAACAUUGCACUAUUACAACCAGUACGACUAUAUCAACUAACAAUGUCUUCCUUAUAUGUUACUAUUUAUUUUGCUCAUAUUCAUUAUGUUUAAAUCACAUGUGCACCUUUCUAUUGACAUCAAAAAAAUAGUAUCAACUUUCUAGAUUAAAAUGCAACUAAAAGUACCUAAAUUUCUAUCGGUGGGGAUUGAGUGAUUCUUUAAACCGAUUAUUACAUAAGUUAACCACACUAAAAUUAACAUUGGUGAAUUGUGCCAUGAUUUUUUUCUAGUGCAAAAUAGCCAAACCAAGCAACACAUAUGUGGCUAUCGUUACACAUGUGUAAAGGUAUUGCAUCACACCAUUGUCACCCAUGUAUUUGGACAAUACCGAGAGGAAAACCCACUUAUUUAUUGUAUUUUAUCAAGUUUGUCUUGCUUACGUAUAAAUUAUAACCCAACAAAGUAGUCACUAAAUGUCAAAACCAACUAGAUACCAUGUCAUCUCUACCUUAUCUUACUAAUGUUCUUUUUGCAAAAUCCAAAAUUAAUCUUGCACAAGCACAAGGACUGAUAUGUGUAUAAAUAUCUCUUAGAUUAGUAGUUAAUACAUCGCACAUAUUAUUGAGACCAACUAGCAACAUAGAAAGCACAAUAGUGUACCAACAAUGGCAGCCAAAAUAUUUUGCUUCCUUAUGCUCCUUGGUCUUUCUGCAAGUGUUGCUACCGCAACCAUUUUCCCACAAUGCUCACAAGCUCCUAUAGCUUCCCUUCUUCCCCCAUACCUCUCACCAGCGGUGUCUUCAAUGUGUGAAAACCCAAUUGUUCAACCCUACAGGAUCCAACAGGCAAUCGCAACAGGCAUCUUACCAUUAUCACCCUUGUUCCUCCAACAACCGUCAGCCCUAUUACAGCAGUUACCUUUGGUCCAUUUGGUGGCACAAAACAUCAGGGCACAACAACUACAACAACUUGUGCUAGCAAACCUUGCUGCAUACUCUCAGCAACAUCAGUUUCUUCCAUUCAACCAACUGGCUGCAUUGAACUCUGCUGCUUAUUUGCAACAACAAUUACCAUUCAGCCAGCUAGUUGCUGCCUACCCCCAGCAAUUUCUUCCAUUCAACCAACUAGCAGCAUUGAACUCUGCUGCUUAUUUACAGCAGCAACAACUACUACCAUUCAGCCAGCUAGCUGAUGUGAGCCCUGCUGCCUUCUUGACACAACAACAGUUGUUGCCGUUCUACCUGCACGCUAUGCCUAACGCUGGCACCCUCUUACAACUGCAACAAUUGCUGCCAUUCAACCAACUUGCUUUGACAAACUCAACAGUGUUCUACCAACAACCCAUCAUUGGUGGUGCCCUCUUUUAGAUUGCUUAUGAGUUAUAGUUCAAUAAUGAAGUUUUUUGGAUGAUGUUUGUGGCGUCCCAGAAAUAAGAAAGUACAUUUCUAGAUUCUUAUGUGCUUCUAGUCUCCAAAUGUGGUCGAUAGUUAUUUUGCUCUAAGAUCGGGAGUAAUGAGGUAUAAAUCAUCGUUGUGGUGUGCUACUCGGUUAAUUAAGCAUUAACACACACAAACAUGACGAGGAUGGUAUAAUCUCCAAAAAUAUGUACUUUGUUAGGUGGGACCCUAUAGCCAUGCAGAAUGUGCUAUGUUAGGCUUGCCGAUGGAAACGUGUGACGCAUACGUUUUGUGAACCUGUUGAUAUUAUAUGUGCUUUUAUAUUAUCAUAUUUUAUUAAAAUAUUAAUAUUUAUUACUAGUAAGAUAUAACAUUCUAUCUAACUUAAAACUUACCAUAAAUAUUCCAUCAUAACUAGAUUUACCAAACUAAUAAACUAAAUAUACAUAAUAAAUACAAAAUUAACAAGACAUUAAUCAAUAUUUACGAGCUUAAUAAAUUUAAACAUUAUGGUUUGUCGACGAUAAUCAUACUAACUUUCUGUAAUUGCUUGAUUGUAAAUAUGCUUAGACUAAUGCCUCUUUGUUCUACAUGGCAAAUAGGGACCGCUCUAGAAGACUAGGAUGUCCCUUGAGACGAAAAUGUUAUCAUUGGUGUAGACUAAUUUCUAUCGGUCGCUGACUUCACUAUUGUAACCAUUAUCUCUUGGGUAAAUCAUAUACGAUUAUCCAGCCAAAGGGCCCAGAUGAUAAAAAACAAUUUUAAUUGCUAUUUCAGGACAAAUGAAUUAGCAUGGUUCGAAGGAUUAUGACCUUCCCCCAUGACCUUUGUCAUACUGCUUUAGUCUAAUCGACAAAACCAAGAUUAGAUUUCAUCGAAGAAGUUGAUAAGCGAAGCUGUGACGAUGAAAGGAACAUGGUGGCAAUAGGACGAACGACAAUUCCUUUGUCUAAGAAUGACAUCUAGAAGAAAUCUCAGACAAAAUAGAACAUGAAUGGCUUGUCAGUACAACGAAAAUACUGAAACAUGCACCCUUGAAUAUGAAACAUUUAUAUGUAAGAGGAAGGGCUAAAAAACUAAUUUCUCGUGCCUAAUGAUUUUAUUGAGAAUUUUAAGGCGAGACUUAUGGAAAAGGGUUAUACCCAAAAAAAGGAGAGAUUAUUUCGAUACUUAUUAACUUGUUGCCCUUCUAAUGACCAUACAUGUGUUACUUUUUUGGUUGCCUCGCAUGGUCUUAUCGUUCAUCUGAUGAAUGUUAAGACUUCUUUCCUAAAUGGAGAGCUUAAGGAACAGAUCUACAUUGACUAGCUUGGUGGUUUUAUAUCAAAUGAUAAAGAGAAAAAGGUGUUUAAAAUAUUACAAUUGUUUGGUUUAAAACAAGCACUAAAGCACAUAAGAAAUUUGGUAAAGUUCUGACUUUGGCUAAAUUUGUUGUAAAUGAAACUGAUAAAUGUGUCCAUUACCGAUUUGACAGGGGCGAAGGUAUGACCCUUUUUAUAUGUGGACAAAAUAUUAACCUUUUGUAACGAUGUUAAUAUGAUCGAGGAAGUAAAGUACUUUUUGUCUAGUAACUUUGAAAUAAACAAUCUGGGAGAGGCUAAUGUUGUUCUUAACAAAGAGAUAUUGAGAGAAGAAGGAAAUACGGAGUUACUCUUGUGCAAUCCUAUUAGGUUGAAAAGUCGCCGAGUCACUUUGGAUAUAGUGAUUACACGUCUCGUCCAACAACUUAUGAUCCAAGCGUGCUAUUAUGGAAAAAUCAUAUUAUCGCAUAUGAUCAAUUGAGAUACUGUCAAAUCAUGGUCUUCUCAUAUAUUUGGCUAGCCCAGCGAUGUCUGAUAUCUCAUUUGUUAUGAGCAAACUCAGUCAGUUUGUAUCCAAUCUAGGGGAGGAUCAUGGUAUGCCCUAGAGAGGGUAUUGCACUUUCUCAAAGGGACUAUGAGUAAUGGCAUUUAUUACACUAGGCACCUAAGAGUACUAGAGUGUUAUAGUGAUGCAAAUAGGAUAUCUGAUGUUGAUUAGGUUUAAGCCACAAGUAGACUUGUGUGCUUUCUUGGAGGUGUGAUUGUUUCAUGGAAGUCUUGUAAGUAGACCAUCUUAACAAGGUCAACAAUAGAAGUAGAACUCACAAUAUUAGAUACUACCAAAGUUGAAGUUGAGUGGCUCCAUGAACUCCUUAUGGAUUUAGCAGUAGUUGAAAAAUCAAUACUGGUUAUCUCUAUGAGAUACAAUAAUCAAACAUUUGUAAUCAAAGUAAAUAGUCCUAAAGUUAACAUGAUGUCUACAAAGCACGUAAAAUGGUUGAAACUGUUAAAACACUAAGAAACUCUAGAUUAAUUAUGUUGGACUAUAUCCAUACAUCUAAGAAUUUGGUAUGCCACUUUAUAGAAGAUUUGUCACAUAAUAUGAUUCAAGGUGCAUCGAGGAAUAUAGGCUUGAGACCCACUUAAUGUCAAUCCAUAGUGGUAGCAUUUUCUAUGUGAUUGGAGAUCUCAUGAAGUAGAAUGGUGAAACAAGGUAGAGAAUGACUGAUGGAGAGACUCCUUAAAUAAAAUCUUGGUAAUUUGAGAUGCACAUUUCUCAUUUGAUGUAUUGUAGGCGAACUAAAAUCUUAAUAUAAUUUGAGUGACUUAUCUAAGUAGGGAUGUUAUCUUACAGAACAUCCUAGAAAGAACACACCUAUAUGAGUUUGAAUGUUAGUCAUAGUCUAUCAUGUGUGGGUAAUCUUUAUAUACUCAUGAAAGGCCUCGAAGUUUGACUUAUACAGUUCAAACCAAGGGGGUGCUUGUAACAGUCUAGUACCAGAUAAGAACUUUGGUGAUACUCACUUAACACAAAAAUGUCAAUUCAAGGCAUAGUUCAUUGUUUAGAUGUGAAUGUGUAAUCCCUAUUUUAGAUGGAUGGUCAACUUAACAGCCUCCACCAAAACCCUGAUAUCUCAAAGAGUAGUGGAUUUGAGUUUGUCUAAUAUGUGGCUUAGAAUUUGGUGGGGAUUGUUAAUAUUUUAUGGGCUUGGCCCAUUUAAAGUAUUUAAUACUUUUGAAAGCCAAGAUUAAACAAACUAUGUAUGAUCCUUUAUCACUGUAUAGAUGGUUGAUGGGAUGGUUACAUUGUUUAUAUAGAUGGACCUAUCUGUAUUCAUUGAGUGGUUGAGAAAAAGGUAAAGGCGCGUCACACCCACGUGUGUGCCACCUCCACCGAGACGAUGUGUGGCGUGGCAAGGUGAGGCAUGGCAUGGUGCAGCACGGUUGCAGUCAUGGUCGUGGCGCGGUGUAGCGUUGUUGUGGAUAGAUAGAUAAACUAUUGUUGUAGUUAGAGCACAUGAGUUUUUGAAUGUAACACUAGAAUCUUCGCAUGUUAACUUAAUUAAGAACUUAUAUCUUGAUGACAUAGAGUUACCUGACCAUUGAUCUCACAUGCCCGUUUAGCUCUCUCGUUCUCUGGUAUCACCCUGUCUAUUUAGGUCUCCUUACUCGCCAAUAUAAACAUCAUCCUAUCAUUUGCUCUCGAUUCACUUCUGUCACUACUCAACUGUCAGAUGUGUGGCAGAACCUCCCAAGUUAUUGGGCCCACAUGCACCUGCCCUUGUCUCAAAGACCUCAGACGACUAUGCAUGUGCACCAGAUAACUUAACAGGAUCCGUCUGAGUGUCCCAAGGACCCCGGAUAAACCACUUACAACCAGGACCACAAGAUUAAGUAAACACAAAUCACACACUAACGUUUAGCAGCGGAAUUUCUUUAUUACAAAAAACUUACAAGUUACACCAAAUUUACAUUAUGUUUAUCGGAGUGGUUACAAAAGUGUUUCAAAGGAAUAAACUUUGAAGUGUUAUAAAUUAUUUAUAAGUUUGAAAUAUAUGCUAGCUUAGUGACAAUCCUCAACAAGAAGUAUAAUAGAGGUACUUAGACUUAUAAGAAGGUCGUGCCCACCGGCGGUUAACACCAUCCAUAGCAGCACAAACCUAGUACCUGCAACAACAUGGGUUCGAAAACCCUUAGUACGAAGUGUACGUUCGCAAGUCUUACCCGUCUAAGGAAAAAGACUCUCAAGGAUAUGCUGGCUAUUGGGAAUCAAGGUAAAGCUUAUCAAGAAUCAAAGAUUGUUUGCAGAAAAGCUUACUAUAAGUGAAUCCUUAAAAAAUCAUUUUACUUGUCAGGUUAAGUAAAGUUACCUGCAUCUAGAGUUCUUUCUAUCCUAGUUCAAUCACUUGGCCUAUACUAGCUGUCUUUUUAUCAUCCCAUCAGUUCACUGGAUUGCUACGUGUAAGUCAGUGACCAAGUCUUCAUGUCCGAGAAGUAACGGCGAUCCGAAUCGAUUAAUACUCAGCUAAGGAUCUCUAAUCACACGACAUAUGUAGCACUUAACCCUUGCAUAUGUCAACUCGCCACUGGGUUUCUCAAGACCAGACCGGGUUCACGCUAACCGAGAGCACAGAUACACCACCGUCCAGCCUCUUGCCACGGAGGAUACACACUACUCUCGCCAUCUCUCCACUCCCAUUGCGUGUUGGCCUUUCUGGUAUUGGUCUGCCCGAGGCAAAGCUUACCCAUGACGAGGCAUGUGACUAGUUAAAGGGUCCUCGGUCAGCAGACCCACAUCGGUACGGUCCUUAAUCGACUCAGAUGGAGACACUACACCGAGACUCCCUUCUUGUGCAAGUCAACUGCCCGGUCUCAGCUUUAUUAUUUAAAACCCAAAGUUUGGUACUUGGCAGAAGUACAUCUUUUCAGAUGUUGAACCCAUCAAGGCCCUGAUGGAUCCACCAUCAUAAGUUUUUCUUUGUAAAAAUUCCCAUCCAAUCUGAAGCAUCACCUUUUUUUGUAAAACAAAACAUUUUGUUUCUCUAAAGCAAUGCUAAGCAUCAUAAAAUCCUUUUCAUAAAAGGGAUAUCAAGGGUAAUCAAUUUUUCAAGGAAGAAAAUGCAUCAAUUGUUUAGCACACAACUUCUAUCACCUAAUGCAUCAAACAAGGCGAUAAAGAUUUUAAAACAGCAAGGAGGUGGCAAAUGCACUGGGACUUGCCUAGAUAACACUAGGUUAGUGUUGUUAGGUGGCAACCAGCCUUUUGUGUUGGCACUUAUUCAGUCUGCCAUCUUCAGGUUGAUCCCCCAGCAUCACCUUGGGGAGAAGCCCACGCUUAACAUCAUCUUGUGGUCGACUCAGCUCUGGUCCUCCAUAUCACGUGAUCAACUAGCGUACCUCAUAAGAUGCACGAUGCACAUGUAUGAGUAUCAAGACGAAUAUCGCAAGAUAAUAUUACGAUUUUACAGAAUGAAGAAUUAAACACUUAAUGGUAAAGCAUCACGACAUUUCAUAGGCAACCCGCAUGGAUCUAACGAUAUCACACAACGUAAUAUAACUAAACAAUUCAAAUCCGCGAGGACGACGACGAAUCCAGUCCGAGCAAUCCACCGAAUACUCGAUGAACGUCGCAUGGAUCUUACUUCAUCAAAGCAAAGGUCACCACAAAAACAUAACCUUAACAGUCUAACGUAUUUAUACAAUCUUAGUACAUAGUUUCUUAGAUUUCGAUUAAAAUCGGCUCACCGACACUACUCGUUUCCAAAUAAUUUUAAGCUACGACCCACAUUUAUCCCCCGAAUAUCGACUUAAGUGAUCAGCAUUCGUCUAUGACACCUAGCCGAUUAACAACAUAAUACGGCACUAUUAAAGCAAAUCACUACUUCACCACUACUAUUCAAGUAGAAACUAUUGGCUGGCUGAUUAAAAUCCCAAACCUAUUUUACAUGUUAUGAACUAGCCAAAAUAUAACAUAUAUAUCUAUCAAUAUCUUCAACAUAAUUAACACCCCAAGCCUAUGCUUCAUCACACAAAGACGAAGUGUCAACUCUACAUUUAUGAGCAUCGCCACAUACUACAUGUGAUACAUUUUAACAAUCAUUUAAUAUAACCACACGCACCUGUGCAACUAACAAAAGAAUUCGUCGUGACCAACAAACUAACUCAAUCUACUCCAUGAGUCGGCUAGCGGGAGUAGUGAAAUAGCUCACCACACCAUAAACGACUCGGAUCUGCGAAAUCGACGAUGAAUCCUAGCUCAAGCAUUUCAUUAGACAUUUGGCAAGUGUUGCGUUGAACUACGGUUUCUUUUCCGCACAAAACCCUGGGAUUGCUUUCCUUAAAUCAGGCGCCCAAACUCACGACAUCGACCAAUUCACGGGUACGCAUGGAACAGUGGCGACAACGAGUCAAUGAUAGUUGACCAAACUUUACAUUACCUCGAGCAGUUGGCGAAUGCUGCGGCACGGAAGCAGUAGCGUGCGCAUAAAGGCAGUGAAUGUGGCGAGGGCCCGGUUUGGACAUUUCGUUGAGCGCCUAGCUUGUACCGACGGCGCAGGUGCUGGGCCGAGAGACAACGACAAAAUCCGAUUAUCUAUACUACCUAUUAAGGCUCUAAGGGGUAGGCUGCCUCUGCUUGUUCUGCCUUCCGACGAUCUCAACCGUCCAAUACGCUCUAGAGUCUCUCAGCCGUCCGAUGCGCGCACUCUCACCCCCCACGCAUCGCCCCGCCCCCACCCGAUCGUCCAACCGUGCGCUACCCUAGCUUUGCCUCUACACUCCUCCCGCCGCCUCCUACCCUCCUCCGCGCGACGGCGCGAGCCGCAGCCGGCCCCCGCUCGAGUUGUCCACGAAUCCCACCGCUUGACGCCGUCCAUGCCGCGCCGCACGCCCGCAACCGCCCGCGAAUCCCGCCGCGACCCGCACGCCGUCCCUACGCCCGCCGCUAAACCCCCGUCGUGAAAUGCCCGCACGCACACCUGCUAGCCGCUGCGCACGCCCGCCGCGCGAUGCCGUCCAUGCCGCACCGCACGCCCGCAACGGCCGCCUCCCUACGCGCUUGGGAACCGCCCGCACAGCCCGCCGCGACCCGCACGCCCACGCGCCCAAAUCCCGUCAUGGUCUAGGGCUUCCCCACAACGCCCUCCUUCCCUGCGGCCGUAGAGGCUCCCGCGGCCCCCGUGGCGUGCGCCAGGUGCGGCGCGGACGGGUGCACGGCGGCCGGCUGCUGCGAGCUCGUCGCCGGGUCCAGCAGCGACAGCGACGACGCAGGGUGCUUCGGGACCCGCACCAACGGCGGCGGCCUAGGCCUAGGCCUAGGCGCGGGCAAGCGGAGAGGGAGGGGAGGGGGAGGAAGGUGAGCCAGUACAGGGGCGUGCGGUCCAAUUUUUGGGUAAAUUUCUGGGUCUUCAUCGUGUAUUUUAUGGUUCGUUGAUGGGUUUCCUGAUGGUUGAUGCACGCCUGCUUGGUGGAGGCGGGAAUGGUGAUCGAUGAUUCGUUGGGUGGGUGGGGGGACUGGCUGACAGCUGACAGCUGACUGUGUAUUGUGGUUUGGAUGGCAGGUUUAGCGUCAGUAAUAGCUAGGAUUAGGGUUCAGGCGAUGCUAAGAUUUUGGGGCGCCAAUUGCAGAAUCACUGGAUUGAUUCAUCUUUUAGGGGUUUCCUCGUACUCGGAGUACGAGGGCACCGUUUUAGUUGAAUGUUGCUCUGGUGUCUAAGCGCCAGGUAGUCAAUUUUGCAGUUUCAGUUGGGGAUUGUACGCUGGCAUCAGUUUUUACCUUCUACUCGUUUCAUCUCUUAACAACUUUGUGGUUUGCAGUGGGCACAACAAUUUGUUGCUGCAAACUCUUGUGCUCCGUGGGGCGUGGGCUGUGCAGCAGUUGUGCAGUUUAAUUGUUCUGUUUAUCAUAAUACACAAGGAGUUAGUGUUUGAGCAGAUGUCAAGAUGUUAAUUGUUUAGCAGAUCUCUAGAGGUAAGGGGUUUAUUUAUUUGUUUUUGUUGAACAUAGGGUUUAAGCAGGUCUAAGACUUCAGAUUUUGUGUGGUGACAGUCUUAGGGAUUGCUAAUUUGCUACUAAGAUCGGGAUGCCCACAAUUGUAAUUGUUUUUCGAUCAGAUACUGUUGGUUUUGCAUGGUCCUUGUAUGAGGAUUACUUCUCUAUGACAUUUUUUCUUCUGCAGAAUAAUCUGUCCUUGAAAUAGUGGUGAUAUGUAUUUCUUUUCAGUGCUGUUUUUGUAACUGUGUGAUGGUUAAUCCAUUGGAUUCAUAUGUUCUUGUGUGUCAUAUUUAGGUUGUGUUGGAGGAAUUUAAAACCCUAGCCUAUUGAGUGAGCUGAGUCCUGAGUGUUACAUGUAUUAGAAUUAGGCUCAUAACACUUGUCAUGGCUAGAAAAUUUAGAUCCAGUCUAAAGUUUUUAUUACGGAUCUCACUACUCUAGCAUGGGAAUCGUUCUUCAUUACAUGCUUAGGCUCGAGCCAUUUACAUCUCUGUAUCUAAAUUUUCAGGUUGUCAUUUUGCUCAUAGCUAUCACUGUUUCCUUAAAAUUCGAGCACAUAGCUAUUAUUUUCAAAACAUUAUUCAUGAAUUUGUCAAAACAUAAUUUCUCUUGUUGUAUUUCACCACAGUUCAAAAUAAGGGAUCUUAUCAUAUUAUUUACAUUUAUGUCUGUCUGACACUUGUGCAGGGUGGCAAGUUUGACCAUGCAGAUCAUUUGUUCCAAAGCAUUGAGAGCGCUUACAUAAAUAGCUUAUCAAAUACAAGUGACGUCAAAGAGCUUAUUCCAGAAUUCUUUUACAUGCCCGAGUUUCUUGAAAAUUCAAAUUCAUAUCAUCUUGGUGUCAAGCAGGAUGGGGAACCUAUAGGCGAUGUUGCUCUCCCUCCAUGGGCAAAGGUAACAGUUCCUCUUGAUGUUAGUUAUAUUUGUAAUAAUAGUUUUCUUGAGGAUGGAUUGUUUGUCUACCAGGAUAGUUCUGUUGCUUUUCUAAUGACAGUUAAUUUAGCUUUACAACUGUGUUAGUAAAAACCUUACUAUUCUCAGAUACACAGGGUAUAUCUAGCUUUCACAUACAUGUUACAUUUCCUAUCCCAUCUAUCAACUACAGACGGCAAGAAGUUUGUUGACUGCUUGAAGGAUCAGAAUAUCAUGCCUGGCAUCAAGGUUGACAAGGUAUGCAUGCCAUGAUCUUAUAACAUCAUGUUAGCCCACAAUUUGCUUCUAUCAUUAUGAUUCUCACUGCCUGAUUGCUUUGGUUUCAUGAAUCAGGGUUUGGUUCCAUUGCCUGGAUCCAACAAUGAAUCAUGGUGCCAAGGUCUUGAUGGUUUGGCUUCAAGGUGUGCUGAGUACUAUAAGCAGGGGGCGCGCUUCGCAAAGUGGUCUGUUCAUACUUCCCUUAUUCAUGUGUCAACUAAUCUUAUUUGUGCUUCCUUUCUAAAGUUGCUAUGAUUAUCGAUCUUCUCUAGGAGGACUGUUGCUAGCAUCCCUUGUGGUCCAUCUUCAUUAGCAGUCAAGGAAGCAGCAUGGGGACUUGCUCGAUAUGCUGCUAUUGCUCAGGUAACAAAAUAAACUGCAACUGUGGAAACAUCUUGCAAUAAUUUUUUGAUGACUCAUGGAGCUUUGGUGAAGAACCUAUCUGCAUUCGUAUGGGCACGCAUUAGUCGUGCUGCAGUUACUGUGGAUAGAAAGACGUAUUUUAAUGGGGCUCAGGAUUUGUUUGUUGUUCAACCUGAGGUGUUUAUAAACAUCUAAUACCCCCUGUUCCAAACUAUACUAUGUUUUGACUUUUAUAGAUUCAUAGCUUUGUUGUGUUCUUAGAUAUACACUAUGUCUAUAAUAGUAUAAUCUAUAUAUAUAUCUAUACUACCUAUUAAGGCUCUAAGGGGUAGGCUGCCUCUGUUUGGUUCUGCCUUCCGACGAUCUCAACCGUCCAAUACACUUUAGAGUCUCUCAGCCGUCCGAUGCGCACGCUCUCACCCCCACGCAUCGCCCCGCCCCCAGAUCCCGCAUCCCCCACGGAUCCCGCAGCCGCGCCGCUGUCGCUCCCUCCCGUGCUCCCUUCGCGCCCGCCCAUGGAUCUCCGACAUCGAGCGCUGCCGCCGCUGCCUCGCCUCGGCAAACCCGGCUCCAGGGCGACAGCUCCCGCCGGUGGGACCUCGUGUUCAGCGUCGUGAAGCCGUCCGUGAUCCAGCUGCGGGGGCCCACCAAGGUCAGUGUCUUCAUCGCCAGCAACGACGGCAGCGCUCGCUCCCUCCGUACCAUCCAAUGGCCCGCGUUCGUCCCCUGCCCCGGCAACCCAGCUUAACCCUAGCUCGCUCCCUCCGUAGCCGCCUCUUCCUGCUUCGCUCCUCUCGCGUAGCAACCGCUCCCUCCACUCCCGAGAUCGUGGCCCGACGCCAUGCCGCUCCCGAGACCGCGCCACAAAGCCGCGGAACGUCCUCACCGAUGCACCGACGCGCCCCCGAGCCUGCUUCCCGACGCCACCCUCACACAACCUGCCCCCUGUCACCCUCUGGACGGGACGACACAGGUCUGGAGAAGGGUCCAGAAACCGGCGCGAGUCCACCGCGAAUCCACACGAUCGAUGUCGUCCUCCCGCUCGUUUCGCCGUCGACCUUUCUCCAGUGGUUGAGUGCGACAGGGUUGGUGGCUAGGUCGUGCGAUGGCGAAAUCGAGUCCAGAGUAGCAGAGCAAGGCUGGUCCCAGCGGGCUGCCGGUGUUGUGACCUGCGUGCGUGGUCGUACGCCUGGCCGUUGUGCCGCUAGCUGCGGCGGGCGGGUGGCUGGCGGCGUCGCAUGGCGGACCCAACGCCCAUACAACCUCCAGGGAUUGCUUCCUCCCCAUGGCGUGGAUCUAGAUGGUCUUCACGGCAGAGGAGGAAGAGGUGUCACAGCAGCUUCCGAAGACAUCGUCGACGUCCCUUACCACCUCGAUUGGCGAUGGCAUCGACAGCCCCCAGCCACUGCCCGCGCUAACGGUGGCGUGGACCUCACUGUCUUCAAGCAGUUCGAGCGGAUGGUGUGUUGGCUUCUGCAUGCUUCGUGUUUUCGAAUACGUUGCUAAGCUCAGCAUUGGUUGGUGAUGGUUUUGGUUUGCCAUCUUAAAGAAUCCUGAGCCUGCCAAUGGCGACGACGAUGGAGCUUUGUCACUGCCAGAGACAGGAUUGGGGCUUAGCUUGAAUACUGACGGGGUGCUCAAGGCGUGGUGUGCAGAGGCUCUGCGUUUGCUGAUGGCAAUGGGCCUGACUUGCCAUUGUCCCCUGCUCAUGUGGUAGUAAGUAUUUCCAGCUUAUCUAAAAAUUAUAAAAGAUCUUACAUUUCCAGUUAACAAUUAAAGAUGGCUAGAGCUCUUGGAACCCUGAGUUAUACCUGCUAUUAGUUCAUAUCGUCUGGUAAGUAGAAUCUAUUUCACUUCAGUAGAAGUACAGAUCGUCUGUUGUUUUCUAUCAGCAGUGAUCAGAAAAACUUGGCAUGCAUUACUUUGUUUCGGUCCCUUCGCAUUUCUUGUCAAUGGCAGAUUUCUCCCAGAAGAAAAUCUGUGUCUGAAAUUUGCUAAUAUGAAAUAGUACAGUAUGCCCACCAGUACUUGACUUUACUGACUCAAUGGGCCAGGCAGAAGGAAAUUCCAAUUGGUUGUUUUCUUUGAGUUGAAUCAUUAUAACAAACUUAGCCCUCAUUAUGAUGUAUCUGCAGUUUUUGAAUUCAAUUGAAGUAAAAGGAAAUAUCAUAGUUUGGUCCUUUCGUGAAAUUUUUUUGUCCAAUUUUUUGUCCUUGUAGGUUUUUACGUUGCAUUAGAAAACAUUGUAGGCAACUGAUUUUCUAACAUGUCCCUAUCAGAACUUCCUCCGAGACCAUUUCUUGAGAUCUUGGCACGAGAACUACGACGACGACGACUGGUAAUGUGAUUCUUGCGCCUUCGUUUUUCCCCUGUUUAGACUUUAGAGUGAAUUAGUAUCAUUUUGCUUUUUCCUUUCACCUGAUUGGCAGGGUCUUAGAUUAUUCAACAUUGAUAUGAUUAGGGAGCACCCCCCUUGUCAAGCAACUCACACCAUUACAAGAUCUACACGACAUGGCAUCUGCAUCGCCAAGGCCUCGCUCAACUCAGCGCGGUGAGUAGCACAUGAACAAAAGUGCCCUUUUACCAGUUUUUUAUCAGGGUGCAAUUCUGGAAGCUCAUUGUUUCUAUAAAGAAUUCAAGCUCACUGCAGUUUACUUUGUGUAACAGGAAAGGUGCAUCGAUGACAACCCGGUUCUAUUGUAACAAGAUCAGUGUGGUCCUGGUUGCUUGAUGCUUGUUUGGUUUAAUUGUAUAGCAAAAUUAGGUGUUGACUGCCGAUACCUGGAGAUGUGACACCGCCAGAUGUGUCGCUCAGGCCAGUCACACUGCUCUGCUGUUUUUCAAAGAACAACCUCUUGCUGCGUCAUCAAGGGGUAGACCAGUCUCUGAUGAUUCGUGUAAGAAUCCUUGGGAGAAAGCAAGUGGUCCUGGAAAUGUUACCAGGACAUCUCUGGCCCCACAAGGGCUGCAAGCACAAGUAGGUAUUUAUGUGUUUCACUGAGGAGUGCUACUCAUACCCACGAUGGGAUUUUUUAACCUUAGUCUAAAAUUCGCUCCCAUGGGCAGUCGAACUCAGGACACUGAGGAGUGCUACUCAUACCACAACCAAAACCAAGUCAGCCCUUUCGCUAUACUCUUAAAGGGUUUCUUCAUUUUUUGUUUUCAAUGUUGAUUAUCAUACCUAAAAUGAAAAGAAUGUAGAUUAUGGUCGUAUGGCUGAAAUACUCGUUCGGAGGGCAGGCUCUACUGAUGAAUUCACUCGGUUGACAUCUAUCACAUGGGUAAUUUGUCUUUCAUGUUUUCCUGUGAUCUUAAAACCUAGAAUCUAGACUGCAGAAGCUGGUUUAGUAUUUGUAAGAAUGCUUGACUUAUGACUUAUCCUUUGAAGUGUAGAUCAACGAGUUUGUGAAGCUUGGUGGGGAACAACUUGUUCCCUACUAUGCAGAUAUAUUGGGCGCUGUCUUACCAUGCAUAUCUGACGAGGAGGAGAAAAUCCGAGUGGUACUUUCCCAUCAUGAUUCAUACACUUACUGCAAUGUGAACUGCGUGGUGUGUGCAUGUUCAGGAAUAGCAUUUACUUUAGUUACUGAUUUGUUUGCAAGGUUGCACGCGAAACAAAUGAGGAACUCCGUGCUAUAAAAGCUGAUCCAGCUGAGGGAUUUGAUAUCGGAGCAAUUCUUUCAAUCGCAAAAAGGUUCUCUAUAAAGUCCCUUGGAAAUGAAACUAUGUAGAACUGUUAGGCAUCUAUCUGUAUGCUCUGCCUAUGCUGGUAUUUGAUAAUUAUAUCAACAUGAAAUUUGUGACAAGGCAUUGACCUUUUGUCCUUCAUUUCCAGAGAAUUGAACAGUGAACAUGAGGCCACUCGAAUCGAAGCAUUGCAUUGGUUCUUCACUUUGCUGGAUCGAUAUUGUGCUGAGGUACUAAAAGAGCGAUGGUUUUUGGGCUGCAUUUUGAUAAAUUUCAACAUGUAUCUAAAUGUUUUUAAGCUUUUACAUUGCUGUGAUUUUAUUUUGUCAACUUAGAGUUGGACAUAUGAGAGUUGCAAUUCAUUUAGAUUAACACAAGUCUAUUUGGACCUAUGGUUUAUUUACAUAUUUUCUGGAACAGUUCUUGGCUUACCUGAACGAUAUUUUUGAUCCACUCCUAAAUGCACUUUCUGAUCCUUCGGACGCGGUGAGUUUUCUUUGAAAAGCCUUCCAAACUGCUCUGCUUGUUUCUAGAAUUUGAAACUACAUCCUGUUGUGGGCUGUGAUUAGCUGAUAUUAUAUUGUGCUAUUUGUAUGCGAUGACUUAUAAAGUUAUAGUUUAGUACCAUUUCACAACUCAAUCAAGGUUUGGAUCUAUUUGGAGGGCACAAGCUGCAACUGUUGGGCCUGGUACUGUAGAACCACACCCCAGCACCAUUGGAGUAAUAAUCUUAGAUGAUAAGUUAGAUUCACAUAAUCUCUACUAUAUUUAAAUGGGAAUAAUCUCUCUUCGUGCGUCGCCACGCGUCUCCGCUCCUCCCGCCUGCCUAGCUGAAUUAAUCAAAAAAGGAGAAAAGGAAGAUGGCUCCAGGAUUCAAACCUGGACUGCAAGGACCAAAGCCACGCCCCUUAACCACUGCAUAUAAUGUUCCUUUGUGUUACAGAAGGAUAGAUAUUAUAAUUAAAAGGUAGAUAUUAUCACUACACCUUUAAAGCUUGUGCAAAAAAGAUGCGGGAUGAAAGAUUCGAACCCUGGUCUCUCAAGAAGGGUACAAAGACUUCGCCUGCUAACCAAUACACCUCAUGUUCUGUUAUGUUUUACAAAGGAUCAAUAAUUUUAAUAUAAUAAUACGUAUAAACAGCGCCUGCCCAGGGUGGGUGGUUGCCAUGCUCGUAGCGAUCGGCAGACUGGAUGUUCGCUGUACGUGCAAGGAACAACCUCCAACCUGACCAGUCACAGCAUUGAAGAGAACUGUGACUAUUUCUGCUGGCCCUUGAUGACAGUUCCCCCCCCAGUUAUUUGCUACAAGAAAACCUUUUUUCAGCAGAGUAGCUUUUGGACACCUUGUAUAUGCCUUCAAUUAAAGCGUUUGAAACUCUUUGCAGCCUGCUCACGAGAAAAUCGGUGUCGUUGAUUCCCAAUGGAUUGUACACCAAGUGAUUCCUUCUCUCGGGAACCAGGUAAGGAAGAAAAAAAAGAAACAAAUGUGUACAAUCAGAUUCUACUGUAGCGCCUGAAUAGCAUCUUCCAAAUGCACAGGGGCAGUCGGAGAAUGGGAGGGCGCCAUGGGAAGGGGUAUGAAUCUGACGACUUUGAUAGAUAAUCUCAUGAUGUUUUGUGAGUGUGUGAGGUGCUGUGAAUGAUCUUUAUCUUGGUUGCUGUGUAUGCAGUUAAGAGAGCGUUGCCGGAAAGAGUGGGGGCUUUUCCAGACAAGAAUGGCAGAAGCUGAGAAAGCAUAUUACGAGAUGAUGGGGAUUACACCUCCGAAUGUAAUAUUUGUCUCCUAGGAUAAAAGUUUCAACCCACAUUUUUUUCCUUUGUGUCCAGCAGUGGCUCUUCGAAUAGAGUUAGAUAUUGAUGAAUGGUACAAGUAGAUCAUACGUGACGAUAUAUAUAUAUAUAUAUAUAUAUAGAUCCUUUGAUCCUUCUUCCUGUGUAUUUAUCGUGGGCUGUUCUCACUAGGGUUCUGGUGAAAUGAGAAUGAUAUGUCUGUUCAGUUUAGAGCUUAUAUUCUCUGAACAUGAACAUUCAGAAUCGACAGCAUUGUGCGCACACGAAAAUUCUGCAGAAAACAUUUCAGACGGACAAGGAUGGCCAAAGUAUGACACUUCAUUGUAUACUAGGUGAAUGCCCGUGCGUUGCUACAGAGCGAACAUGUUACAAUAAGAUACAUUAAAAUUCAAAAUACUAAUUACUAUUUUAUGUUCUUAUUAACAUAUUUUAAAAGUUAAGAUAUUUUACAUACCUUAAAAUUCCUACACAUCAAACAAAUCCAUCAUGUGCAGUAAAAUGCAAUAGAGAAGCAUGCAGAUACUGAUGAGGGACGCAGAUUUUUUGGGGACAAAAUGAGGGAGCUGUUGGAGCAUAGAUAAUCACUAGGUAGGGGCUCGUGCGAUGCCACGGAACAUAAAUCUCGAUUUGUAUAUCAGCUAUGCUUCCUGUGAAGCAAGGAAGCGAACGCAAGCCAGCCUUUUGUAUUAGUGCAUUAUGUUCAGUUCUUACUUGAUCAUCCCGUGUUCUCGUGUGUGCCAUUGCCGAGUGGCAAGCUCAACACUGGUAUUGUUGUCUUGUCUCAAAUGAAGUCCGCUUCCACAAGUUAAUCGGAAAUCUUCAUGGGUGAUAGCUGUGUCAGAUUCUUCCGCGCAUAGGGCAAGUAAUGCAAGUGAUAGCUGUGUCAGUUUACCCCCAUUUUUUGGGCAUCUCAAAUGAAGUCCAUUGGAGGUUCGCAAUUUAUGUUCCGUGGCAUCGCACGGGCACCUACCUAGUUAUUGUAGACGAGGAGGACAUGGAAAAUCCUGAGCGAGCACCAGCGUGGAGCUGGGGACCGAGCAGAGGAGGUCUAGGCUAGAGUGGCGCCCAAACACACGACCAUGCAAUCGGUAAGGACUGGGAGCUCAUUUUCGGAUCUGGGCGACAGCGCAGUCCAAGACGGCUAUGACCAGGAACCGAGCUGCAGGACGAGGUCAAACGGAGACCAGAGCUGGCUCACAACGAAGUUGGAGUCGACGACCGGCGACAAAGGAAAUAGGGGGGCGCUCCUCCGACAACUAAAGCCCACGCCGGACCGAGCAGAGAGCGCAGGACCACGGCAAAGUGAGCGCUCCCACGAAAGAACACAACCACACAGACGCGGCCACCGGUGAGGAACCUCGACGUUGAAGCUGGAGUAAGCGAGGGCGUCCGAUCUGCAGAAACUGAGAAGGGGAAAAAUGGAGAAGGGUCGACGGCGUCCUGCGCAGGGAGAAAGCGCGCGCGACCAGGGACUCGGGCAACGCAGUGACUGCGAUCUGUAGACCGGCCCAACAGCGAGGACAAGCAGAGAGGGGCGAGCUGGAGCAGAGGGCAGGGCCGAGCUCGGCGUUGGGGGCGAGUGCCGGCCAUGGAAGAUGAGCAGUCGGCGCUGGGGAGCAGGGAGAUGGGAACUCGAGCUGGGGAAAGGGACUCGGCGACCUCAAUCACCAGGAGGCGCGGCCAAGUGAAAUACGAGCAGGGGCCAGGAGCGCGCGGAGGGAGAGGAAGAAAGCUGAGCGCCAUGGAGACGGGCACGGCAGGGAGGAGCGCCGGCAGAGGAGGAGCUCGGCGCGCAGAGGGGCGAGCCAGGGAGCUCCGGCCGGGCGCAGUCCGAGCAGGGUCUAGGGGCGUGUGGAGGAGAAGCCGGGGAGGAGCGCCGGCGAGCUCGCGGCACCAGGGAGCAGGGCGCGCGGCGAGCAGCAGAUGAUGGAAGUUGCCGCAGGGAGAAGCCAAGGUGAGGGCGCGUGAGGAAGAAGGAAAUUGUGGCUGGGCGUCGAUGGUGAGAAGGGAGGAUAAGGACGGCUGAAGCCCAAGCGGUGGAGAGAUAUUUUUCCUUUUCUCCCUUUUCUUUCUUUUAAUUAGGGAAUACACUGCUAACCGAAUUUAAGAAUUAAACGAGACUAAAAUGGAUCAAUUUAUGAUUUUAGGAUUAAGAUUUUAGGGGGUCUAAAAGAUGUAUAAAAGGAUCAGCCAAAAACGAGAUCGACAACAAUAUUUAGACAGGUUUUGAUGUGGUGAAUACUCCCGGUGUCAAUGAAUUCUUACCCUUUAUUUAUAUUUGAAGAUUUAUAUCGAGACAAGAAACAAAUGGACCAAUCCAAAAUGAUAUGGACGACGAUAUUUGAGACUAUUUGAGACUGCAUUAAUUUAGUUGAAAUCGGAUAAAAAUUUAUCCGAUAUCUAAACAUGGUUGAUUUUAUUAUCUUACAGAGUGUGCUGAAUAAUAAAUUAGAUCAUAACCUCGCGCACGAUUUUUCUCGGACAAUGUGUGAUUCAGAUUAUUUUGCCCCGAACAUUUUUUUGUCGUCGAGUUCUACUUAAUCUGUUUGAGAGGAAAUCGGAGGACUGAACUAAAUUUCCAAAUUCGUAUUCGCUUACUGAUGAAUUUUAAAUAGGCACAUGACUCGCAAACUUUCAGAACAAUUACGUUCCGAAAUUCGCGAAAACUUUAGGAAGAGUCUAAAUAGACAGAAACAUAUACGAUAUUAAAGUCGCGAUAGACAAAAAUGAUUAAAAUUUAGCAUCUAUUUUAUCCAACGCUAUCACGUGUUAAAGUCCGCACUCGUGGUCGAGCAGACAAUAAACACCUGGGGUGUUACAAGAUGAGUACUCCUUUACAACACUUACGUACAUGAGUUCUAUGACAGCAGACCUCUGAAAUGAAUGCCAGCUACAUGUUUAUCUACUUAGAUGAAGGAAGACAAUCACUUUUUGUGAUGUCUCGGCGACAUUACUCCUUACUUCCUCCACUUCUUCCUAGUGUUUCUUUAUUGUGAUUGAGUCGACACAGCGACUACACUGCACUACAACAACCAGUACGACUAUAUCAAUUGGCAAUGUCUCCAUUAGGUUUGAGUCUUAUGAGGGGCUUAAAACUAUGUCACAAUUUAUUUUGUUCAUUUUUAUUAUGUUUAAAUUACAUGUGCACCUUUCUACUGACAUAAAAAAAUUAUCAACUUUCUAGAUUAAAAUGCAACUAAAAGUACCUAAAUUUCUGUCGAUGGGGAUCGAGUGACUCUUUAAACCGAUUAUUACACAAGUUAACCAAACUAAAAUUAACAUUGGUGAAUAGUGCCAUGAUUUUUUUUAGUGCAAAAUAGCACAACAAAGCAACACAUAUGUGGCUAUCGUUACACAUGUGUAAAGGUAAUGCAUCACACCAUUGUCACCCAUGUAUUUGGAAAAUACCAAGAAGAAAAAACAACUUGUUUAUUGUAUUUUAUGGAGAUUGUCUUACUUACAUACAAUUAUUACCCAACAAAGUGGUCACUAAAUGUCAAAACCAACUAGAUACCAGGUGACUUUAUACCUGAUCAAGGUCGGAGGUGACCAAGCGACGGGGAGAGACACCGAAACCGUGGAGACUUCGACUCGAUCUCCGAACGACCGCAGAAUCACAACCGGAGCUAAUUCACACAAUGCGAGGCAGCCGUACUGCAACUCACAAGGCACGAACUAGUGGAUCCCAGAGGAAUCUCUUCACAAGUCCAGGAGAACAAGGAAGAACAGGGGUAGAGUAAACACUCAGCAACUUGGCUGCGGUACUCACUUGGAUUAUCAAAUCAUCAAAUGUUAUCAAAAGUUGUUUUACAUCAUAGACAUAGGGGGUAUUUAUACUAGUGAAAGGGAAAUGUGCCCUUGGGCCAUUUCUAAGUAUUUUGGUGAUUGAGUGCCAACACAAGUGCUUAAAUGUGAAUCUAUGCUCUUGGAUGGACAAAGUGCAAAUCAAGAGUAAAGGUAUGUUUCUAAGCUUUAGUACAUUGGUUUUGUGUACUAAUAUACUUGUCUAAGUGUUAGAAACAGAAAGAAGAAGAAAAGAAAAGAGGUGAAAAAGGCUUGGCUGUGUACAGCCAAGACUGAGCUCAGUCUGGCACACCGGACUGUCCGGUGGUGCACCGGACAGUGUCCGGUGCGCCAGGCUGACUCGGCGUGAAGUGGCCGCUCUCGGGAAUUCGCCGACGGCGUACGGCUAAAAUUCACCGGACUGUCCGGUGUGCACCGGACUGUCCGGUGAACCAACGGUCGGCCGGGCCAACGGUCGGCAGCAGAAUCUGCGCGCGACACGUGGCCAGGCCAACGAUCGGAAGGGGGCACCGGACUGUCCGGUGUGCACCGGACAUGUCCGGUGCACCAACGGCUCCCAGAUCUGCAACGGUCGGCCGCGCCAUUUUAGGAAGGAAAUCGGGCACCGGACAGUGUCCGGUGUGCACCGGACUGUCCGGUGCACCCGACGACAGAAGGCAAGAUUGGCCUUGCAGAUUUUCUCUCAACGGCUCCUAGCUGCCUUGGGGCUAUAAAAGGGACCCCUAGGCGCAUGGAGGAGAGAACCAAGCAACCUUAGAGCAUUCUUGAUCAUCCACACUCAGUCUUUGCGCAUUCGUUUGUCAUUCUCAGUGAUUCGAGCUCCGUUCUAGUGAGAACUUUGAGAUAGUCUUUUGAGCUCGACUCUUGGCCGUGUGUGUGCGCAUUUUGCUGUGGAUUUGUGUGUGUUGCUUCCCCCCUUACUCCGUAUUUCUUUGUGAAUCUCAAGUGUAAGGGCGAGAGGCUCCAAGUUGUGGAGAUUCCUCGCAAACGGGAUAUUGAAAGGCAAAGCAAAACACCGUGGUAUUCAUGUUGGUCUUUGGACCACUUGAGAGGGGUUGAUUGCAACCCUCGUCCGUUGGGACGCCACAACGUGGAGUAGGCAAGCGUUGGUCUUGGCCGAACCACGGGAUAAACCACUGUGUCAUCUCUGUGUUUGAUCUCUUGUGGUAUUGUGUUUUGUUGAGACUCCACUCUAGCCACUUGGCGAUUAUUGUGCUAACACUUAACAAGUUUUUGUGGCUAUAAGUUUAAGUUUCACAGAAUCACCUAUUCACCCCCCCUCUAGGUGCUCUCAAUUGGUAUCGGAGUCGUUCUCUUCACAAAGGGACUAACCGCCCGAAGAGAUGGAUCCUAAAGGGAAGGGAAUCGUGAUCAACGACAAGGAGAAGGAGUCCUUCGUCAACGAGCCAAGGGAUGACAAGUCCAACGACUCGGGCUCGGGCCACAGACGCAAAGAUGGGAAGAAGAAGAAGACAAGACGCAUCAAGGAGAUCGUCUACUACGACAGCGAUGAGUCUACUUCCUCCCAUAAGGACGACGACCACAACGAAUACGAGAGAAAGAAACCGGUCAAUUCGAACUUUUCUUUUGAUUACUCUCGUAUUCCUCAAAGUACUAAUGCUCAUUUAUUAUCUAUUCCACUUGGUAAACCUCCCCAUUUUGAUGGAGAGGACUACGGAUUUUGGAGUCAUAAAAUGCGUAGUCACUUGUUCUCUCUCCAUCCUAGCAUAUGGGAGAUUGUAGAAAGUGGAAUGCACUUUGAUAGUACGGAUAGUCCCAUGUUUAUUAAUGAACAGAUUCAUAAAAAUGCACAAGCUACUACUGUGUUGCUAGCCUCUUUGUGCAGGGACGAGUACCAUAAGGUGAGCGGCUUGGACAAUGCCAAGCAGAUCUGGGACACCCUCAAGAUCUCUCAUGAGGGGAAUGAUGUCACCUUGCUCACCAAGAUGGAGUUGGUGGAGGGCGAGCUUGGACGGUUCGCAAUGAUAAGGGGCGAGGAGCCAACUCAAACAUACAACCGGCUCAAGACCCUUAUCAACAAAAUAAGGAGCUACGGAAGCACGCGAUGGACGGAUCACGACGUCGUCCGCCUAAUGCUAAGGUCCUUUACCGUUCUUGAUCCUCAUUUGGUGAACAAUAUUCGUGAAAAUCCUAGGUACACCAAGAUGUCGCCCGAAGAAGUUCUGGGGAAUUUCGUAAGCGGGCGAAUGAUGAUCAAGGAGGCAAGAUAUGUGGACGAUGCGUUGAACGGUCCUAUUCAUGAGCCUCAACCCAUUGCUCUCAAGGCAACGAGGAACAAGGAGGCGCUACCGAGCAAGGUUGCGCAAGUUGAGGCGACCGGGCUAAAUAAUGAGGAGAUGGCCCUCAUCAUUAAGCGCUUCAAGACGGCGCUUAAAGGUCGCAAGGGACAGCCAAGCAAGACCAAGACAAAGGAGAAGCGCUCGUGCUUCAAAUGUGGUAAGAUCGGUCAUUUCAUUGCUAACUGUCCCGAUAAUGAAAGUGACCAGGAAAAGGGGAACAAAAGGGAGAAGAAGCAUUACAAGAAGGCCAAGGGCGAGGCACAUAUCGGAAAGGAGUGGGAUUCGGAUUGCUCCUCAUCCGACUCCGACAAUGAAGGACUAGCCGCCACUGCCUUCAACAAGUCAUCCCUCUUCCCCAACGAGCGUCACACUUGCCUCAUGGCAAGGGAGAAGAAAGUAAGCACUCAUGAUACUAGUACUUAUGCUUCUUCAAGUGAGGAUGAGUCUAGUGAUGAUGAUGAGACAGAUUACUCAUGCUUAUUCAAGGGAUUAGAUAGAUCUAAAUUAAUAAGAUUAAUGAGUUGAUUGAUGCUUUGAAUGACAAGAAUAGAUUACUAGAAAAACAAGAAGAUCUUUUAUAUGAGGAGCAUGAUAAAUUUGUCAGUGCACAAAAUUCUCUUGCUCUAGAAAUUAAAAGGAAUGAAAUGCUCUCUGGUGAAUUAUCUACUUGUCAUGAAACCAUUUCUACUUUACAAGGUGUUAACAAUGAUUUAAAUGCUAAAUUAGAAGUAGCAAAUAAAUCUAAUUCUUGUGUAGAACAUGUUAUAAUUUGUACUAGGUGUAAAGAUUUUGACAUUGAUGCUUGUAGUGAACACCUAGUUUCAAUUUCCAAAAUUAAUGAUGAAUUAGCUAGUCUUAAUGCUCAACUUAAGACUAGCAAGAAUGAUUUCGAUAAGCUAAAAUUUGCAAGGGAUGCCUACACGAUUGGUAGACACCCCUCAAUUAAGGAUGGACUUGGCUUCAAGAGGGAAGCCAAGAACUUAACAAGCCAUAAGGCUCCCAUCUCCGCCAAGGAGAAAGGGAAGGCCCCUAUGGCAAGUAGUGCUAAAAAGAACCAUGCUUUUAUGUACCAUGAUAAGAGACAAACUAGAAAUGCUUACAGGAGUUACAAUGCUUAUGAUGAUUUUGAUUCUCAUGACAUGUUUGCUUCUAGUUCUUUCUAUGUGCAUGAUAGAAAUGUUGGUAGAAGAAAUGUUGUUCACAAUAUGCCUAGGAGAAAUCUUGUUAAUGUUCCUAGGAGAGUUAAUGAACCUUCUACAAUAUAUCAUGCUUUGAGUGCCUCCUUUGCAAUUUGUAGAAAGGAUAGAAAGGUGAUUGCUAGGAAAUUAGGGGCAAAAUGCAAGGGAGAUAAAACUUGCAUUUGGGUCCCUAAGACAAUUGUGACUAACCUUGUAGGACCCAACAAGAGUUGGGUACCUAAGUCCCAAGCCUAAAUUUGCCUUGCAGGUUUAUGCAUCCGGGGGUUCAAGCUGGAUUAUCGACAGCGGAUGCACAAACCAUAUGACGGGGGAGAAGAAGAUGUUCACCUCCUACGUCAAGAAUAAGGAUUCCCAAGAUUCAAUUAUAUUCGGUGAUGGGAAUCAAGGCAAGGUAAAAGGGUUAGGUAAAAUUGCAAUUUCUAAUGAGCACUCUAUCUCUAAUGUGUUUUUAGUAGAGUCUCUUGGAUAUAAUUUGCUAUCGGUUAGUCAAUUAUGCAAUAUGGGAUAUAACUGUCUAUUUACAAAUGUAGAUGUGUCUGUCUUUAGAAGAAGUGAUGGUUCACUAGCUUUUAAGGGUGUAUUAGACGACAAACUUUAUUUAGUUGAUUUUGCAAAAGAAGAGGCCGGUCUAGAUGCAUGCUUAAUAGCUAAGACUAGCAUGGGCUGGCUGUGGCAUCGCCACUUAGCACAUGUGGAGAUGAAGAACCUUCACAAGCUUCUAAAGGGAGAACACGUGAUAGGUUUGACUAACGUGCAAUUCGAAAAAAGAUAGACCUUGUGCAGCUUGUCAAGCAGGUAAACAAGUGGGAGGAGCACAUCACAGCAAGAAUGUGAUGACCACCUCAAGACCUCUGGAGCUGCUGCAUAUGGACCUGUUCGGACCCGUCGCCUAUCUGAGCAUAGGAGGAAGUAAGUAUGGUCUAGUUAUUGUUGAUGACUUUUCCCGCUUCACUUGGGUGUUCUUUUUGCAGGAUAAGUCUAAAACCCAAGGGACCCUCAAGCGCUUCCUAAAGAGAGCUCAAAAUGAGUUUGAGCUCAAAGUGAAGAAGAUAAGGAGCGACAACGGGUCCGAGUUCAAGAACCUUCAAGUGGAGGAGUUCCUUGAGGAGGAAGGGAUCAAGCACGAGUUCUCCGCUCCCUAUACACCACAACAAAAUGGUGUGGUAGAGAGGAAGAACAAGACGCUAAUCGAUAUGGCGAGGACGAUGCUUGGAGAAUUCAAGACCCCCGAGCGUUUUUGGUCGGAAGCCGUGAACACGGCUUGUCACGCCAUCAACAGGGUCUAUCUUCACCGCCUCCUCAAGAAGACUUCGUAUGAGCUACUAACCGGUAACAAACCCAAUGUAUCUUACUUUCGUGUAUUUGGGAGCAAGUGCUACAUUCUAGUGAAGAAGGGUAGAAAUUCUAAGUUUGCUCCCAAAGCUGUAGAAGGGUUUUUGUUAGGUUAUGACUCAAAUACAAAGGCGUAUAGAGUCUUCAACAAAUCAUCGGGUUUGGUUGAUGUCUCUAGCGACGUUGUAUUUGAUGAGACUAAUGGCUCUCCAAGAGAGCAAGUUGUUGAUCUUGAUGAUGUAGAUGAAGAAGAUGUUCCUACGGCCGCGAUACGCACCAUGACGAUUGGAGAUGUACGGCCUCGGGAACAAUUGGAGCAAGAUCAACCUUCUUCCUCAACAACGGUGCAUCCCCUAACUCAAGACGAUGAACAGGUUCAUCAACAGGAGGCAUGUGAUCAAGGGGGAGCACAAGAUGAUCAUGUGAUGGAGGAAGAAGCGGAACCGGCACCUCCAACCCAAGUUCGAGCAGUAAUUCAAAGGGAUCAUCCCGUCGACCAAAUUUUGGGUGACAUUAGCAAGGGAGUAACUACUCGAUCUCGAUUAGUUAAUUUUUGUGAGCAUUACUCCUUUGUCUCUUCUAUUGAGCCUUUCAGGGUAGAGGAGGCCUUGCUAGAUCCGGACUGGGUGUUGGCCAUGCAAGAGGAGCUCAACAACUUCAAGCGCAAUGAAGUUUGGACACUGGUGCCUCGUCCCAAGCAAAAUGUUGUGGGAACCAAGUGGGUGUUCCGCAACAAACAGGACGAGCACGGGGUGGUGACGAGGAACAAGGCUCGACUUGUGGCAAAAGGUUAUGCCCAAGUCGCAGGUUUGGACUUUGAGGAGACGUUCGCUCCUGUGGCUAGGCUAGAAUCAAUUCGUAUCUUGCUAGCAUAUGCCGCUCACCAUUCUUUCAGGUUGUACCAAAUGGAUGUGAAGAGCGCUUUCCUCAAUGGUCCAAUCAAGGAGGAGGUGUACGUGGAGCAACCCCCUGGCUUCGAGGAUGAACAGUACCCCGACCACGUGUGUAAGCUCUCUAAGGCACUCUAUGGACUUAAGCAAGCCCCAAGAGCAUGGUAUGAAUGCCUUAGAGACUUCUUAAUUGCUAAUGCUUUCAAGGUUGGGAAAGCCGAUCCAACUCUUUUUACUAAGACUUGCGACAGUGAUCUUUUUGUAUGCCAAAUUUAUGUCGAUGACAUAAUAUUUGGUUCUACUAAUAAAAAGUCUUGUGAAGAGUUUAGCAGGGUGAUGACGCAGAAAUUCGAGAUGUCAAUGAUGGGCGAGUUGAACUACUUCCUUGGGUUCCAAGUGAAGCAACUCAAGGACGGCACCUUCAUCUCCCAAACGAAGUACACGCAAGACUUGCUAAAGCGGUUUGGGAUGAAGGACGCCAAGCCCGCAAAGACUCCGAUGGGAACCGACGGACACACCGACCUCAACAAAGGAGGUAAGUCCGUUGAUCAAAAGGCAUACCGGUCAAUGAUAGGGUCAUUACUUUACUUAUGUGCUAGUAGACCGGAUAUUAUGCUUAGCGUAUGUAUGUGUGCUAGAUUUCAAUCCGAUCCUAAGGAGUGUCACUUAGUGGCAGUGAAGCGAAUUCUUAGAUAUUUAGUUGCUACGCCUUGCUUCGGGCUCUGGUAUCCAAAGGGGUCUACCUUUGACUUAAUUGGAUAUUCAGACUCCGACUAUGCUGGAUGUAAGGUCGAUAGGAAGAGUACAUCAGGGACGUGCCAAUUCUUAGGAAGGUCCCUGGUGUCAUGGAACUCUAAGAAACAAACCUCCGUUGCCCUAUCCACCGCUGAGGCAGAGUAUGUUGCCGCAGGACAGUGUUGCGCGCAACUACUUUGGAUGAGGCAAACCCUCCGGGACUUUGGCUACAAUCUGAGCAAAGUCCCACUCCUAUGUGACAAUGAGAGUGCUAUCCGCAUGGCAGAAAAUCCUGUUGAGCACAGCCGCACAAAGCACAUAGACAUCCGGCAUCACUUUCUGAGAGACCACCAGCAAAAGGGUGAUAUCGAAGUGUUUCAUGUUAGCACCGAGAACCAGCUAGCCGAUAUCUUUACCAAGCCUCUAGAUGAGAAGACCUUUUGCAGGCUGCGUAGUGAGCUAAAUGUCUUAGAUUCGCGGAACUUGGAUUGAAUUGUAGCAUACAUGUGCUUAUGCCUUUGAUCAUGUUCAUUCUGCAUUUUGUUGCUUAUUGUGGUGCUCAAGUUGUACAAACAUUCCCUGGACCUCACAAGUCCUUGUGUAAGUGAUGCACAUAUUUAGGGGGAGUUGUGUUACAACUUGACCCUUUGAGACUAACCAUAUGCUUGAGUUUGCUUGAUUUAGUCUCGAAGGAGAAUUGAAAGGGAAAAGGUGGACCUGGACCAUGAAAGACUUCCACUACACUCCGAUGAGAGGGUAACUUAUUCCAAGUUCAUCUCAUGAACUCUUAUUGCCAUUUGCUCUUAAUUGAAGAUUUUGGUGAGGCAAUGGGGUUAUAGGGCCAAGAUUGAUCCCGUUUUGGUGCUUGAUGCCAAAGGGGGAGAAAAUAAAGGCCAAAGCAAUAAAUGGAUCAGCUACCACUUGAGAAAUUUUGAAAAUAGUAAAAUAGAGCUUUUUGUUUUGUCAAAACUCUUGCAUUGUCUCUGUUGUCAAAAGUUGGCCUCUUGUGGGGAGAAGUGUUAAUUAUGGGAAAUAGGGGGAGUUUUUGAAAUCCUUGAUCAAUCUCUUUUGGAAUGACUCUCUUUAUGCUUCAACAUGUGUGUUUGACUUAGAGAUAGAGAUUUGAGUUUGGUUUGCAAAAACAAACCAAGUGGUGGCAAAGGAUGAUCCAUAUAUGCCAAAAUUGAAUCAAAAUAAAUUUGAGUUUUAUUUGAAGUGAUAUUGCACUUGUUCUAGUUGCUUUAUGUUGUGUUGGCAUAAAUCACCAAAAAGGGGGAGAUUGAAAGGGAAAUGUGCCCUUGGGCCAUUUCUAAGUAUUUUGGUGAUUGAGUGCCAACACAAGUGCUUAAAUGUGAAUCUAUGCUCUUGGAUGGACAAAGUGCAAAUCAAGAGUAAAGGUAUGUUUCUAAGCCUUAGUACAUUGGUUUUGUGUACUAAUAUACUUGUCUAAGUGUUAGAAACAGAAAGAAGAAGAAAAGAAAAGAGGUGAAAAAGGCUUGGCUGUGUACAGCCAAGACUGAGCUCAGUCUGGCACACCGGACUGUCCGGUGGUGCACCGGACAGUGUCCGGUGCGCCAGGCUGACUCGGCGUGAAGUGGCCGCUCUCGGGAAUUCGCCGACGGCGUACGGCUAAAAUUCACCGGACUGUCCGGUGUGCAACGGACUGUCCGGUGAACCAACGGUCGGCCGGGCCAACGGUCGGCAGCGGAAUCUGCGCGCGACACGUGGCCAGGCCAACGGUCGGAAGGGGGCACCGGACUGUCCGGUGUGCACCGGACAUGUCCGGUGCACCAACGGCUCCCAGAUCUGCAACGGUCGGCCGCGCCAUUUUAGGAAGGAAAUCGGGCACCGGACAGUGUCCGGUGUGCACCGGACUGUCCGGUGCACCCGACGACAGAAGGCAAGAUUGGCCUUCCAGAUUUGCUCUCAACGGCUCCUAGCUGCCUUGGGGCUAUAAAAGGGACCCCUAGGCGCAUGGAGGAGAGAACCAAGCAACCUUAGAGCAUUCUUGAUCAUCCACACUCAGUCUUUGCACAUUCGUUUGUCAUUCUCAGUGAUUCGAGCUCCGUUCUAGUGAGAACUUUGAGAUAGUCUUUUGAGCUCGACUCUUGGCCGUGUGUGUGCGCAUUUUGCUGUGGAUUUGUGUGUGUUGCUUCCCCCCUUACUCCGUAUUUCUUUGUGAAUCUCAAGUGUAAGGGCGAGAGGCUCCAAGUUGUGGAGAUUCCUCGCAAACGGGAUAUUGAAAGGCAAAGCAAAACACCGUGGUAUUCAAGUUGGUCUUUGGACCACUUGAGAGGGGUUGAUUGCAACCCUCGUCCGUUGGGACGCCACAACGUGGAGUAGGCAAGCGUUGGUCUUGGCCGAACCACGGGAUAAACCACUGUGUCAUCUCUGUGUUUGAUCUCUUGUGGUAUUGUGUUUUGUUGAGACUCCACUCUAGCCACUUGGCGAUUAUUGUGCUAACACUUAACAAGUUUUUGUGGCUAUAAGUUUAAGUUUCACAGGAUCACCUAUUCACCCCCCUCUAGGUGCUCUCAACUAGCUACAACCAGCCUUAGAUAGGUAUAAACACAAAAAUAAGUAUUUUAACGUGCUAAUGUGAAGGGGCCUCUUCGGAAGAUCUCCAGAGCUGAAUUCCGCGUGGCUGUUUGACUUCUUCACAACCUUUAGGGCAUGUACAACCUAGACACUGCUGCACGGUACUCCAAGUAUAAGACACAACUAAAACACAACAUAAUACAGUGGUCAUGUAUAAAACAUGUGUCUUACUAUAUUCAUUGUACCAAUCAGAGCAUUCAAUAAGUUAAAGUGACCAACCAGAUAGUCUCAUGUCUUGAAUAUAGAGCUAAGACACUGUGUCUUCGUUAAGAUACAUGUCUUGAGAUUUUUUACAUUCACCCCCCUAGACACACUCUAAGACACAACUUAAGACACCCAUUGUACAUGCCCUUAGUAUUUUGAUAAUAACUCCUCCUAGGAAUCUCCAAAUGGCGUGGGGCUGGAUGCGUUGGAAAGCUAACUUGAUUUGCUUUCUCACCAUGUAUAGCAUGCUUAAUGAAACUUUGUAGAAUGAUGCAGUUUAAUACUAAAACUUGGUCAUCAAGCAGACUGUUGACCUUAUGACAGUCAGAACUAAAGUAGGUCGGUUACCGUGUUGGGUGAUCCGAUUAAGUCGGUCCUAGAAGCAUUGGAAACUAGACUUCAAUAGCUUUCCAAAAUGUACUUAUUGGCCUUCAUAGCUUUUGGGAAUCAAAAGAUAUGAUUGUUUCUUCUGGAUGGUUCUAUCACGCUAGACUGACUCGAACAUAGUUCUCUCUGAUUCGCCCUUGAUAUGUUUUGUCCUUCCUCUUUGGUGGACCUAAGAAAAAUCAACAUACACAACUUAGGUAGAAUAAAGUUGUCAUUAGUGUUUAAUUUAAAUUCAUAAAGUAGCGCGUGCACCUCUUGUUGUAUCUGUUUCACCCGGCUUCGAGUGAUAGGUCCAGUAAGAAUGGUCGGCAAGGUUGACGAUGCUGGUAUGGUCACAUCACACUCCCCCCUUGAAAAAUGAGUCGUCCUCAACUCUUCCAAUCCAAAGCAAGGAGAGAGGUCGGCCACAUUAAAACUAGAACUCACACCAUAAGUAUCUGACAGAUUAAUUUCAUAAGCAUUUUCGUUGAUCUUGCAAAGCACUUUGAAUGGACCAUCAACUCGUUGUUGUAAUUUGCUUUUGCGUUGUUCAGGAAAUCUUUCUUUGCAUAGAUGUACCCAAACCAUGUCUCCUGGUUCGAACAACAUCUUUCUUCAACCCUUGUUGGCACACUAUUCAUAUUUCUUGGUCAUUUUCUCAAUAUUUGCUCGAGCUUUUUCAUGAAGGUUCUUGAUUAACUCGACUCGCUUGCUAGCGUCAAAGUUUACUCGUUCCUGCACAGGCAAUGACAAAAUAUCUAUGGGAGUUGUGGGUUUGAAGCCAUAUACAAUUUCAAAUGGACAAAAUUUAGUAGUCGAGUCUACAGCUCUGUUGUAUGCAAACUCGACAUGUGGUAGACUUUCUUCAGAGAGUUUUAAAUUUUUCUUGAGGAUAGCUCGCAGCAGCAUUGAUAAUGUUCGGUUUACAACUUCAGUCUAUCAAUCUUUUUGUGGAUGGCACGUUGUAGAGAAUAGUAGUCGUGUUCCAAGUUUUCCCCACAAAGUUUUCCAAAAGUAACUCAAAAAAUUAGUGUCACGAUCAGAAACAAUGGUUCGUGGAAUCCCAUGUAAACGAACAACUUCUUUGAAAAAUAAUUCAGCAAUAUGUGAAGCAUCAUCACUCUUGUGGCUUGGAAUAAAAUGUGCCAUUUUGCUAAAUCAAUCAACCACAACAAAAAUGGAAUCCCUUCCCUACUUUGUUCAUGGUAAACCAAGAACAAAAUCCAUGGAUAUGUCUUCUCAAGGCACACUAGGAAUAGGUAGUGGAGUGUAUAAGCCUAUGAGGGUUUAAACGAGACUUAGCUUUAUGACAUGAUUCACAUCGAAGGACAUGUCGCUCCACAUCCCUUUUCAUUUUAGGCCAAAAGAAAUGAUCGGCAAGCACUUGCUCCGUCUUCUUGGCGCCAAAAUGGCCCAUAAGUCCUCCUGCAUGAGCUUCCUGCAAUAUUAAAAUUCGAACAGAACAUUCUGGAAUGCACAUUUUGUUAGCUCGGAAUAAAAAACCAUCAUUAACAUGAAAUUUUACCCAUCCUCUGCCAUCACAACACUUAGAAUAUGGUUCAACAAAGUUUAAGUCAGUCGGUUAUAAUUCCUUUAUACUUUCUAAUCCAAGAAUUUUAGCAUCGAGUUGUGUUAGCAAAGCAUGUCGUCGAGACAAAGCAUCUGCUACAACAUUAUCUUUUCCUUUCUUAUAUUUGACAAUAUAAGGAAAUGAUUCAAUAAAUUCACACCAUUUUGCAUGCCUUCUAUUUAGUUUUAGAUGUCCUUUAAGAUGUUUUAAUGAUUCAUGGUCUGAAUGUAUCACAAAUUCCUUAGGAAAAAGAUAGUGUCGCCAAGUUUCCAAACUCCGAACAAGAGCAUAUAAUUCUUUAUCAUAAACUGAAUAAUUUAGAGUAAGACCACUUAGCUUUUCACUGAAGUAGCCAAUUGGUCUUUGUUCUUGCAUGAGCAUGCCUCUAAUCCCAAUUCCACUGGCAUCACAUUCUAUUUUAAAUGUCUUACCGAAGUCUGGGAGUGCAAGAACUUGGGCUGUUGUUAACUUCGUCUUUAAUUCUUCAAAUGCCUUCUGUUGUGAUUCUCCCCAUUUGAAAGGUACUUCUUUUUUGGUCAAUUCAUUGAUGGGAGCAGCAACAGUACUGAAGUCUUUUUCAAACCGCUGGUAGAACCCAGCGAGCCCAAGGAAACUUCUCACUUGGCUCACAUUCUGUGGAGGCAUCCAGUCGCGUACAACUUUGAUAUUUUCUUCAUCUACCUCCACACCUUGUCCUGAUACAACAAAUCCAAGAAACACUACCUUGUCGGUGCAAAAGGUGCACUUCUCAAGGUUAGCAUACAAGUUUUGUUCUCGAAGGACAACAAGUACAUAUCAGAUAUGUUCAACAUGUUCAUCAAGGCAUUUACUAUAAAUUAGUAUGUCAUCAAAAUAGACAACAACAAAUUUGCCAAUGAAAGUUCUAAGAACAUGAUUCAUUAUCUCAUAAAUGUACUUGGUGCAUGUUAACUCGAAGGGCAUCACCAACCAUUCAUACAACUCAAAUUUUGUUUUAAAGGUUGUUUUCCAUUCAUCUCCCUCUUUCAUACGAAUAUGAUGAUAGCCACUUCUUAAGUCAAUUUUAGUGAAAAUUAAAGCUGUUGGGUCUAUGCUUCGUCGCCGAAGGUCUUCAAGGGAGAAGCGGCUUUAUAAUGAGUGAGCAGGUAUCUUCGGACUUGUAUCAGAAAGGGAGAAGCUCAAAAGAUACAAAGGUUGACACAGCGCCGAAGCUGUGAAGCAGGAAAGCUUCGGCAUGUUCGCAGAAAAGGGAACCGACUUAAAGAUGAAAAGGCCAUUUAGACCUCGAUAGAGUGCUAUAGAAUUAUCACCAAAUGUAAAGGGCAUGUAUGUAAUUUUGUAUGGGUUGUACCCCGUGCCUAUAAAUAGGUGAACAGUACCCCCGUACUGUUCACGCUGACUUGGCAUUUGCUUUUGCGUCACACUUGUAUUUUCAUCUCCUUCCAAGCCGAAGGUACAUUUAUAAUUCAAUAUUGUUUCUAUUUUUCUAUGAUGAUAUAAUAAAGUGAAAUAAAUGAUGUUAUAUGAUUAUUUGUGUUAUCCUUUAACUUUCAUAUACUUCGUCUUUCAUUAAUGUAUACUGUAAUGAUGAAGGUUUGUCCUUCAUAACCUUCGUCCGGAGAUCGUUAUAUCCUAAGGGAAAUAAUGCCUCAAAGGACGAAGGACUUUAUCGUUUAACAUUUUCUAUGUUGCCUUGUUCUUAACUCAUAGCACUUGAGAACAAGUCCCCAACAUUGGCGCCCACCUCCGGUGAACUCACUUCCACUUUUUUGAGCUGAUGGCUUCGUUCAACGAUCAAGCUGGAGCUGCUUCGGACCCGAAGCUGGUGCUCCCGAUCACAGGUGGCUCGUCCUCAGAGCCAGCUAACAAGAAACAGAAGAAGGAAGCACAGAGAAGGGUACAGCAUGUUGGGGUGCAAGGACCCUUCAUCAAGACAAGAUGGUCUCACAUUCCUAUUACCUUCUCCCAAGAGGACCUUCAGCUCAAAGAUUACCCACACAACGAUGCCAUGGUUAUCUCUUGUGUUAUCAAAGGAUUUCUGGUCCACAAUGUCUUGGUUGACACAGGCAGUGCAGCUGACAUCAUAUUUGCUAAAGCCUUCAGACAAAUGCAAGAGCCAGAAGAUAAGAUUCAUGAUGCUACACAUCCUCUCUGUGGCUUCGGAGGAAGACAGAUUGUAGCACUGGGCAAGAUCACCAUGUUAGUGACCUUCGGAUUCAUCAACAACACUAGAACUGAGCAAGUUGUGUUUGACAUUGUUGACAUGGAAUAUCCUUACAAUGCAAUUAUUGGUCGUGGUACUCUUAAUGCCUUCGAAGCAAUCCUUCAUCCUGCUUAUCUUUGCAUGAAGAUACCUUCGGAUCAGGGACCCGUUGCUAUCCAUGGAAGUCAGGAAGCCGCAAGAAGGGCCGAAGGUAACUGGACUGACUCAAAAGCAAUCCAUAAUAUAGAUGGAGCCGAAGCUUGUGCACAGUACAAAUUCAGAAGGGAGAAAGCAGCUUCAGCAGAUCAGCCGAAGCCUAUGCUCUUAUGUGAGGACAUAGCAGAGCAGAAGGUGCUGUUAGGCUCUCAACUAUCCGAAGAGCAGGAAAAAACCUUGAUAAGAUUUUUGUUCAAUAACAAAGAUGUUUUUGCAUGGUCAGCCAAUGAUCUAUGCGGAGUUAAUAGGGAUGUUAUUGAGCACUCGCUCAAUGUCGAUCCAUCCUUCAGACCCAGAAAGCAAAGGCUUCGGAAAAUGUCAGAUGAUAAGGCCGAAGGUGCUCGCAACGAAGUCAAAAGACUCCUCAGUGCAGGAGUUAUUAGAGAAGUGAAGUACCCAGAAUGGCUGGCUAACACUGUUAUGGUAAAAAAGGCCAAUGGUAAGUGGCGAAUGUGCAUCGAUUUUACAGAUCUUAACAAGGCUUGUCCGAAGGAUGAAUUCCCACUACCAAGGAUAGACUCUUUAGUUGAUGCAGCAGCUUCGUCAGAGCUCAUGAGUCUGUUAGACUGCUAUUCAGGCUAUCACCAAAUUUGGAUGAAGAAGGAAGAUGAGCCGAAGACUAGCUUCAUUACUCCAAGUGGCACAUGUUGCUAUCUUCGGAUGCCUGAGGGGCUCAAAAACGCUGGAGGAAGUUUCAGCCGAAUGACUGUGAAGGUUCUUCAAUCUCAAAUAGGCAGAAAUGUGUUAACUUAUGUUGAUGACAUCAUUGUCAAAAGCACGAAGCAGGAGAAUCAUAUUGCUGAUCUGCAGGAGACCUUCGCCAGUUUCAGGCAAGCUGGCUUGAAGUUAAAUCCAGAAAAAUGUGUCUUCGGAGUGAAGAAGGGGAAAUUUCUUGGAUGCUUGGUUUCAACAAAGGGAAUUGAAGCCAAUCCAAGUAAAAUUGAAGCUAUACUUCGGAUGGAGCCACCAACUACAAAGAAGGGGGCUCAAAGAUUGACAGGAAGGUUGGCAUCUCUCAAUAGAUUCAUAUCCAGAUCAGCAGAGAGAAAUUUACCAUUCUUCGAAGUGCUGAAGUCGGCCGAAGUCUUUCAAUGGGGACCAAUCCAACAGAAGGCUUUCGAAGAACUGAAACAAUAUUUGAUAGAUCUAACAACAUUGACUCCACCAAUGCAAGGGGCUCCUUUAUUGUUAUAUGUGGCAGCUUCGCACUCAGCGGUAAGUGCAGCGCUUGUUCAGGAGAAGCUUGAUGGUCAAGUCAAAAGGCAGGCCCCAAUAUAUUUUGUUUCCGAGGUCCUUAGUUUAUCAAAGAAAAAUUAUACAGAGUUGGAGAAGAUACUGUAUGCUGUCUUGAUGGCCUCCAGGAAGCUUCGGCACUAUUUCCAAGCUUACAACAUAAUUGUUCCUUCGUCACAACCUCUGAAGGAUAUUAUGAGGAACAGAGAAGCUACUGGAAGGAUUGGAAAAUGGGCUGCAGAGCUCAAUGAAUUUUGUAUUGAAUAUGUUCAUAGAUCUUCGAUUCAGUCGCAGGCACUGGCAGACUUUAUUGCUGAUUGGACACCAGGGGCUCAGGAGGAGGAAACAAAUAAAGAUAACGAAGCCUGGAUAGUGUUUUGUGAUGGAUCUUGGGGAACCUUCGGAGCAGGAGCGGCUGCUGUGUUGGUUUCACCUUCCAAAGUCAAAACCUGUUAUGCGACAAAACUUGAUUUUAAUUGCACAAAUAACAUUGCUGAGUACGAAGCAUUGAUUUUAGGUCUUCGGAAAUUAAAAGCAAUGGGAAUCAGAAGGGCCAUACUUAAAACUGAUUCCCAGGUUGUUUCGGGUCAUAUUGACAAAAGUUGUAAGGCUAAGGAUCCGAAGCUUGAAAAAUAUCUGGAUAUGGUUCGAAGAGUCGAAGCCUCCUUCGAAGGGUUUUCUGUCAAGAAUAUCCCUCGAGGACAAAAUGAGCAUGCUGAUCUGCUAGCUAAGUCAGCAGCACAGGGGCUGCCUCUACCUUCGGAUGUAUUCUUUGAAACAAUAAAAGCACCUUCGGUGGAACUCCUUGAAAGAGCAGUUCUUAAUAUAUCUCCUGUUUUUAGUGAAGAUUGGAGAACUGAGAUCAUCUCUUACCUUCAGGGUAAAUUUCUUUCAGAUGACGAAGCUUAUAACAAGAGAAUAGAGGCAAGAGCUCGUCCAUAUGUCAUGAUAGAGGGGGAGUUGUACAAACAUGGAGUUUGUGCUCCGUUGCUCAAAUGCUUAUCCAGAACCGAAGGUAUAGAGUUAAUGAAAGAAAUACAUGCAGGCCUGUGUGGAUCUCACAUCGGAUCUAGGCCGUUACUUGGAAAAAUUUUCCGUCAAGGAUUUUAUUGGCCGAAGGCAGCUUCGGAUGCAGCAGAAUUGGUUCAAAAGUGCGAAGGUUGUCAGAAAUGUGCAAGAGAUCAAAAACGACCUUCGUCCUUGACACAGCUCAUACAACCCACUUGGCCAUUGCAAAGGUGGGGCCUUGACUUGUUAGGUCCGUUACCACCGGCCCAAGGGAACUUGAGAUAUGUUGUGGUAGCUGUGGAAUAUUUUUCUAAAUGGAUUGAGGCGAAGCCUUUAGCCACAAUAACUUCGGCUACCGUCCAAAAGUUUUUCUGGCAGAAUAUUGUUUGUCGUUUCGGGGUGCCAAAGGUUAUCACUGUGGACAAUGGAACACAGUUUGACUCCGAAGCUUUCAGGGAUUUCUGUGACCAAAUUGGUACGAAGAUCCAUUUUGCAUCAGUCAGGCACCCGGAGUCAAAUGGACUCGUUGAAAGAGCCAACGGCAUUAUAAUGACAGGAAUAAUGAAGCUAAUCUUCAAUCAGCCUAGAGGAAAAUGGCCAGAUCAGCUAACCAAAGUGGUGUGGAGCCACAACACGACAACAUCAAGGUCCACAGGCUUCACUCCAUUUAAGUUAUUAUUCGGUGACGAAGCAAUAACUCCAGAGGAAGCUAAAGCCGGAUCAAUAAGGAUAGUAGCUUCGGCAGAAUCAGAUUCCGAAGCUGCUUAUUCUAUAGAAAAAGAUGCUUUAGAAGGGAUCAGACUGCAAGCCGUGGAGAAUAUUAAUAAAUAUCAAGCUGAAACAGUCAAAUGGCGGGAUAGAAAGGUUCGGCUAAAAAAUAUUGAGCCAGGGCACUUGGUACUUCGGAGGGUGGCCAACCCGGAAACAGUGGGCAAAUUGCAGUUGAAAUGGGACGGGCCUUUCUUAGUAGCAUCUUCGUCAAGGCCCGGGUCAUACAGAUUGAAAGAUAUGGACGGCAAUGACAUUCCUAGGUCCUGGAAUGCGGAUGAGCUUCGGCGAUAUUAUGUAUAAUUCGAUGUAAUUUUUCACAUUUUUAUUUUUUCUUUCAUGGCACCCUUUUCCUUUCCAAAGGGGGAGAAAGGUUUUUAAUGGGGCCAGCAUAUGUAAUUUCCUUUUUUAGUCUUAUAAGAGCAAAAUCCCCCAAAGAAUGUAAAUGUAAAAGCUGAGAGUGCACCAUCGAGUGCCGAAAAGUAAAAACGACGAAGCUCCAAAGACGUUCCUAAGGGAAUGCAGAGCUUAUACCGCCUAAGUAAAAGGCGAAGAAGCUCCAAAGACGUUCCUAAGGGAAUGCAGAGCUUAUACCGCCUAAGUAAAAGGCGAAGAAGCUCCAAAGUCGUUCCUAAGGGAAUGCAGAGCUUACAGCGAAAAGUCAACGCUGAUUCCGCCAAAAGUAAAGGCGAAGAAGCUCCAAAGUCGUUCCUAAGGGAAUGCAGAGCUAAGGUGUGAUUGUUUUUAAGAGAAUAAUGGCUAUAAAUAUAGCUUCGGAUACGUGUUUGGCCAUUCAUUUGCACAACACAUUACAUCAUAGCAUUUGCAUUCAUAAACAUUCAUCUAGGCAUAUGUAGGAUAAUCAUCUUCAUCGCAUAAAAUGAUUGCUUCGGCAAGAAGAGAAAAAAGAAAGGGAAAAGAGCUUCGUGCACAAAAAAGAGGGGAAACUGUUGUUUUUAUGAAGGAGAGCUUCGGGAAAAAGGAAAAUGUUGUUUUCUAUGCUUCGUUGCGUACGAAAAGAAGGGAAGGUGUUUUUUUUUGCCUUCGGCUCAAAAAAAAGAAAUUUCGUCCACAUCAAAGCAUUUCUCAUAAAUCAGUGAAAGGUUAAGGAUAUAUUACAAGGUAUGAACAGUAUACAUGGAAGUUUUGUUUACAUUUACAAGAGUUAUCUCAAAAGUUUUUCAAGUACUGUCUGCAGUCUACUAUCUAAAUCUCCAAGGAGCUUCGGCUUCGGUAUUAUUUUGGAUCAUCAGCUUCGGCUUCGUCAUCCUACAUGAAUAAGGUCAUUGGAAGUCAGAAUCAAGUUUAUAGAAAAAGGUAAGCACAAGGUAUGAUUUCUUACUGGAUCAAGGUGGCUACGAGCUUCGUCUCCAGCUUUUUCUCGACCACCUUUUGUCCAUAUCAUUUUUACAAAUCGAUUCGAGAUGCUUCGGGCGAGAUCAGGGAUGUCAUCCAGGAUUGAUGGUGACAAAGUAAAAUUUGGCCUAUUGACAAUUUUCCCAUGAUCACAGCCAGCCUUCAUGAAGGCUGCAGCGGUCCCUCGAGAAGCCACCCAGGCACAGAAGUCACCAUGCCCAGCUAUGACUUCGUCGAGCUCGUCAAUCUCCCCCUCAAUGUGUUCGAAGGUUUUUGGUAGAUCUUCAGCUGAGGGGGUAAAUUUUUCGCUGCUAGCUCCAACCGAGUAAAAAAUCUUUCUUAAUCGUUGAAUGCACUUGUUGCUAAAUUCCAGGCAUUUUUCUUGAAGAUUUGUCAGUAGUUUUCUCAAAUCCGAAUUCUGCUGAGCUUCGGCUUCAAGUUUUUCAUUGAGAUCUUGUUUUUCUCGUUCGAACUGCUCAGACUGGCGGAGAAGCUUCGAGUUUAGUUCUGAUAUUUUUGCUUCAGCUUCCGCCAGUAAGCCUUCGGCUGCCUGGAGCUCAAAGUUCUUUUUCUCAAAAGCAUCUGAUUGCUCUUUUAUUUUGUUUUCCAAAUUUCCGAUUAUAAUUUCAUGCUUUUUAUCUUCAAGAUCUUGCUGCAUUUGCAAGGCUUUGCUCAAUAGCAUGCUCUACAUAAACACAACCUUCGUCAGACAUGUUUUAUUAGAAACAAUAAAAGUUAAGGGACAAGUCAUUUACCUUGAAGUUGGAGUAAAACAAACUACCAACGACAUGUUGUCGUCGAUAGCGGCUGAUAUCUGCUUCUAGCUUCGGGAAUCCAAUACUUUUGGACAGAGUACUAAUAACUUUGGCCCCUGUUUGGUCCCGGAUACACUCUAAUUUCUCGUCAUCAACGCCUCCGAAGAGGAGUGCCCCAGGUUUAUAUCCACAGGAUUGGGCAUACUCUUUAAGCUCUUCUAUUUCAGCUUUUGUUAGAUGUUCUCCAACUAAGUUUUGGAAUGCGAAAGCUUCGUCUUCUGAAGCUUCAUCAGCAAUUUCUUUUCCUUUCUUUGACGCUGCGGUCACAGUCUCUUCGGCAGCAGCGGCAGCUUCUUCUGCAGCCAUGUCUAGCAGCAUUUGGUCAAUAUGUUCAAUUGUGCUCUCUAAAUUCAAAUCUUCAGCUGAGGUAACUUCGGCGACUGCGGCCUCCGAAGGUGCAAUUUCAAUAUCUGCUUCCUCUAAAGCUGCUCGUGUCUUUUGGGCCGAAGCUCUUGGCGGCGUUUUGUCAAUUACCUCUGUCACGGUAAUGAUUCUUUGUUUCCUUGCCUUGAUUGUUUUCUUCGAUUUCUCGGGCUCCUUGUCCUUCUGAAAAAACUUUGUCAGUUGUGGACCCAGUGGACUUAGCUUCGCAGGUAAGGAUUCAGUCAUUACCUUCAGAAUUUCCUCAACAACGGCAGCAGAAGGCGAUGCGGGGGUUUCUUCUGCUUCGGAUAUUUGUUGCUUCGGAGAAGAAGUUUUCCUUUUCUUUGGAAUUUUCUUCUUUAUUGGCUCUUUUUCACCUUCAUCUAAGGCUUCAGUCCCCCUUUUCCUUUUUUGGCCUCCGGCACCUUUGUUCAGAUCUUCGUAGUCUGGGUACUCGAAACCCAAGGCGUCCAAUACUCGAUUUAGCCUUCGUUUCGGUCGAGUGCCGAAGGCUGCGGUCAUCAAUUGAUCUUCUUUUUUCGAAUAAUUGCCAAGUAUCUCGUUGCACAUCACUUCGAUCAUAUCCAGCCACUCUUGGCAAGGAGCUUUAAAGUAUUUCUUAAAUUUGAAGCAGUAAGGCAAACGUACAAGUUCACCUUUUUUCUUUUCCCCCUCCAGUUUCGGCAUUUCCCACUCUUUUACACUAGGGAAAACCUUGAAAGCCAAGAAUUCCUGGACUAGGUCCCUUGUACUGAUAUUCUCUGCAAUUAUUUUGAAUUCAUACAUUGCUUUUUGGGUCGGACCCUCUGGUAACAUGUGGCACUGGGGGCGGGUUUCUCCGAAGGUCAAUUCAAGUGGACUCUGUACAAGCUUUUCCUUAUCGUCAUCAACCUUGACAUAGAACCAUUCCGAUUUCCAUCCUGCUGCCCAUUUGCUUCGGUAGCUGAUCACAGGAUACUUCGUAGUUUUCCGAUAAGCAAAAUUAUAGCAACCAAAAUUCUCAUGUAAUCCAUCUUUUCUAGCCUUUGUCUGAUAGUGCAAUUCGUGAACCCGGCAAAAGCUGUCCGCAAACGGUUCCACCGCCUGGCUUCAAAGUGCCCAGAUAUAAACAUUAAGCCUAACGAUAGCGUUGGGGGUCAGCUGGUGAAAAUAGAUUCCAAAAUUCUUUAAUAUCUCUGCAAUAAUCCCAUGAAGGGGAAUCUUAAUCCAGCCUUUAGGAAACUCUUAAAAAUAACAAUUUCAUCUUUUUCCGGCUUUGGGGUAGUCUCUUCUCCCCCGAAGCGUAAUAGCUUCUUUUGAUUUUCAGUAAAAUAUCCUGACUUUACCAUCUUGGACAAAUCAGCCUUCGAAACAGUAGAUUUCCCGAAGUCCAAAUGACUGGGUUUGCUUGGUGUGGCAAGGUGAUAAUCAUCUUCGGAGUCAGUUUCCUCAGCAUCUUCUCCUUCUGCUUCAGCGAUUGCUUGUUCUGCAUCAUCAAUAGGAGCCUUCUCCGAAGUCACUAGCCCGGAUCAUCGCAUGGCUUCGGAGAUAGGGACAGUCUCCGAAGCAUCAGUUUCGUCCCCCUCACGUUCAACCCUAGCGGUAGAACGGACUCUGGCCAUUUAACUAUGAACUUGUGAAACUUUAAUACUUUUUUCUCCGAAGCAGGCUUCAAGAUGGAGCUUCGUUCAAUUCUGACAAACAAGCUUCGGCGAUGGUUAAGAAUUUUGGCAGCAAAACAGUGCAAAUAGCAGUAAAUGCUGUGGUAACUUCACACCUACUCGUCUGUUUAUAUAGUGCCGCAGGUAAGAAGGCGAAGCGCCAGAAGUUUUACACCAGGCGGGCACCCGCUCGCACUCGCUGAACGGUGGACCACAGAGACCGAACAGUAAUUCUGCAAGGUGGGGCCGCUACGCGCAGGGAGAGUGAAUCGUUUCUCGGCAACGAGCUCAGGGAAGGUGUUUUUUGGACCUUCGGCUCCCCGAAGCUUAAGAGACUUUUUUCACGGAUCAAGCUCGUUACGAAAAACGAUCUAGCACCGCGAAAGGGGCUACUGUUGGGUCUAUGCUUCGUCGCCGAAGGUCUUCAAGGGAGAAGCGGCUUUAUAAUGAGUGAGCAGGUAUCUUCGGACUUGUAUCAGAAAGGGAGAAGCUCAAAAGAUACAAAGGUUGACACAGCGCCGAAGCUGUGAAGCAGGAAAGCUUCGGCAUGUUCGCAGAAAAGGGAACCGACUUAAAGAUGAAAAGGCCAUUUAGACCUCGAUAGAGUGCUAUAGAAUUAUCACCAAAUGUAAAGGGCAUGUAUGUAAUUUUGUAUGGGUUGUACCCCGUGCCUAUAAAUAGGUGAACAGUACCCCCGUACUGUUCACGCUGACUUGGCAUUUGCUUUUGCGUCACACUUGUAUUUUCAUCUCCUUCCAAGCCGAAGGUACAUUUAUAAUUCAAUAUUGUUUCUAUUUUUCUAUGAUGAUAUAAUAAAGUGAAAUAAAUGAUGUUAUAUGAUUAUUUGUGUUAUCCUUUAACUUUCAUAUACUUCGUCUUUCAUUAAUGUAUACUGUAAUGAUGAAGGUUUGUCCUUCAUAACCUUCGUCCGGAGAUCGUUAUAUCCUAAGGGAAAUAAUGCCUCAAAGGACGAAUGACUUUAUCGUUUAACAUUUUCUAUGUUGCCUUGUUCUUAACUCAUAGCACUUGAGAACAAGUCCCCAACAAAAGCAACACUAAGUUCAUCAAGCAUAUCACCUAAUCUAGGAAUUGGAUGUCUAUACCUUACGGUGAUGUUAUUGAUAGCUCGACAAUCCACACACAUUCUCUAAGAUCCAUCUUUCUUAGGAACUAGAAGGACAUAGACAACACAAGGGGAAAGACUUUCUUGUACGUACGCUUUUUUAAUCAAUUCUUCCACUUGUUGCUGAAUCUCCUUUGUUUCUUCUGGGUUGGUGCUAUAGGCAGCACGAUUUGGGAGGGAAGCACCAGACACAAGGUCUAUUUGAUGUUCAAUCCCUCUCUUAGGUGGUAGCCCUAGUGGCACUUCAUCAGGAAGCACAUCCUCAUAUUCCUGUAAUGCAUCAAAGACAAUACUUGGCAAAGUAGAGGGUAAGUUGUUAGUAGAAAGAAGGUUGUCCUUGUACAGGAGCACAAAGAACAUGGCAUUAGGUUCACUCAAUUCUUUUAGAUCCCCCUUCCUAGUCAUCAUGACUAAUCCCUCUUUUCCCGGUGUCUUGGUUAUUGGAGGCUGUGGAGUUUUAUUUGGCUUUGAAAACUCUUCCUUACUAUUUUUGUGGAUCACUCUCAAGUGCUUCUCGCUCUCUCGCUGUUUCUUCUUUAGAUCAUCCUUCAUAAUUUCCUCCGGUGUCAAAGGAAGCAAAGAGAUUCGCUCUCCUUUGUACAAGAAAGACAACUUGUUGGUUCUUCCAAAAAUCUGGACAUCACGAUCAUAUAACCAAGGUCAACCUAGCAGCAAUUGACAUGCUUGCAUAGGGACCACAUCACAUUCCACAUGAUCAUUCUACUUCCCAACAGAAAAAGGAAUAUUCACCACAUGGCUAACACGCAACGCUCCACAAACAUUAAGCCGCUGCAUCUUAUAUGGACUAGGACGACACCUUGAUUUUAAUUCCAAUCUGUCCACCAAUUCUUGACUAGCAAUGUUGUUGCAGCUACCAUUAUCAACAAUGAUGCGACAUAGCUUAUCUUUGACCAUACCUUGGGUAUGGAAAACAUUAUGGCGCUGUCCAUUUUCUUCUCUUUCAGCAGUCACACUUACCACUCGAAGAGAGAUAAAACAGUUAUGAUCUACUUCUGGCUAGAUCUCAUUCUCUUCAUGUUGAAUUUCUUCAUCAAACUUCAGUCCAUCGUCUUCUGGAACACUAUCUGAUUUCCAUUCACCUUUUUAAUUCAACAACAUUGUUCUUCUACUUGGACAUCGAGCAGCAAUGUGCCCACGACCAUGACACUUAUGGCACACAAUUUCUCUUGUAUGGGUAGAAGAAGUAGCGACUAAAGCUUCAGUCGGGUCUGAUGUACUAGCAGCAGGCCGAUGCUUAUUUGCAGGGAAUGAACCUAUAGAAGCCACCAUCUUUGAUGUACUAUUGGAUGGAGAAGACCUAGCUACAUUUCCUUGGGAUGGUCCUCCACCAAAAGAAGCACUGGAUUGUUGUUUGUGCCAUUGGACAACAUUAUAAUGACUUGCAUAAGAUUUUCCACGUGACUCUUGUUGAAAUUUUCUCUCUGUACGCAUUGCUUGAUCAACUAGAUCUUGCAAGGUACGGUAUGGGAACAUCUCGACAAAUCCAGAAAUCUCUUCAUUGAUUCCGCCUAGAAAUCUUGCCAUGGUUGACUCAGGAUCUUCUCUAAUUCGAGUUCGUACUAACAACAACUACAUCUCCUUAAAAUAUUCAUCAACAGAUUUCUUUCCUUGCUUCAAUAAUUGCAAUCGAUUUCGAAGAUCGCGUUGAUAGUUGGAAGGAACAAAUCGCCUCUUCAUCACUCGCUUCAUCUCUUCCCAUGUAUUAAUAUGUCUUAGUCCCAAUCUAAGUUGAUGUUCUUGCAGUUGAUUCCACCAAGUAAGAGCAUAACCAAAAAACUCAACUGGGGACAUGUUCACUCGUUGUUGAUCUAAAAAAUUGUGAAUUCUGAAAAUUUGAUCACACUGCUCAGCCCAAUUAAGAUAUUCAUCUGCACUUUCUUUCCCAGUAAAUUUAGGAAUAUCCAACUUGACUCGGGCAAUAUGGUCUCGGUCAUUUCUAUGACGACGUCCAUGAUAAUGGUCUCUAUUUUCAAAAUUAGCAUGUCGGUGAUGAUGACGCCGACCAAACAUUCCAUCAUUUGCAAAAGGAUUUUCAUCAGAUCCUUCCUCACGAUCAUGGUCUUCAGACUCCUUGUCUUCAAAUCUUACUCGACGUUCGUGUGCAUGACGCCUUCCACACAAAUUAUCGAAAUUAGCGCGGCGACCAUCACCAACCUCUACGGCCAUCGCCGAAGGGAUCGAAUUCAUGGUCAAAACCAGAAUUCUCAUCUCCGGAUUCUUCACGGUUAAAUUCUUCUGGAUCAUGAUGAUGUAGCCUUUGACCUCCUGUCGCAGUCAGACGUUCUUUUGACAUCCUUUCCAUGGCUCCCACGAGUGAGUCGGCCAUCUGAUGCAAUUCAGCCCGAGAGACAGGGGGCUCUCCAUCUCCAUGGUUUCCACCAUGAACACUUGAAUUGGAUCCUACCAUGUUAGAGGGAAGCAAGAGAAAGUAGAAUAUGAAAGUAUUUGUGGAACACUCGAUCUCACCUCUUACUUACUGUUGGGGACUUGUUCUCAAAUGCUAUGAAUUAAGAACAAGGCAACAUAAAAUGUUAAAUAUUAAUGCCCUUCGUCCACUGAAGCAUUAUCUCCCCAAGGAUUUAAUGAACUUCGGACGAAGGCCAUGAGCAAGAUAUCACGAAGAUCAUACCUUCGUGAUUAGAGUUAUAAAACAAUGUAGGAUGAAAUAUAAAAAUAUGAAACAUAAGGGAAUGAUAUAUCAAAAACACAUAAGAUUAUUCACACAUUUUAUUAUACAAACCUAAAUAUUAAAACAUAAUAUUUAGGUACAUUUAUACCUUCGCCUUGGCAGAAAGCAAUAAUUCCAGCGUAAUGUGCCAGCGAUUACAAGAUUGCGUGAACAGUGCAGGGGUACUGUUCACCUAUUUAUAGGCACAAGACGCAGCCUGUGUAUAAUUACAUUUAUACCCUUUACAAUCAACUACAAUAAUGACACAGAAUAUCAUGGGUCUUUAGGUCAUUUCAUCUUUAAGUCGGUUCACCCCUUCGUCUUGAGACAUGUCACUGUGCCGAAGCUUUAUAGGCAAUAGCUUCGGCACUGCUUUUGAGAGGAUCUGCCGAAGGUGUUUCUUUCUUUAGGAUCUUCGGCUAUGAAGCAUACCCCCAACAGUAGCCCUUCGCGGUGCUAGAUCUUUUUUCGUAACGAGCUUGAUCCGUGAAAAAAUCUUUUAGGCUUCGGGAUGCCGAAGAUCCGAAAAACACCUUCCCUGAGCUCGUUGGCGAGAAAUGAUUAAAAUAAUCCAUGCGCGAGGUGGCCCCAUCUUGCAGCAGUUACGCGCACCCUGGUGAUUCACCUUCUCGGACUCUGUGGCCCACCGUUCGGUGAGUGCGGGUGGUUGUUUGUCCGGUGCGGAAGACCUUGACGAUUCACCUUUCCACCUGUGGCACUAUAUAAACAGACGAGUAGGUGUGAAGUUACCACAACAUUCAUUGCUAUUGCGCUGUUUUGCUGCCAAAAUAUUGACUAAAGCCGAAGCUUGCUUACUGCAUCCUCAUCUGAAGCUAUUUGUUUUACUCAAGCUUCGUAACAAGAAAGAGCUUCAACAAAGUUAAAAAUUUCAACUUCAUUCAAAAAACAAGAAAUUCAAUCAUCAGAUGGCCAAAGUACGUUCAACAGCUAGAGUUACUCGCGACGGAGAGGAAGCCGAAGGUGCCAAAAUUGCUCCAAUCUCUAAAGUAAUGAAGCGUUCAGGGCUGGUAGUAUCGGAGGAUGCACCUGCCGCUGAAGCUGAGCAGGCUGAUGCUGAGGAAGUUGAGUCAGAAGAUGAUUACAGCGCAGUGCCAACUAAACCCAGCCACCUGGAGUUUGGGAAAUCCACCAUUUUCGAAGGUGACAUGCCGAAGCUGAUGAAUUUGGGCUAUUUCAGUGAAGCGAAGAAGGAGCUGGUUCAUUUCGGCGGGGAGGAGAUUACUCCGAAGCCAGGAAAGGAUGAAGUAGUGGUCUUCAAAAGCUUCUUUAAAGUUGGUUUAAGAUUUCCUUUAAACAAGAUGAUUGCUGAUGUUUUGAAGAAGUUUGGGAUCUAUCUUCAUCAACUAACUCCUAACACUAUCGUUAGGCUUAGCGUUUAUAUCUGGGCUCUCCGAAGCCAAGGGGUGGAACCAUUUGCCGAAGGCUUCUGCCGACUGCACGAGCUUCAUUAUCAGACCAAGGCUAGAGGAGAUGGGCUGCAUGAAAACUUUGGCUGCUACAAUUUUGCCUAUCGCAAGAGUACAAAAUUUCCAGUGAUCAGCUAUCGUAGCAAGUGGCGAGCUAGCUGGAAGUCUGAGUGGUUUUACGUCAAAGUUGACAAAGAAAAGGAGAAGUUGGUCCAGAAUCUGCUAGAAUUAAUCUUCGGAGAGACCAGACCCCAGUGCAACAUGACACCAGGGAGUCCAAGCCAAAUUGCUCUGGCUGAACUUAGAGUUAUUGUGGAGCAUAUCGGCACUAGGGACUUAGUGCAAGAAUUCUUGGCUUUCAGAGUGUUCCCAACUUUGAAAGAGUGGGACAUGCCGAAGCUUAAGGGAGAAAAGAAGAAGGGGGAACUUAUUCAGUUGCCUUAUCAUUAUAAAUUCAAGAAACAUUUCAAAGUGCCUUGCCAAGAGUGGCUGGACACGAUUGAAGUAAUGUGCAAUGAAAUUCUCGGCAAUUACUCUAAAAAAGAAGAUCAACUAAUGACUGCAUCCUUCGGCACCCACGGUGGGCGCCAAUGUUGGGGACUUGUUCUCAAAUGCUAUGAAUUAAGAACAAGGCAACAUAAAAUGUUAAAUAUUAAUGCCUUUCGUCCACUGAAGCAUUAUCUCCCCAAGGAUUUAAUGAACUUCGGACGAAGGCCAUGAGCAAGAUAUCACGAAGAUCAUACCUUCGUGAUUAGAGUUAUAAAACAAUGUAGGAUGAAAUAUAAAAAAUAUGAAACAUAAGGGAAUGAUAUAUCAAAAACACAUAAGAUUAUUCACAUAUUUUAUUAUACAAACCUAAAUAUUAAAACAUAAUAUUUAGGUACAUUUAUACCUUCGCCUUGGCAGAAAGCAAUAAUUCCAGUGUAAUGUGCCAGCGAUUACAAGAUUGCGUGAACAGUACAGGGGUACUGUUCACCUAUUUAUAGGCACAGGGCGCAGCCUGUGUAUAAUUACAUUUAUACCCUUUACAAUGAACUACAAUAAUGACACAGAAUAUCAUGGGUCUUUAGGUCAUUUCAUCUUCAAGUCGGUUCACCCCUUCGUCUUGAGACAUGUCACUGUGCCGAAGCUUUAUAGGCGAUAGCUUCGGCACUGCUUUUGAGAGGAUCUACCGAAGGUGUUUCUUUCUUUAGGAUCUUCGGCUACGAAGCAUACCCUCAACACUUACCCAAGCUCUUUCCUAAUCUCUAGGGCCGUGAUGGUGCCGGUGUGGCAGCUUCGACAGAGGUGGUAGAGCAGUCGAAAGGAUAACAAGUCAAACGUCCUGGUUCAGGUUUUUUAGUGGAGCUAUAGGAGGCUGAUCAAGGUGGGCUAUGGUACUAUCAACCAAGUGUGUUGAUGUGCUAAAAAGAUAUGAAAUUGUUGCUGGAAAGAUUCUCAUCAAAUCAAUGUAAACUAAAAUUUUCAGCAACACACCGCAACACAAUCCCCUUUCACAAAUUUUUUCACUUCUUCUUUUUUUGACUUCUUUCUCUUCUUCUUUUUUUCUUUCUCUCUUUUUUAUAACACUAAUGGAGUGUCGAGAUCAAAUGCAAUGACACAAUAUGAAUACGACGGUGGUAACUAGCAACUUGAGGAACUUUAAACAACACAAGGUAACAAUACCGCCAAAGGGUUAUAGGUUUUUUGUGUGGCUUUGGACUAUAGGACAAAACAAAAUAUAAGAUGGAUGAAGACUGUGAUAAAUAAGUGGAUGACAGUAAGACCUACCAUGACAACGAAAGCUCUGAUACUAGAUGAUAUGUACCGAGUUAUAUUCGGUACUAGGGUGCCCCAAUCUUCACGACAAUAGGUUGAUAAAUAAGAUGGUUGGGUAUAAAAGUAAUGGAAUAACAAGGUAAAUUUGUUGUAGAACAUCGGGUAACUGACUUUAUACCUGAUCAAGGUCGGAGGUGACCAAGCGACGGGGAGAGAGACACCGAAACCGUGGAGACUUUGACUCGAUCUCUGAACGACCAUAGAAUCACAACCGGAGCUAAUCCACACAAUGCGAGGCAGCCGUACUGGAACUCACAAGGCAUGAACUAGUGGAUCCCAGAGGAGUCUCUUCACAAGUCUAGGAGAACAAGGAAGAACAGGGGUAGAGUAAACACUCAGCAGCUUGGCUGCGGUAAUCACUUGGAUUAUCAAAUCAUCAAAGGUUAUCAAAAGUUGUUUUACAUCAUAGACAUAGGGGGGUAUUUAUACUAGCUACAACCAGCCUUAGAUAGGUAUAAACACGAAAAGAAAGUAUUUUAACGUGCUAAUGUGAAGUGGCCUCUUCGGGAGAUCUCCAGAGCUGAAUUCUGCGUGGCUGUUUGACUUCUACGUAGCCUUCAAUAUUUUGAUAAUAACUUCUCCUAGGAAUCUCUAAAUGGCGUGGGGCUAGAUGCGCUUGAAAGCUAACUUCAUAAGCUUUCUCACCAUAUAUAACAUGCUUAGUGAAACUUCGUAGAAUGAUACAGUUUAAUACUAAAACUUGGUCAUCAAGCAGACUGUUGACUGUCACACCCGGGUUUUAGGGGGCACCAAAACCCGGACGCGAGAUAAUCACCAAGUGUGCUGGGACCAAGUCUCACACAUAUGAUGACUCAUGGUACAUAAACGAAUGUCACAUCUUUAGUAUAUAAUAGGAUUUCUAUACAAAAUAAAUAAAUAAUUACAUCAUAUGGAGACAACUAUCCAACAACCCAAAGUUGAAUGUGAGACGACGGCUUAGACCUCUUACGAAUUCAUCACAACAUCCUCCAUGUGCCUCCUCCUGCGGUAACUGUUCUUGACCUGUGGGGGGUGUGAGACAGCAAGGGUGAGCUCACAUACGUUCAUCGCUCAAUAAGUUGUGGGGAAUAAUGUGCAUGAACUCACCAAAGGUGGGAGCUCAUGUAAAGUGUAAGGCUUACCAAAGAAGAUGGCUAAAGCUGAGCAUUGCUUUUAAAUUUGGUCAAAUUUUAUUACAGUUACUAAGUAUAAGUAGAUACCAACCCAAAUAAGUAAUAGAUCAAAAUUGAUAACAACACCCACGAUGCAAUGCAUAUGACAAAUUAAGUUUAGUUCCAUAAAUUAAUCAUGUGAGUUUCGAGCCGCUCAUGACCGUAAGCACGACUGAUACACCAAUUUUACACUCUGCAGAGGUUGUGCAUAUUUACCCACAAGUUGUGUUAUCCAUCUGUCAAGGGGUUAUGAAUCCCAUACACCUCUACCAAGGAAGUGAGGUAGGGUAACAAUACGAGGCCUUUACAAAGUUCCACUAACUUCAGAAAACCCGCUACAGUUUCUAGGAAGCUCCAAUGCAGGGAUCCCUCACUUGACCAUCAUCGCAGCAAAAUCAACCCAAGGACCUCCCUACACUGACCACUCCCCUACUGCCCUUGCCCCUUUCGGGUAAGAUAGUCCUCCACUAGCUUUCCUAAUUAGUCAGCCAAGGGCGUCCCAUACCACCCUUGUGGUAGCACUGUUUUCCCGGGUGGUUCUCCAUGUUCCAAUUAACAAUAUGAUCUUAUCAUGAACAAUAAUUAAACAACAACAUAAUUGGAACAUGAUUAUAAUGAAACAUUAGUUUCCCAAAACCAAAUAGAGCAAUAGCAAAGAUACCCAAUAAUUCAUCUGUCUACAAGGUGAGGAAUAAACAAUGCUAGGGAAACCUAUUAGGUCCCAUCAAAUUAACCCGAUGCCUGUCACAGUGAUUAGCAAUGAACAUUAUUAGGUAAAAAGGAGUGAUCGAGGGCACAACUUGCCUGGGACUCGAGAUUCCAGGUACCAGGAUGAUCUUCAGAUGACUCGCAACCUCGCGCUAGUCGUAGCAAUACAAACAAACAUAGCAUAGGCAAAAUUAACAUCACACCAAACAUAAUCACAAAUUAAAUAAUAAUGAUCUACACGUCGUAACGAGAUCGUAGGUUCGAGAAUUACUAAAAUCGGAGCUACGGUUUUAAAGAUACGAUUUUCUAAAGAUUUAGGAGUCGGGUACAAAAGAAAUUAAGUACAUGAUUGUAAUUUAUGUUUCAUAACAAAAUAAAGUUACCAGGGGAUAAACAAUAUUAUUAUGGAACUAAUGCAACUGGAAUAAAUCAAAAAGGAGUUAAAAUGCGCAAGUUAUGAAUUUUCUAAGUUUAUUCUAUAUUAUAAAUCAUUUUCUAGAUUUGUAUUUGCUUAAAACAAAAACUAUGGCUGCAGUUACUAAAUCUGAAGUGUACAGGGGCUAUCCCAUAAAUGUCCAGGGCACAAAUAGAAUUAUUUAGCACUGGUAGGGGAUGGCAGGUUAGUUUCAAGAUUUUCCGAGGACUCUUUAGCAAAAGACCCACGACGAAGGGGUAAGAUCACACCUGAGCCGCACGAUCUGAAGUCUAUGGCCCAGAUUAGAUCGCCUACAACUGAAUGGGUAUAGAGCUGUAGCCCUUGGAUCCACGAUCAACGCUCUGGAUUUUAAAGACUUGAAUGGGUUCUCACGCGUCAGAUUUAGAUCGGACGGUGCGCAGCUAUCCAUGAAGGGGUAUCAAGCUUUUCUGACCGCGUGAUCACAAAUUGAUGGUCCAGAUUUAAAGGCACAUACGAUUAUGCAUCUUCUAAUAUGAAUCAUUGAUCAAGCAGUCAACGACUCAGAUCCCAAUCCCUGAAGUUGUACCCGAAGUUCUAAUCCUAGCCCUCCAAAAUGGAUCGCAUGACUCAAUUACCAUCUUCUUCCCUCAAACUACACACACAGCGGCGCACGCCGGUGAACCACCCCAUCACGGCGCAUGGGUACACGAUUCCCAAAUCAAUCUGGUGCUACACGAUGUAGGCCCAUGGGCGAAUCGGUAUAGGGAGUUCUUAUCGUGUCUCGACGCAACAGAGGACGUGACCACGACGCACAGGGGUGUGGUGGCAGCACAAGAGCUCCUAUGAGCAAUCACCACACCAACGCAGCCACCGAGUACCAAAUACCCCACGUGUGUGAUCUUUACCUUCAAGCGAACCUCCCCACCCAAUUGAUCGACACCGAGUUGCAGUGGCGGUGAGAGUAUGCUGCGGCAGCGCUCAUGUUUUCUUCCCCUGUCAAUGGUGUUCGGCGCGGUGACCCAAGCUUUAUAGACACGCAGAGUCUGUGCCAAGACCAGCUACCCACCUAGCGCCAGUUGUGUGGGUGUUGCGCCAAACCCCGAAGAUCGUGGACGGCGGGCGAGAAGGAUCUCGCGGUCUUUUUUGGGAUGCGGCAGUCGUGGCUCUUGAUAGAGGGAAGAAAGACCUGGCGGACGGGGCCCACGCGACAGAUAGAUAGAUCAGGUGCGUGCAUAUGGGUGGCCUACAAGCGGGCCCCGCAGGUAAGUGUGAGGUCCAGAACGGAAGCGCGCGUGUGAGUAGAGUGGGUUGGUGGAAUGGUGAGCCGGAUGGGCCGAGGGGAGAGGAAAUGGGCCCAUGCGUGGUUCUCUGUUUUUCUUUUUCUUUUUAUUCUGUUUUGAAUUUCUUUCUCAAUUUCAAAUUUCAAUACUUAACUUCGAGUUUAAAUUUCCUGCCUUGAAUUUUUAGACUUCCAAUUAUCUAAUACCAUUCUAAUUGUGAAUAUAAACUUGUACAAAAUUUUAAUAUUAUUAUUAUUAAUUCUCCCUCUAUUUUACAAUUCUAAUAGCAACAAAUUACUAUUACUAUUUCUUCUCUCAUCUUCUAUUUUAUAUUUUCAUUGAUAAUUUGAGGUCAAUUUUAUGUUUAAAAUAAAAUGCAUCACAACAAUAUCAUCAACAAGAGAUGUACCUUUCUUUGUUUACUUAUUGGUUACUUAACUAAUUUGGUACCAUUAAUUGUUUAGGAAAGAAGGAAAUGUCCUAAUGAAUUCCAAAGGUUUCAGAAACUCUAGAAACACUAUUAUAGAUAUUUUAUUUCUUUAUUUUAUUAUUUUAUUAUAUUUUUUUCUUCUACCAAUUUUAGGCUUUACAAAUCCUACCCCCUUAACAGAAAUCUCGUCCUCGAGAUUAGUAAGAAAAAGGAUGUAUAACCAUAUUGUCUCAGAACAUAUGCACAAACAAGAAUCUCAGCAUGAUGCAUAGCUUAUUAGCAACACAUAGGGUCAAAUAGACCUUAUUAUUAUUAUUCCUAAAAUAGUAAAAUACUAGCUACUAACUAAAGUAAUAUUUAGGUCUUACAAAUAGUACUCUAAAAGUAUGUAGAUAUAUAUAUUUAUAUAUAUAUAUUUAUUCUAAUCGUGUUGUUCAUUGCCUUCUUCAUCAAUUUCUUCACCUCAACCACCAAUUUCUGCAUGGUUGACCUGCCCCCGAUUGACGGAUAAGGGCUGACUCUUGCCUGCUGAGGCUUGACCCUGCUUCAUCGAAGUCGGAGUAGUAUAAGAAGCCCUGUUGGGACAGUAGUUGGCAUAGUGUCCAAACUGUCCACACUUGAAGCAUGACAUGUUCAGUAUAACACCAGUGUAAAGGAAAAGUGCAAUAUAGAUCAACUCAUGGCACAGUGUGUCCAGAAGAAGGAUAGUGUUGGGGACUUGUUCUCAAAUGCUAUGAAUUAAGAACAAGGCAACAUAAAAUGUUAAAUGUUAAUGUCCUUCGUCCACGAAGCAUUAUUCCCUUGAGGAUAAUGAACCUUGGACGAAGGUUGAUAGCAAUACAAUUACGAAGGUUAAGUCUUCGUAAUUGAAUUUUAAUAGAUUGUAUAAGAUAACAUAAAAUAAAGAAUAUCAAAGGUAAAUGAAUUAUAAACGGAACAUAUUGUAUUUACUUAAUAUAUUGAAUUUUUGAAUACAAUUAUACCUCUGCCUUGGCAAAGAUUGGUUCCUGAAUGAUGUGAUUGCCAAAACCGGAAUCCGUGAACAGUAAGGGAAUACUGUUCACUAUUUAUAGGCACAGGACACAGCCUGUGAGAAAUUACAAUUAUGCCCCUCACAAAGGAUUACAACAGCGACCUAGGCACUUAUGGACUAGAGGGUCAUUCUACUUUUAAGUCGGUUUGUAAUACCGAAGCUUCAUGAAGAGGAACCUUCGGUCAUCUCAUACGAAUAGCUUCAGCCGCAAGCUGCUUCUUCCUACAAGACCUUCGGCGACGAAGCAUAGUCCCAACAGUAGCCCCUUUCGCGGUGCUAGAUCGUUUUUCGUAACGAGCUUGAUCCGUGAAAAAAGUCCCUUAAGCUUCGGGAAGCCGAAGGUCCAAAAAACACCUUCCCUGAGCUCGUUGUCGAGAAACGAUUUAGUUUCCCAGCGCGUAGCAGUCCCACCUUGCAGAGUUACUGUUUGGUCUCUGCGGUCCACCACGCAGCGAGUGUAAGCGGGUGUCCGCCUGGUGUAAAAAUCCUGGCGCUUCGCCUUCUUACCUGCAGUACUAUAUAAACAGACGAGUAGGUGUGAAGUUACCACAGCAUUCAUUGCUAUUUGCACUGUUUUGCUGCCAAAAUUUUUAACCAUAGCCGAAGCUUGACUCUCGGAAUCGAACAAAGCUCCAGCUUGAAGCCUGCUUCGUCAGAAGGAAAAAACUUCGGAAGUAAAAGUAUUUAAUUGCCACAAAUUCAGAAUUAAAUGGCCAGAGUGCGUUCUGCCGCUAGGGUUGAGCGUGAGGGGGUGAAGCUAAAGGUUCAGAGAAUGUUCCCAUCUCCGAAGCGAUGCAACGAUCUGGGCUGGUAAAUUCGGAAAAAAUCCCCAGUGCUGAUGUAGAACAAGCAGAACAAACAACUGCCGAAGCAGAAGAAGAAAACAUUGAGGAAACUGAUCCUGAAGAUGAUUAUCGUAUUGCUAUGCCAAGUAAGCCCAGCCACUUGGACUUCGGAAAGUCUACUGUUUCGAAGGCUGAUCUCUCCAAGAUGGUAAAGUCGGGCUUUUUCAGUGAAAGUCAGAAGAAGCUACUACGCUUCGGGGGGGAAGAAACUACCCCAAAGCCGGAGAAGGAUGAAAUUAUCAUUUUCAAGAGCUUUCUAAAGGCUGGAUUAAGAUUCCCCCUGCAUGGAAUUAUCGCAGAGGUAUUGAAGAGGUUUGGUAUCUACUUUCAUCAGUCGACUCCUAACGCUAUCGUUAGGCUUAGCGUUUAUAUCUGGGCCCUCCGAAGCCAAGCGGUGGAGCCGUUUGCGGACAGCUUUUGUCGAGUUCACGAGCUGCACUAUCAGACGAAGGCUAGAAAAGAUGGAUUGCAUGACAAUUUUGGUUGCUAUAAUUUUGCUUAUCGGAAAACCACAAAGUUUCCUGUAAUCAGCUACCGAAGCAAAUGGGCAGCAGGCUGGAAGUCGGAGUGGUUCUAUGUCAAGGUUGAUGACGACAAGGAGAAGCUUGUGCAAAGUCCACUUGAACUAAUCUUCGGAGAAACCCGACCUCGUUGCAACAUGACACCAGAAGGUCCAGCCCAACAAGCGUUGGAUGAAUUCAGAAUUAUUGCAGAGCAUAUCAGUACAAGAGACCUGGUUCAGGAGUUUUUGGCUUUCAAGGUUUUUCCUAGUUUAAAAGAAUGGGAAAUGUUGAAGCUAAAGGGGGAGAAGAAAAAAGGUGAACUUGUGCGGUUACCUUACUAUUUCAAGUUUAAGAAAUACUUUAAAACACCUUGCCAAGAGUGGCUGGAUACAAUUGAAGUAAUGUGCAAUGAAAUACUCGACAAUUAUUCCAAAAAAGAAGAUCAACUGAUGACCGCGGCCUUCGGCACCCGUCCGAAGCGAAGACUAAAUCGAGUGCUGGACGCCUUGGGUUUUGAAUAUCCUAACUACGAAAAUCUGAAUAAAGGUGUCGGAGGCCAGAAAAGGAAAAGGAUAACCGAAGCCUUAAAUGAAGAUGAGAAAGAACCAUCAAAGAAGAAAAUUCCGAAGAAGAGGAAAGCGUCUUCUCCGAAGCAAAAAGUAUCCGACGAAGAAGAAACCCCCGCAUCACACUCUGCCACUGACGUGGAGGAAAUUUUAAAGGUAAUGACUGAAUCCCUGCCUGCGAAGCUAAGUCCAUUGGGGCCUCAACUGACAAAGUUUUUUCAGAAGGAAAAGGAGCCCGAAAAAACGAAGAAAACGACUAAAGCAAAAAGACAAAGAAUCAUCGGUGUAACAGAGGUCAUUGACAAGACACCACCGAGAGCUUCAGCUCAGAAGAUACCAGCGGCUGAGGGAAUGACAAAUAUUGAAAUCACACCUUCGGAGGUCGCGGCUGCCGAAGCUACCUCAAUUGAAGAUUUGAACUUGGAAAGCACAAUUGAACACAUCGACAAAAUGCUGCUAGACAUGGCCGCAGAAGAAGCUACUACUGCCGCCGAAGAGGUCGUAGCCGCAGCGUCGGGGAAAGAAAAGGAAAUUGCUGACGAAGCUUCAGAGGACGAGGCCUUCGUAUUUCAAAAUUUAGUUGGAGAAAAAUUGUCAAAAACCGAAAUAGAAGAGCUUAAAGAGUACGCCAAAUCUUGCGGAUAUAAACCAGGAGCACUCCUCUUCGGAGGUAUUGAUGAUGAAAAAUUGGACUCUAUCCGGAAUCAAACUGGAGCUAAGGUUAUCGGUACUCUGUCAAAGAGUAUCGGUUUUCCGAAGCUAGAAAUGGACAUUAGCCGCUACCGACGACAACAUAUCGUUGGUAGUUUAUUUUAUUCCAAUUUCAAGGUGAACUAUUUUUCCCCUGACUUUUAUUGUUUUGGAUAAUGAAGACAUGUCUAACGAAGGUUGUUUUCGUGUAGAGUAUGCUGUUGAGCAAAGCUUUGAAAAUGCAACAAGAUCUGGAAGACAAGAAACACGAAGUUAUAAUUGAAAAUUUAGAAGGCAAAAUAAAAGAGCAAUCAGCUACUAUUGAAAAGAAGAACUUCGAGCUUCAAGCGACUGAAGGCUUAUUGGCGGAAGCCGAAGCUAAAAUGACAGAACUGAACACGAAGCUUCUGUGCCAAUCUGAACAGUUUGAACGAGAAAAGCAAGAACUUAAUGCAAAACUUGAAGUCGAAGUCCAACAAAAUUCAGUUUUGAAAGAACUAUUGGCGGGCCUUCAAGACAAAUGUUUAGAAUUUAGCAACAAAUGUAUUCAACGAUUGAGAAAAAUUUUCCAUUCGGUCGGAGCUAGCAGUGAGAAGUUCACCCCGUCAGCUGAAGAUUUACCAAAGACCUUCGAACAUAUUGAGGGUGAAAUUGAUGAGCUUGACGAAGUUAUAGCCGGGCACGGUGACUUCUGCGCCUGGGUAGCUUCUCGGGGCACUGCUGCAGCUUUCCUAAAAGCUGGCUGCGAUCAUGGAAAGAUUGUCAAUAGGCCCAAUUUCACUUUAUCGCCAUCAAUUCUAGAUGACAUUCCUGAUCUCGCCCGAAGCAUUUCCAAUAGAUUUGUAAAGAUGAUAUGGACAAAAGGCGGGCGAGAAAAGGCAGGAGACGAAGCUCGGAGUCAUCUUGAACCAGUAAGAAAUCAUACCUUGUGCUUACCUCUUCCUUCAAGCUCGAUUUUGACUUACAACAACUUAAUUCAUGUAGGAGGACGAAGCCGAAGCCGAUGAUUAAAAAGAAUGACGCCGAAGCUGAGAUCCCUUGAAGAUUAAAUAGGAGUAGACUGUAGACAGACUCAAGAAACUUUUAAGAUAACUUUUGUAAAUGUAACUAAACUUGUCUUUAAUGAAUUCUGUUCAUACCUUGUAUUAUGCUCUUAUCCUUCCAUUAAUGUAUGAGAGGUGCUUUGAUGUGGACGAAAUUAUCUUUUUGAGUCGAAGGCGAAAAAACACCUUCCCUUCUUUUCGUACACAGUGAAGCAUAGAAAACAACAUUUCCCUUUCUUCCGAAGCUCUUCUUUUCGUACACGAAGAAGCUCUUCUCUCUUUUUUUUUCUUUUUGCCGAAGCAACCACUUAUGCUAUGAUGAUGAUUAUCCUACAUAUGCCUGGAUGAAUGUUUAUGAAUGCAAAUGCUAUGAUGUAAUGUGAUGUGCAAAUGAAUGUCCAAACACAUAUCCGAAGCCAUAAUCACAGCCAUUAUUUCCUUAGAAACAACCACAUAUCAGUGCUAACUUUUCGCUGUAAGCUCUGCAUUCCCUUAGGAACGACUUUGGAGCUUCUUUGUCUUUUACUUUCGGCGGAAUCAGCGUUGACUUUUCGCUGUAAGCUCUGCAUUCCCUUAGGACGACUUUGGAGCUUCUUCGCCUUUUACUUUCGGCGGAAUCAGCGUUGACUUUUCGCUGUAAGCUCUGCAUUCCCUUAGGAACGACUUUGGAGCUUCUUCGCUUUUUACUUUUCGGCACUCGAUGGUGCGUUCUCAGCUUUUACAUUUACAUUCCUUGGGGGAUUUUGCUCUUAUAGAACUAAAAAAGGAAAUUACAUAUGAUGGCCCCAUUAAAAACCUUUCUCCCCCUUCAGAAAGGAAAAGGGUGCCAUGAAAAAGAAAAAACAUAAAAAAUUACAUCAAGUUACACAUAAUAUCGCCGAAGCUCAUCCGCAUUCCAAGAUCUAGGAAUGUCGUUGCCGUCCAUAUCCUUCAAUCUGUAUGAACCGGGUCUUGACGAAGAUGCUACUAAGAAAGGUCCCUCCCAUUUCAACUGCAACUUGCCCACUGUAUCUGGGUUAGCCACUCGCCGAAGCACCAAAUGUCCUGGCUCAAUAUUCUUUAGCCGAACCUUUCUAUCACGCCAUUUGAUUGUUUCGGCUUGAUACUUAUUGAUGUUCUCCACAGCUUGAAGCCUGAUCCCUUCUACAACAUCUUUUUCCACAGAAUAAACAGCUUCAGAAUCUAACUCUGCCGAAGCUACUACUCUUAUUGAUCCAGUUUUGGCUUCCUCCGGAGUUAUUGCUUCGUCACCAAACAAUAGUUUGAAUGGAGUAAAGCCUGUUGACCUUGAUAUUGUUGUGUUGUGGCUCCAUACCACUUUGAUUAAUUGAUCUGGCCACUUUCCCCUAGGUUGAUUGAAGAUUAACUUCAUUAUUCCUGUCAUUAUAAUGCCAUUGGCUCUUUCAACGAGUCCAUUUGACUCCAGAUGCCUGACUGAUGCAAAAUGGAUCUUCGUACCAAUUUGAUCACAGAAAUCUCUGAAAGCUUCGGAGUCGAACUGUGUUCCAUUAUCUACUGUGAUGGCCUUUGGUACCCCGAAACGACAAACAAUAUUCUGCCAGAAAAACUUUUGGAUGGUGGCCGAAGUUAUUGUGGCUAAAGGCUUUGGCUCAAUCCAUUUAGAAAAAUAUUCCACAGCCACUACAACAUAUCUUAAGUUUCCUUGGGCCGGUGGUAACGGACCUAACAAGUCAAGGCCCCACCUUUGCAAUGGCCAAAUGGGUUGUAUGAGCUGGGUUAAAGACGAAGGUUGUUUUUUGAUCUCUUGCACAUUUCUGACAACCUUCGCACUUUUGAACUAAUUCCGCUGCAUCCGAAGCUGCCUUCGGCCAAUAAAACCCUUGACGGAAAACUUUUCCAAGUAACGGCCUAGAUCCAAUGUGAGAUCCGCACAGGCCUGCAUGUAUUUCUUUCAUCAAUUCUAUGCCUUCGGUUCUAGAUAAACACUUGAGUAGUGGAGCACAAACUCCAUGCUUGUACAACUCCCCUUCUAUCAUGACAUAUGGACGAGCUCUUGCCUCUAUCCUCCUGUUAUAAGUUUCGUCAUCUGAAAGGAAUUUACCCUGAAGGUAAGAGAUGAUUUCAGUUCUCCAAUCUUCGCUAUAAACAGGAGAUAUAUUGAGGACUGCCCUUUCAAGAAGUUCCACUGAAGGUGCUUUUAUUGUUUCGAAGAACACAUCCGAAGGUAAGGGCAGCCCCUGUGCUGCUGACUUAGCUAGCAAAUCAGCAUGCUCAUUUUGUCCUCGAGGGAUAUUUUUGACAGAAAAUCCUUCGAAGGAAGCUUCGACUCUUCGAACCAUGUCUAGAUAUUUUUCAAGCUUCGGAUCUUUAGCCUUGCAACUCUUGUCGAUAUGACCCGAAACAACCUGGGAAUCAGUUUUAAGAAUGGCCCUUCUGAUUCCCAUUGCUUUUAGCUUCCGAAGACCCAAAAGCAGGGCUUCGUACUCAGUAAUAUUGUUUGUACAACUGAAAUCGAGUCUUGCCGCAUAACAAGUUUUAACUUUGGAUGGCGAGACCAACACAGCAGCUGCUCCUGCCCCGAAGGUUCCCCAAGACCCAUCGCAAAACACUGUCCAUACUUCGGCAUCUUUAUUUGUUUCUUCAUCCUGAGCCCCUGGCGUCCAAUCGGCGAUAAAAUCUGCCAACGCUUGGGACUGGAUCGAAGAUCUAUGCACAUAAUCAAUGCAAAAUUCAUUGAGCUCUGCAACCCAUUUUCCAAUCCGCCCAGUAGCUUCUCUAUUUCUCAUAAUAUCCUUCAACGGCUGCGAAGAAGGAACAAUAAUAUUGUAUGCUUGAAAGUAAUGCCGAAGCUUCCUGGAUGCCAUCAAAACAGCAUAUAACACCUUCUCUAAUUCUGUAUAGUUUUUCUUUGAUAUACUGAGAACUUCAGAUACAAAAUACACUGGGACCUGUUUCUUGACUUGGCCAUCAAGCUUCUCCUGGACAAGUGCUGCACUUACCGCUGAGUGCGAAGCUGCCACAUAUAAUAACAAAGGAGCCCCUGGCGUUGGUGGAGUUAAUGUUGUUAAAUCUAUCAAAUAUUGCUUCAGUUCCUCGAAGGCUUUUUGUUGGCUUGGUCCCCAUUGAAAGACUUCGGCUGAUUUCAGGACUUCGAAGAAUGGUAAAUUUCUUUCUGCUGAUCUGGAUAUAAAUCUAUUAAGAGAUGCCAGCCUCCCCGUCAAUCUUUGGGCCCCCUUUUUUGUAGUUGGUGGCUCCAUUCGAAGUAUAGCUUCAAUUUUACUUGGAUUAGCUUCAAUUCCCUUUGUUGAAACCAAGCAUCCAAGAAAUUUCCCCUUCUUUACUCCAAAGACACAUUUUUCUGGAUUCAACUUCAGGCCAGCUUGUCUAAAACUGGCGAAGGUCUCCUGCAAAUCAGCAAUGUGAUUUUCCUGUUUCGUGCUUUUUACAAUGAUAUCAUCAACAUAAGUUAGCACAUUUCUGCCUAUCUGAGACUGGAGAACCCUCGCAGUCAUUCUGCUGAAACUUCCUCCAGCGUUCUUGAGCCCCUCAGGCAUCCGAAGGUAACAAUAUGUUCCACUAGGGGUUAUGAAACUGGUCUUUGGCUCAUCCUCCUUCUUCAUCCAAAUUUGAUGAUAGCCUGAAUAACAAUCGAGAAGACUCAUGAGCUCUGACGAAGCUGCUGCAUCAACUAAGGAGUCUAUCCUUGGCAAUGGGAAUUCGUCCUUCGGACAAGCCUUGUUGAGAUCUGUAAAAUCGAUACACAUUCGCCAUUUGCCAUUGGCCUUUUUUACCAUAACAGUGUUAGCUAGCCAUUCUGGGUACUUUACUUCUCUGAUAACUCCUGCACUGAGGAGUCUUUUGACUUCAUUACGAGCACCUUCGGCCUUAUCAUCAGACAUUUUCCGAAGCCUCUGCUUUCUGGGUCUGAAGGAUGGGUCAACAUUGAGCGAGUGUUCAAUAAUAUCUCUGUUAACUCCGCAAAGAUCAUUGGCUGACCAUGCAAAAACAUCUUUGUUGUUGAACAAAAACCUUAUCAAGGUUUUCUCCUGUUCUUCGGAUAAUUGAGAGCCCAACAGCACCCUCUGCUCUGCUAUGUCCUCACAUAAGAGCAUGGGCUUCGGCUGAUCUGCUGAAGCUGCUUUCUCCCUUCUGAAUUUGUACUGUUCACAAGCUUCAGCUCCAUCUAUGUUAUGGAUUGCUUUUGAGUCAGUCCAGUUUCCUUCGGCCCUUCUGGCAGCUUCCUGACUUCCAUGAAUAGCGAUGGGUCCUUGAUCCGAAGGUAUCUUCAUGCAAAGGUAAGCAGGAUGAAGAAUUGCUUCGAAAGCAUUGAGGGUGCCACGACCAAUAAUUGCAUUGUAAGGGUAUUCCAUGUCAACAAUGUCAAACACAACUUGCUCAGUUCUAGUGUUGUUGAUGAAUCCGAAGGUCACUGGCAUGGUGAUCUUGCCCAGUGCUACAAUUUGUCUUCCUCCGAAGCCACAGAGAGGGUGUGUAGCAUCAUGAAUCUUAUCUUCUGGCUCUUGCAUUUGUCUGAAGGCCUUAGCAAAUAUGAUAUCAGCUGCACUGCCUGUGUCAACCAAGACAUUGUGGACCAGAAACCCUUUGAUAACACAAGAAAUAAUCAUAGCAUCGUUAUGAGGAAAAUCCUUGAGCUGAAGGUCCUCCUGGGAGAAGGUGAUUGGAAUGUGAGACCACCUUGACUUGAUAAAGGGUCCCUGCACUCCAACAUGUUGUACCCUUCUCUGCGCCUCUUUCUUCUGCUUUUUAUUGGCUGGUUCUGAGCACGAACCACCUGUUAUCGGGAGCACCAGCUUCGGGUCUGAAGCAGCUCCAGCUCGAUCGUUGAACGAAGCCAUCAGCUCAAAAAAGUGGAAGUGAGUUCACCGGAGGUGGGCGCCAAUGUUGGGGACUUGUUCUCAAAUGCUAUGAAUUAAGAACAAGGCAACAUAAAAUGUUAAAUGUUAAUGUCCUUCGUCCACGAAGCAUUAUUCCCUUGAGGAUAAUGAACCUUGGACGAAGGUUGAUAGCAAUACAAUUACGAAGGUUAAGUCUUCGUAAUUGAAUUUUAAUAGAUUGUAUAAGAUAACAUAAAAUAAAGAAUAUCAAAGGUAAAUGAAUUAUAAACGGAACAUAUUGUAUUUACUUAAUAUAUUGAAUUGUUGAAUACAAUUAUACCUCUGCCUUGGCAAAGAUUGGUUCCUGAAUGAUGUGAUUGCCAAAACCGGAAUCCGUGAACAGUAAGGGAAUACUGUUCACUAUUUAUAGGCACAAGACACAGCCUGUGAGAAAUUACAAUUAUGCCCCUCACAAAGGAUUACAACAGCGACCUAGGCACUUAUGGACUAGAGGGUCAUUCUACUUUUAAGUCGGUUUGUAAUACCGAAGCUUCAUGAAGAGGAACUUUCAGUCAUCUCAUAUGAACAGCUUCAGUCGCAAGCUGCUUCUUCCUACAAGACCUUCGGCGACGAAGCAUAGUCCCAACAGAUAGGUUGAAGAGUCAAAUUGUGAUUCCAUCAACCUUCCCAAACUAUGUAUACCCAAAGAGAACAAGAACUCUAAGAAAGGUUCAAGAAUAAGAUCAAGCAUGAUCACCAGGCUUCUACAAAGCAACAGUCACACAUUUUCUCAGUUUCCCCACGACACCUGCCAUCUACUACAAAAGACAGGGCACUACAAUAGAAAGUGCCAGAAUUCCUGCACUAGCUGCUACCGAAUGCAAUUCCGUACAAACCUAAGGUUCCAGCGGGUCGAAUAAUAGUUAUAGUGGUUAACGAAAAGAAAGUAGACACUUAACUUCAGUUUCGUGAUUAGACAAUCAGCACAUCCACUAUCACUUCGGUGACAAAGAUUGUGUGUUAUUUAGCUUGAUAAUAAAGAUGUUGGUCUCGCCAUCCGACGAGACAUGAUUUAUUUAUCUUCGCACAGUGGCAUUGUUAAGGUCUUAGAUACACCAUAAAACAAUCCAUCCAAUAGUGGCAGGAAUAAAAAAAUAGAAGUGAUGGAGAAACCUCGUCGAAAUUAUGGCACUACCGUUUGGGCCAUAUUUCGAGCGAGGGAUAGAACGUCUCGUUAAGGGACAAAUUCUCCAUCCCCUAGACUUCACAAACUUACGAGAGUGUUAAAAUUAUUCAUACAGAUAUAUGUGGUCCUUUUUCAGUUAGUACAGUAGAUGGGUUUAACUAUUUGAUAACCUUCACAAAAGAUUACUCUCGCUAUGGUUAUAUUAAUCCCAAUAAGGAAAGAUCAGAAGCUUUAGACAAGUUUAAACAGCUCAAGGCUGAGGUAGAAAAUCAACAUGAUUUGAACAUAAAGAUUGUCGUAUCAGAUCAUGUGGGGAGUACUGUGGGCACCAUACUGAUUAUGGACAGGUCCCAGGAUCCUUUCGCGAGGUUCCUAAGUGAAAACCAUAUUGUUGCUCAGUAUUCAACACCUGGUGAACCGCAACAGAAUGGGGUUGCCGAAGGGCAUAACAAAAUGCUAAUGGAUAUGGUAAGGAGUACGCUUAGUUACUCUAACCUACCAUUGUGUCUAUGGAUGGAGGCUUUAAAAACCCGCUAUGCAUAUACUCAACAUAGUUCCUAGUAAAUCAGUGGCUAAAACUCCAUAUGAGUUGUGGACUGGCAGAAAGCCCACGCUCAACUAAUUCCACAUAUGAGGUUGUCCAACAGAAGCUACAAUAUUUAAUCCUAGACAGGAAAAGCUAGAUGAGAGAACCAUAAGCUGCCAUUUUAUUGGCUACCCUGAGAGAUCGAAGGGUUACAGAUUCUACUGCCCAGGCAGACAAACCAAGUUUAUAGAAACCAGACAUGCCAUUUUCCUAGAAAAUGAUAUGAUCAAGGGGAGUAAGGUACUCAGAGAGGUUGACCUUCAGGAAAAGAGGAUGUAUGUCCCGAUUCUGAUGGUUGAAGAACCAUACUUCUCGAUACCCACUGUGUUUCCACCAACGGUUGUAACGACUAGAGGUGAAACCCCUGUUGCAAAUGUUGCAUCACCCAAUGCAACUACUACAUAGCAAUUCACUUUACCUUCUGCACAGCCUGGCUCUUCUGAGUCGGUUGCACAGGAGAGUUCACAUGACAGUGGUAGUGUUGCGCCAAGUGACGCACCAUUGCAAGAGCCCCAAAACGAACCAAAACUAGAAACAAGUUUAAAAAGGUCUCAAAAGGUCUAGACGAUUUGUGAUUCCUAAUGAUUAUGGAGUUUACACAAGUGUAGACAAAGAAAGCGAUGGGAUUUAUAUGAGUGGGGACAUCGAUGCAGAAGGUGACCCCACUACAUAUGAAACAGCUAUGAGAAGCGUAAAUUAGUGGAUCUACAAGACCAAGCGUGAUUCCAAAGGGAAUAUCUAAAGAUACAAGGCUGGACUUGUGUCCAAAGGGUUCACACAGAGAGAAGGUAUUGACUACCAUAAAACCUUCUCACCUGUCUCAACAAAAGAUACAUUUCGGAUCAUUAUGGCAUUAGUGGCUCAUUUUGAUCUAGAGCCAUAAUAUGGAAGUAAUGACAUCAUCACUAAAUGGAGAGUUAAUAGAAAACGUGUUCAUGGCACAACCAAAGGGUUUUUGUUGUGAGUAGUAAAAGAAAAAACAUGGGUUUAAGGGAGUGCCUAUGAUCUUGAAUCACAGGGGCUACAUAUUGCAAUGCAACCAAAUAAAGUAUCUUUUCGUUCUAAAGCAGGCGAGCAUGGUGUAGUCAAUGAGUACGGUGAUACUUGAUCGGUCAUUGUCACGUAUUGGUCUCUAUGUGUAAACUUGUCGAGGGAUGAAAUCUAGAAAAGUUGAGUAUAAGGAAUGUAGAGAACAAAGGGGAGAUUGUUGGGUGUGCCCUCUACAGCUAGUCAUUGGUGAUCGGAUUGGGCUAAACCCAACUAUCCAUCUCCUUAAACGGGUCCUUGAUUGGGAGAACUCACGCUGACCUCGGUUGGAGCCCCCAGUCACACGACGCUAUAUAUAGGACUAAAGGGUCGCAGGAAAGACUAACGCUAGUACCUCGACCCAAAACCCUAAUCCCCACAGAGGCCCCCAUCGCCUAAGCGUCGGAGUGUCUAGAAGCGCGACAACCCACAGUGGCUCGGAUCCCGAUGCCUGCUGCUCCUCUGCAGACGACGACAACAACGACAACUCUCCAACAACAACAACAACGAAUGUGUGUUUUCCUAUUCCUCUUAGUAGAACAGAUCUACUUAUCAUCGAGGUUUUCCUUCCAGUUACGGAUUGGUAUUCUAGGGACGUAGGAAUAGAUCUUAGGUACCAUAGGAUCUAACACUAUGAAGAUUUUAUGACCACUUUGUAAUUUUAAGUUUUGCAUUUUUGCUUCCUGAUCAGAUGUCAUUCUCUGUACUUUCUGUGUAGGACACGGGGAAGUCCUGGAGACGCUAUCAGUGAGCUCCUUCUGCCACGUUUUGUGGACAUGGUAAUUUGGGGCCAUGAGCCUGAAUGUCUGAUUGAUCCACAGGUAACAAGACAUAUUAGUAUUUAAAAAGAGGGGAAGAGGUGCAAUUUAGCAUAUGUAUUUUUAGUCAAGUGUUCUGUCUUUCUGCUUUUGUAUUUAAUUUUAACUUUGUUUUCCUUCUAUCAACUACUCACAGGAGGUUCCUGGAUUGGGUUUCCAUAUCACCCAACCAGGUUCCUCAAUUGCUACCUCACUGAUCAAUACUGAAGCAAAUCCAAAACACGCGCUCUUUCUGGAAAUCAAGGUUAGUACUGGUGCAACGUGCUACGCUAACAUUCAAAUAUCUUCUUUUUUAAUUUAUUUAGUUUAUCAUGUUGCCCUUGAAUAGGGGAGAGAGUACAGGACAACCAAAAUACCACUGCAGUCUGUUAGACCUUUUGAGUAUGCAGAGGUAAUCCAGCUCUUACUUGUGUUUGCUCAAGUGAACUACAUCAAGAGAAUGUCAUGCAGGUUGUACUGGAGGACCAGGUUGAUGUUGAUCCUGGUGAUGAAGCAUCCAUUCAUGAGCAUUUGCACAAAGUUGUAAGUCCCCAACUAAUAACUUGUAUUUUUGUAAAAAAAAUCGUCUGUUUCCAAGGAUAUGUUCCCAUGACUGGUUAAAUUAAUUCCAGAACAGAACAAUCAGAUCUUUGAACAAUGAAGCUUCAGUUGUUGGAUAUUUGUUGUACUAAAUACUGACGGCAGAGUGGCUUUAUGUGAGCAACCUUAUUGAGAAGAGUAGGGAAGAAGCAUCCAGUAGUGGAUCAAAGCCCAAGCUUCCACUGGUUAGAAUAAAGGUAAAUCAGGAGCUCUUUAUGGCAGUUUUGUCCCACAAUGUUGUAAACAUAAAAGAGAUUGAAUUGUUCUUCAGGUGCAUCACACCGGACUUUCAACGAUAAAUUCAAAGCAAUUUGGUCAGCACUACGUGGGCAAGGUACCUCAUAAACUAAUUAAAAUGGAAUAAUUUAAAUGUGAUGUAAUCCUUUUAGUUACUACUGUUGCAUAGUGUUUCUGGUUACUAUCAAUGCUCUUGUAGGUUGUAAACCCACAAGACAUACUUCUUCUUACAAGAUCAAGGCAAAGGCAUCAAACUAUGCAAGGUAUGCCUAUUAUUGUUUCCUAUCACUACAGUAAACGAGGAAAUUUCCGAUGGCUAAAACCGUCGGACUUAAGGACUAAACCGUCGGAGAUAAGCUAUGUCCGACGGCAUUAACUUAUCUCCGACGGUUUUAAGCCGUCGUGGAUAAUGCGUCGGAAUAGCGUUAUGUCCGACGGCUGCCGUCGGACAUACGCUAUGUCCGACGGCCCUAUCCAACCGUCGGAGAUAAGGCGGCGUAACCGUUUUAACCGCUGCCUGGGCCCACAACUAUUAUGUCCGACGGUUUAAAGCCGUCGGACAUAACAUAUAGCAUAUGUCCGACGGCUUUAAGCCGUCGGACAUAACAUAAACCUUAUGUCCGACGGCCUACACUAGGCCGUCGGACAUAACGUUUUUCAGAAAUUGCACAAAAAUCUGAAAUUUAAAAAAUCUGACAUUUGCAAAUACAAAACAGAAUUCAUACACAUAUACACAUUCACAUUAACAAAUAUACUCACAUAAGUAUACACAUUCACAAAUAUAAUCACAUAAGCAUUCACAUUCACAAAAUUUAACAUAACAACAUAGUUCCAAAUGGUUGCAAUAAGUGUUUACAUAAACAUAGUUGUCCAAACUCCAAAAUGAACAUUAUUCGACGGGUAGGCUUUCACAUGAAAGGUUUCAACAAGUGUUUUACAUCAGUAUCACUCAUAUCCAUCGCCACCUCCUCCGGCUGGACUAUGCGUGCUGAAAAGAUUGUUCACCCACGAAUGUGUUGUGUCGUCCUGACCAGACCCAUCUCCAGGUGCGGCAACUGAAGCGGGUGGUGUCUGAAAUCCCUAUAACAUAAGCACAUGAAAUAGUAACCACUCAGUUGUUCAUUUAAACACAUAAGACAUCUAUGAACAUGUCACACACGCAUAUGUGUACAUACCAUAGGGAAUUGUGACGGAGGCGGAGGCGGUGGUGGAGGCGCCAACAUUGGCAUUGGCAGUGCAAAGUCCGGAGGCGGCAUCCCAUAUGUCGGCAUCGGGACGCCCGCUUGUUGGGCUAGUUGCUACAAAUUAUAUACAAGUCAUUGUUGAGCAAACAAGAUACACAUCAAGUGUUUUGCAAAAUAAGCUACAAAAUGUUAGUUCAACUUACCGAGAGAAGAGCUUGAUUUUGGGCCUGGAGGCUUACAUAAUACUCGUCCCUCUUCUUCUGGUACUCGGCUUGUUGUCUCUGGUAUUCAGAUUGUUGCCUCUGGUACUCCAAUUGAUCCCUCAAGACUGAUUGAUGGUACUCUGCCUGUUGACGCAACACCGCAAGCUCUAUCUCAUGGGCUGCUGAUCGUGAACGGGACGACUGUGAAGACGACGAUGUGGAUUGUCGUCCACGGCGUCUCAGCUCUCUGGAAUCAAUCGUAGAAUCAAAAAUACCCAACCUACAAGAGUGAACCAUGCACUUAGUAUAGUAACUCAUGCCUCAGUUGAAUCGCAAGCAUAUGAUGACAAUUUUGAAAACCAAAUCAAAUAAUCUCACCGUCCAUGGGCUUGUCCUCCUGCACUAGCAUAUGCUGCCUGAGGGUCGAUUGGCUGGCUCCUCCAAUCGUACUCCUCCCCAUGGCGUUGAACCAUCUCCUGCCCAUACGAAGCCUGGAGGCAAACAAUAUCAAAUAUAAGUGCAUAACCCCUAUGCCAUUGCAAACAAUAUCAAACACAUAAUAGAGUAUAAAAAACUCACUAGAAUGUCGGUGGCCGUCUGAGUGCAUAACACAUCAGGAUUCUGAGGAUCAGAACCCCUAUGGCCUUGCAUAUACACCUCCACAUCCGUGGGCGUACGGCCGGAUUUGACUUCCUGUACAUAAAAGUUAUAUUGACACAUUUCUAUGUAAUUCAAAGUUACGACAAACUGAGACUUACCAUUCGCUUAGCCAAGCGCACAUGACCAUCACCGCCGUAGUUGUGGAACGACUCAGUUCCACGGUUUCCCCUGUUCCUUUCGGAAAUGGCACGAAAAUCAGGGGAACCCCACCAUCUGCACAAUGCCCGAUAACCGUCUGAUCGGGUGGCCAUCCACGGCACCGACACCUACAUGAAAUUUUUAAAAUAAAGCAAGCAAAUACAUGGCUUCGUGCGAUAUGAGAGGCAACAACCUGUUUACCUCUAGGUAUUGCUCCUCCGUCAAGUAAAUUGAUGACCACUCGGCCUUUGUAUUUGGCAUCGGUCGAUCAUCAGCAUUUGCUCUGUACCAUGCCUUUAUAGCCUAAAUUCGUGCAUAGUACAUUGCAUCUGCAACGACAUCGUUCGCGUUAUACUCAAACACGUAACGAGCGUUCAUAUCAUAUGAUCCAUCGUCCGGCAACUUGUACCGUUUCUGCAAAAACCAUAGUGUUAUCAUAAAAGCAAACAUAUAUGGAAUAACUAAAAUAGUAUAAACAAGUCAUACCCAGAAUGCAUCCCAAACUAGUGCUUGUGUGUUGCCAAACGUUCUACAGACACCAUAGCGAUAAUGCUCCCAAGUGGUGGCGGGGACAGACUCGCCAGUAGGCAAAGUCACAAGACCAGGCCAGUGCAGACGAACAAGAUUACCAAGAACCAUGUUCACCUGCCUGUAGUGUCCUGUGCCUGUGAACGAGUCGUCGAUCCAAGUCCUGCAAACAGAAAUCAAUGUAGAAAUUAAAACAUAACUUUCAAUAACAUUUAAGCAAAGAUAUGUCACUCACUUUCCACUAGGCUUUAUCACAACCCGAGAUUCCGGUGGAAGCUCUGGAGGUGGUCCAACAAAAUGCAGCUUCCUCGUUCUCUUAACUCGAGAAGUUCCAGACCCAGCUGCAGAAUCUCCACCAGCCCCAGAAUCCCCAGCCCCAGAAUCUCCACCAGCGUCGUCUCCAGCAUCAUCUCCCACAUUAUCUCCACCAUCAUCUUCAUCAUCAUCUCUUGCAUGAUCCUCUACCACUGGUUCCUCAAUUUCAGCAUCCUAUGAAACAAAUAACUUACAUCAUACAAUAUUAAGUAACUCAAAUAAUGUAAUUUAACAACUAACUUACAUCUUGUGGAGGCAAAUGUUCUGCCAGCGCUCUCCGUCUGCUCAUGGUAGAACCUGUGCCCUGAAAAACUGAAUCCUCACCCCUCGAGCUGCUCCUCGAGCUACUCCUCGACCCAAGCAAACUACGAGCUAAAGACUUCAUUUUCUUUGACAUCCUAUUUUAACAAAAACAAGUUAGUACAUAAAUCGACAAUAAAAUAAUAAAAUAUGCAAUAAAAUCAUGAUCCAUACUCGUCAAUCGUAAUCGUAAUCAAAAUCAGGAUCUAGUUGCUUUCGUCGAUUUAAUGGACGCCAAGUAGCUUUCUUCUUUCUCGUCACUCGUUUUCUUUUUGGAGGAACCUCUACAUCAUUUUGAUCGCCUAAUAAAGAUUCUUCCAACAUUUCAGUUUGUACAUUAAACGUGCUUGUAAGUUCUUCGUCUUGGAAAAUCUCAGCAGCCCCCACUUCCUGCUCGAUUUGACUUUCAACAUAACCAGCAUCACCAGGAGCAUAUAGUCGUUCACGAGGAUUAACUUUGUACACUACCCUCCAAUCAACCAAACCGUUUUUCUUAGAUGGAUAUGUCAUAUAAUACACCUGCUCGCAUUGGUGGGCAAGGAUUAUAGUGUCGUGGCCUUUUAAUCUAUCGUUGUGUUUGACUUCCACCAUGCCAUAUUGAUUUUCUCGCGUUGUAUUUGGAGAAAACCAAUCACAAUCGAAGAACACCACUUUGAGUUGUUUAUCUCCAAAAAACUUGUACUCGAUUAUAUCAUUAAUGACUCCAUAAUAAUUAGUCACCUUCCCUUCAUCGUCGACAGCUCUAGUUACAACUCCGGAGUUUGUCGUGGCUGCUAGAGGAUGAUCAUCUUCGAACCUUGUGGAACGGAAUCUAAAACCAUUGACAUCAUACCGACCAUAACGUCUGCCAGUUACUGCUCCUAGGGAUAAUUGUCGAAGGUCCGGGUGUAUAUUGUCAUUUUUAUCUACAUAAUCUCGAAACCAACACAAGAAAUUAAGUCCCCCAUCUUUUCCCUCUCGACGAAUCUGGUCACGUUCACAGCCAGAGAUGCAAUUUUGAGAAUCAAAUUCCCUGUUAGUACAAGGAAACAAACCUUUUAGUAUCACAACAAAAAUUCUAGCGGCAAUGACUAAAAUAAAGUUUACACUUACAGGAGAAACUGACUCAUCUCUUCCAUGUUGUUAUACAUGUAGAGUAAAGCAGUCUUCCAUUCGUCGUUGGUGAAACAGUAUGUUGUGCUGGGUCCUACAGUUUUGCCCCUCCAUUGAAAAAUUUCAAUAUCACUAAUAGGGGGCUCGUCGACAUGAUACCGCAACGUAUGGGCAUUGACAUUGUGUUCCUCUGCAAAGUACAGGCCCGUGAACGAUGCUAUCUCUUUGUAUUUGAAUUCUUCAGCGAUGCACCCUUCAACUCGUCUCUUAUUACCAACCAUUGCACGUAGCUUCUUUAGUGUCCUUUCGAUGUGAUACAUCCAUCUAUAUUGCACAGGACCUCCUACCUUAGCUUCGUAUGGUAGGUGAACAAGUAGAUGUUGCAUCGGAUUGAAGAAACCUGGUGGAAAUAUUUUUUCAAGUUUGCAUACCAAAAUCGGUAUUUCUUGCUCAAGCUUCUCCAUCAUCUCUUUCUUUAUUUCUUUGGCACAAAGAUGUCUAUAAAAGUAGCUUAGCUCCGCUAAUGCUUUCCAUACAUCAUUUUUUACAAAACCACGAAACAUAACAGGAAGGAGUCUUUCCAUUAUUAUGUGGUAGUCAUGACUCUUCAACCCAGAAAACUUGCCCGUCUUCAAAUUCACAGACCUUCUAAAGCCCGCGGCGUAACCAUCUGGGAACUUUAAGUUUUUCAACCAUUUCAUCAAUUGUUUCUUCCUUUUAGGUUUAAUACUGAAAGGAGCACGUGGCUUCUUCUGAUUCUCUCCUAUCUCCAUAGUUGGUCUUCUACAGAUUAAGGCCAAGUCUUUCCUUGCCUUAGGGUUGUCUUUUGUUUUGUUGGUGAUAUUCAUGCAAGUGCUGAUAAUGCUUUCACCCAUAUUUCGUUCCUGGUGCAUGACAUCAAUGUUAUGCAUUAGAAUCAAGGCUUUCAUAUAAGGGAGUUCCCAUAGACCACAUUUGUGAGUCCAAUUAUGCUCGGUUCCAUAACCUUCAAAACGAUUUCCAUGUUCGUUUAGUUUCAAAUCAUUAAGUCUCGCGAGAAUCUCUGGACCACUUAGACGCUUGGGUGGUCCCCUCGUCACAAUCGUGUCCUUUUUAAAAGCGUUCCUAUCGAACCUGAACGGGUGAUCCUCUGGCAAAAAACAUCUAUGACAAUCGAAGUAACAUAUCUUUCCACCAAACUUUAGUCGAAAGCAUAAAGUGUCUUCAACGCAUAUAGGACAUGUCAAAAUCCCAUGACAACUCCAUCCAGCAAAGAUACCAUAAGCCAUAAAAUCAUGAAUAGACCAUAAAAACGCGGCUCUCAAGUUGAACUUCUGUUUCUUGUAACAAUCGUACGCCUCGACUCCUUCCCACAAAAUUUUCAAUUCUUCAAUCAGGGGUCUCAUCAUCACAUCGAUCUUUGUUCCAGGAUGAUCCGGACCAGGUAUUAUAAGACACAAGAAAAUAAAUUCAUAUUUCAUGCAAAGAGCUGGUGGAAGGUUGUAUGGAACAGCAAAGACGGGCCAACAUGAGUACGACGUUGCAGUUACAUUGAAUGGCGAGAAACCAUCUGUUGCCAAACCGAAGCGGACAUUCCGCACUUCAUCAGCAAAGCUGGAAUCAAAAGCAUCUAGUGCCUUCCAUGCAUCUGUAUCAGCUGGGUGCACCAUGACAUUUGGAUUCUCACGUACCCCUUCUUUGUGCCACCUCAUGUGUCUGGCUGUAUUCUUGGAGAUGAACAAACGUUUCAACCGAGGUAUGAGAGGCAUGUAACGAAGCUGCUUACGUGCAAUCUUCGUAGUCACGGUCAAACCAUCGUCGUUUUCAACCUCAACGAAUCUACGCUCACCACAUACAGUACACUUCUUCUCACCUGCGGUCUCCUUCCAGAAAAGCAUACAAUUAUUUUCACAGACAUCGAUUUUUUCGUAGUCCAUACCGAGGCCAGAUAACAGUUUUUUAGACUGAUACAUGUCCUUUGGCAUCUUGUGAUUCUCCGGAAGUACAUCACUGAUCAAGUUCAAAAGUUCCUUGUAACAGUUGUUUGAGAAUGCAAACUUAGACUUAAUAGCCAUAAGUCGAGUCACAAAUACAAGGACGGUCACUUUUGUGUGCUCAUGCAACGGCUCUUCGGCAGCUUUAAGGAGCUCGAAGAACUUCUGAACCUCAGGUGUAGCUGGAUCCUCAAACUCAGUGGGUUGACCGGGGUUCUCCGAAUCGACGGUUAGAAACUCAUGGCGUACAUCGUCAAGCAUCUCUUCCAUCCUAUCGUAGUCCUCCUCUUCAUGUGACUGAACUUCCGAUACAAUACGAGGAGGUGGGUCCUCACCGUGGUGCACCCACACCUCAUAGCCUGGCAUAUAACCAUUCUUGCAAAUAUGUAUCGACAUAGUCCUCCUGUCAAGGAAAUUAAUGUUCCGACACUUGCUACAAGGGCACCUAACAUCGGUUCCAGUCUCUGACCGAGCAAAAGCAUGGUCGAGAAAAGCAUCAGUCUUGGCCACCCACUCACUUGAUAGAGCACCUCUUUUCUUCCAACCUUCAUACAUCCAUCGACGAUUCUCCUCCAUACUAGAUACGAGACGUUAACUUAAUUAGAUAAGUAAUGCACGGACCAUCCGUUUUUACGAAGAAAUCACGCCCCUACAUCUGUAGGAAAGGAUAGGUCCUAAACCCACCCAGGAGUGACCGACGAGGCCGUGUUUAUGACAAAACAUGUGGUCGUGCGAAAUUUCGGCAGCAUAACCCCGCUGUUCUCCAAUCGCACGCCUAAAAAUGGUGCAAUUGGAGAACAGAGAGGUUAUGCUGCCGUAACUAAGCAGGAGCACAUGCUUUUGUCAUAAACACGGACUCUGUCGGUCACACCAAGGCUGUCCAAUAAAGGGACAAUUCCGGCCCAACAUACCUCACAUGCGUCGCUUGUAAGGUGUGUUGGGCCGAAACGGGUGACGCCUAGGUUUCGUUUGUUCACACUACGAUACACUAUGAUUAACUAUAAUCAUCGUGCAUUAUUAAAUAAUUAAACUAAUAAACCACAAUACAAUAUUACAUACGAAAUAACAUUGUUAUAAAUGACAAAUCAUAUAAAAUGACCUUAUUUUCGAGGGCAUAAUAAUUACCCUCGGAAAUUAAAAAUUUAAAUUAUCUAAAGUACCACUAAAUAAACUAAAACAAGCUACUUUAAUUACGUAAUCAAAUUUUGGCCGUCGGACAUAACAAACUAAACAAUCAAAUGCAUUCAUACAUACAUUUCUAAUCAAAUACAUUAAUACAAACAUACAAUUCUAAUCAAAUACAUUAAUACAAGCAUACAAUUUUAAUAAACAAAAUUGCUAAUUAAGUAUACUCACUUAGCGGGUGUGGAGAGCCGGCCGGCGAUGGGCGCACGGGCGGGCGGCGGGCGCACGGGGCCGUUGGCCGGAGCACGGGGCGGCGGCGACCGGCGAACGGGGCGGCGGCGGCGGCCGGAGCACGGGGCGGAGCUCGGGGCGGUGGCGGCCGGAGCACGAGCGUGGCGGCGGCACGAGCGUGGCGGUGGUGGCCGGAGCACGGGCGUGGCGGUGGCCGGAGCACGAGCUCGGGGCGGUGGCGGCCGGACCAAGGGGCAGCGGCGGCCGGAGCACGAGCAGUGGGGGCGGGCGGUACGGCGACCGGGCGGGACGGCGACGAGCGUGGCGGCGACGAGCGUGGCGGCGACAGCGCGGCGUGCUCCUCGGACGGCGGCGGCGGCAGAGAUAGAGAGACGCGCGGUCGGGUGAAACUGAAGGCGCGCGGGUCGGAUCCGCGCGUUAAAAAGCCUUAUGUCCGACGGCUCGGUACGAGGCCGUCGGACAUAAGCUUAUGUCCGACGGCCAGGGGGCGGGCCGUCGGACAUAAGGUAAUGUCCGACGGCCAGUCUGACAGCCGUCGGCUGUAUUCUGUUAUUUUCGACGGCCGCUGUUGGCCGUCGGACAUAACCUUAUGUCCGACGGUUGCCUAUGGGGCCGUCGGACAUAAUACGACCGUCGGAAUUUUAUAGUUUUACUGUAGUGUAUGAAAACAAUACAUGAGAGAGUAAUGCUAGGGUACGCUCAUAUGGGACCAGGGUGGUACUUGUGUUGAGUUUCUGUUUUAGAAUACUUUUUUAGUUUGCCAAUCAAUUUAUUGUUAACGUGGCCAUAUUACUAUCUUAUUGUGAGCAUAUCAACAAUAAACAUUAUAGAUUGGUUAAUGAAAAGUAUAAUACUGGCUAUAUCGCAAGUUUAAAAUUUGAAUACAUUUAACAAAUUCAAGCUGAGUGUAUUUUCUGGCUGUCUCUUUUAUUGUAUUGCCUUAUGUGGUCGGCACUUCUGCUUAAUACGGCGCUGUGAUCAGGAGGAGGAUGCCGAAGUAGAGGAUUGAGCGAAUUUUCUUUUGGGAGUAGUAGCCUCAGGUUGCCGCCGGGGCUGUGAAUUGUGAUCAGGAGGAUUCCGAUGUAGACCAUUCACGGUUCCAGUGUGGAUUCCGCAUCGAAUUUAAUGUAUUUCUGAUCCAGGAUCCUGGUCGACUAGUUGUUGUACCUAUGUUUGGAUUUAGGGGUUAUUUGGUUUGUUGUCUAAUUUAUCAUAGUUUAUCAUGUCUAAGGUUAGACAAGUUUGAGGCAUAUGUUGGUUUGAAGCUACAGUUAUAGAAAUACUCGUCAAUAACUAGUAAAAGUGUAACAGGAUUCUUUUAAACGUGCCAAACUAUAGCGCUGAAUUUGAGCGUCUUAAACAAACUUAACACAAAAAAUUAUGGCAAUUUAAUGCACGGGCGCGACCGCGACGGCAUCGCGCGCCGCGGCGCCGGCCGUUCCCAAGCUCCCCGCCUGUUGUGCCCCAUUGGCCCUUGCUCUCGUGUUUAGCGUGGUAUAGAAGCAUAUCCUUUCAAGUUUCAACGAGGUCCUGGCCACGAGGGGCACUGUACUCGCCAGGGUCAGUAAGCCGUCGACAUCGAGCAAGAUAUCGUGUGAUGGUUUUUGGCGUGUGCUACUUGUUCGACCUAUUGUUGCAACGGAGACCGCCGCUAACUACCAUCUCCAAGAGACUCCUACAAUUGAGUCCUAUAAAUCAAAAUAGGACAUGUUUUAAAUUAUUUAAGACCCACCAAUUCGUUUUACUCCAACCGUGAGUCCUAUAAUCACAUUAUUUAGUUAAUUAUCCGCUUCACCGCAGCAAUGUCAUCGUCGCUCUGUCAUCGUCCAUGUUCGCCAGAGACAAUCUUUCACAUGAUCUCGUUGUCCUGCAGAUGGAGUAGUAGGCCUUCACGUGAUCAUGUUGUCCGGUAGAUAGGGUAGCGGGCCAGCGGUUGUUGGUUACUCUUGAAAGGGAAAUGUGCCCUUGGGCCAUUUCUAAGUAUUUUGGUGAUUGAGUGCCAACACAAGUGCUUUUGUGUUGAUCUAUACAAUGUGGUGGACUAAGUGCAAAUCAUGUCAAAAGGUAUGUUUCUAGACUUAGUACAUUAUUUUAUGGACUAAUGUAUUGUGUCUAAGUGCUGGAAACAGGAAAAAUCGAAUUGGAAAUGAGAUGGCUUUGUUCAGCCAAGUCUGCUCAGUCUGGGAGCACCGGACUGUCCGGUGGUGCACCGGACAGUGUCCGGUGCGCCAGGCUGGCUCGAGCGAACUGGCCGCUCUCGGGAAUUCACCGGCGACGUACGGCUAUAAUUCACCGGACUGUCCGGUGUGCACCGGACUGUCCGGUGAGCCAACGGUCGGCCGCGCGAUCUGCGCGGGACACGUGGCCGAGCCAACGGCUAGAAGGAGGCACCGGACUGUCCGGUGUGCACCGGACAUGUCCGGUGCGCCAACGGCUCUCUGGCUGCCAACGGUCGGCUGCGCCAUUUAAGGAAAGAAAUCGGGCACCGGACAGUGUCCGGUGUGCACCGGACUGUCCGGUGCGCCACGCGACAGAAGGCAAGGAUUGCCUUCCCAGAUUGCUCUCAACGGCUCCUAGCUGCCUUGGGGCUAUAAAAGGGACCUCUAGGCGCAUGGAGAAGAACACCAAGCAUCCUUUGAGCAUUCUUGAUCACUCACACUCCACUCUUGCGCACUUGUUCGACAUUCUAGUGAUUUGAGCCCCGUUCUAGUGUGCUAGUCUUGUAAGCUCAAGUCUGGGUCUUGUGUGUGCGUAUUUGCUAUGAUCUUUGUGUCUUGUGUGAGUUGCUCAUCCCUCCCUUACUCUGUGCUUCUUUGUGAACAUCAAAAGUGUAAGGGCGAGAGGCUCCAAGUUGUGGAGAUUCCUCGCGAACGGGAUAAGUGAAAGGGAAUUAGGCUUACACCUAAGUCCUAAAUAAUUUUGGUGGUUAAAUUGCCCAACACAAAUCUUUGGACUAACUAGUUUGCUCUAGUGUAUAAGUUAUACAGGUGCAAAAGGUUCACAUCUAGCCAAUAAAAAGACCAAGUGUUGGAUUCAACAAAGGAGCAAUAAGGCAACCGAGGGCACCUCUGGCUGGAGGCACCGGACUGUCCGGUGUGCACCGGACAGUGUCCGGUGCGCCCGUAGACUUCGUUUUCUACCCUUCGCCAGAGGACUUCGACUUCAACCCUUCGCCCUCGGGAAUUCGCGGAGGCCGGCGCGCUAUAAUUCACCGGACUGUCCGGUGUGCACCGGACAUGUCCGGUGCGCCAACGAACCGCGGCCUCCGGAACUCGUCAUCCUCGGGUUUUCACGACAGCCGCUCCGCUAUAAUUCACCGGACUGUCCGGUGUGCACCGGACUGUCCGGUGUGCCAGCGGAGCAACGGCUCACUGCGGCGCCAACGGCUCCCUGCGCAGCAUUAAAUGCGCGCGCAGCGCGCGCAGACGUCAGGGCUGCCCAUACCGGUGCACCGGACAUCAAACAGUGCAUGUCCGGUGUGCACCGGACACCUCGGCAGGCCCACAAGUCAGAAGCUUCAACGGUCAGAAUCCAACGGCAAUGGUGACGUGGCAGAGGCACCGGACUGUCCGGUGUGCACCGGACUGUCCGGUGCGCCAUCGAAUAGAGGCUGCCAGCAACGGUCACUUUUGGUGGUUGGGGCUAUAAAUACCCCAACCACCCCACCAUUCAUUGCAUCCAAGUUUUCCACUUCUCAACUACUACAAGAGCUCUAGCAUUCAAUUCUAGACACACUAAAGAGAUCAAAUCCUCUCCAAUUCCACACAAAGCCCUAGUGACUAGUGAGAGUGAUUUGCCGUGUUCAUUUGAGCUCUUGCGCUUGGAUUGCUUCUUUUCUUUCUCACUUGUUCUUGUGAUCAAAACUCCAUUGUAAUCAAGGCAAGAGGCACCAAUUGUGUGGUGGCCCUUGCGGGGAAGUUUUGUUCCCGGCUUUGAUUAGCGAAGAGAAGCUCACUCGGUCCGUGGGACCGUUUGAGAGAGGGAAGGGUUGAAAGAGACCCGGCCUUUGUGGCCUCCUCAACGGGGAGUAGGUUUGCAAGAACCGAACCUCGGUAAAACAAAUCUCCGUGUCUCAUUUGCUUAUUCGCUUGGGAUUUGUUUUGCGCCCUCUCUUGCGGACUCAUUUAUUAUUACUAACGCUAACCCCGGCUUGUAGUUGUGUUUAUAUUUGUAAAUUUCAGUUUCGCCCUAUUCACCCCCCUCUAGGCGACUAUCAAUUGGUAUCAGAGCCCGGUGCUUCAUUAGAGCCUAACCGCUCGAAGUGAUGUCGGGAGAUCACGCCAAGAAGGAGAUGGAGACCGGCGAAAAGCCCACUACAAGCUACGGGAGCACUUCAUCGGAAGAGUCCCGCACCAAAAGGAGGGAGAAGAAGAAGAGCUCCUCCAACAAAGGGAAGGAGAAGAAAUCUUCUUCUCACCACAAAGAGAAGAAGGAAAAAUCUUCUUCCCACAAGCCGCAUCGGAAAGGCGACAAGCACAAGAGGAUGAGGAAGGUGGUCUACUACGAGACCGACACUUCAUCAACAUCGACCUCCGACUCCGAUGCGCCCUCCGUCACUUCUAAGCGCCAAGAGCGCAAGAAGUAUAGUAAGAUCCCUCUACGCUACCCUCGCAUUUCCAAACAUACACCUUUACUUUCCGUCCCACUAGGCAAACCACCAACUUUUGAUGGUGAAGAUUACGCUAGGUGGAGCGAUUUAAUGCGAUUUCAUCUAAUCUCGCUCCACAAAAGCAUAUGGGAUGUUGUUGAGUUUGGUGCGCAGGUACCAUCCGUAGGGGAUGAAAACUAUGAUGAGGAUGAGGCGGCCCAAAUCGAGCACUUCAACUCUCAAGCCACAACCAUACUCCUUGCCUCUCUAAGCAAGGAAGAAUACAACAAAGUGCAAGGGUUGAAAAAUGCAAAGGAGAUUUGGGAUGUGCUCAAAACUGCGCACGAGGGAGAUGAGCUCACCAAGAUCACCAAGCGGGAAACGAUCGAGGGGGAGCUCGGUCGGUUCCGGCUUCACAAAGGGGAGGAGCCACAACACAUGUACAACCGGCUCAAGACUUUGGUGAACCAAGUGCGCAACCUCGGGAGCAAGAAGUGGGACGAUCACGAAGUGGUAAAUGUUAUUUUAAGAUAUCUCAUUUUUCUUAAUCCCACUCAAGUUCAAUUGAUUCGUGGUAAUCCUAGAUAUACUAAAAUGACCCCCGAGGAAGUUAUCGGGCAUUUUGUAAGUUUUGAGUGCAUGAUAGAAGGCUCGAGGAAAAUCAACGAGCUUGGCGACUCAUCCGAAGCCCAACCCGUUGCAUUCAAUGCAACGGAGGAGAAGAAGGAGGAGGCUACACCAAGUCGACAACCAAUCGACGCCUCCAAGCUCGACAAUGAGGAAAUGGCGCUCGUCAUCAAGAGCUUCCGCCAAAUCCUCAAACAAAGGAGGGGGAAAGACUACAAGUCCCGCUCCAAGAAGGUUUGCUACAAGUGUGGUAAGCCCGGUCAUUUUAUUGCUAAAUGUCCUAUAUCUAGUGACAGUGACCGAGGCGACGACAAGAAGGGGAGAAGAAAGGAAAAGAAAAGAUACUACAAGAAGAAGGGCGGCGAUGCCCAUGUUUGUCGGGAAUGGGAUUCCGACGAAAGCUCAAGCGACUCCUCCGACGACGAGGACGCCGCCAACAUCGCCGUCACCAAGGGACUCCUCUUCCCCAACGUCGGCCACAAGUGCCUCAUGGCAAAGGACGGCAAAAAGAAGAAGGUUAAAUCCAACUCCUCCACUAAAUAUGAAUCUUCUAGUGAUGAUAAUGCUAGUGAUGAGGAGGAUAAUUUGCGUUCCCUUUUUGCCAACCUCAACAUAGCUCAAAAAGAAAAAUUAAAUGAAUUAGUUAGUGCUAUUCAUGAAAAGGAUGACCUUUUGGACUCCCAAGAGGAUUGUCUAAUUAAAGAAAACAAGAAACAUGUUAAGGUUAAAAAGGCUUAUGCUCUAGAGGUAGAAAAAUGUGAAAAAUUAUCUAGUGAGCUAAGCACUUGCCGUGAGAUGAUUGACAACCUUAGAAAUGAAAAUACUAGUUUAAAUGCUAAGGUUGAUUCUCAUGUUUGUAAUGUUUCAAUUCCCAAUCCUAGAGAUAAUAAUGAUGAUUUGCUUGCUAGGAUUGAAGAAUUAAACAUUUCCCUUGCUAGCCUUAGAUUAGAGAAUGAAAGUUUGAUUGCUAAGGCUAAAGAUUUUGAUGUUUGCAAAGUUACCAUUGCCAAUCUUAGAGAUAAAAAUGAUAUUCUUCAUGCUAAGAUUGUUGAACUUAAUUCUUGCAAACCAUCUACAUCUAUUGUUGAGCAUGUAUCUAUUUGUACUAGAUGUAGAAAUGUUGAUAUUGAUGCUAUUCAUGAUCAUAUGGCUUUAAUUAAACAACAAAAUGAUCAUAUAGCAAAACUAGAUGCUAAAAUUGCCGAGCAUAACUUAGAAAAUGAAAAAUUUAAAUUUGCUAGAAGUAUGCUCUAUAAUGGGAGACGCCCUGGCAUCAAGGAUGGCAUUGGCUUCCAAAGGGGAGACAAUGUCAAACUUAAUGCCCCUCCUAAAAAUUUGUCUAACUUUGUUAAGGGCAAAGCUCCCAUGCCUCAGGAUAACGAGGGUUACAUUUUGUACCCUGCCGGUUAUCCUGAGAGCAAAAUUAGGAGAAUUCACUCUAGGAAGUCUCACUCUGGCCCCAAUCAUGCUUUCAUGUAUAAGGGUGAGACAUCUAGUUCUAGGCAACCAACCCGUACCAAGUUGCCUAAGAAGAAAAUUCCUAAUGCAUCAAAUGAACAUAGCAUUUCAUUUAAGACUUUUGAUGCAUCAUAUGUUUUGACUAACAAAUCCGGCAAGGUCGUUGCCAAGUUUGUUGGGGGCAAACACAAGGGCUCCAAGGCUUGUGUUUGGGUACCCAAAGUUCUUGUAUCUAAUGCCAAAGGACCCAAAACAGUUUGGGUACCUAAAGUCAAGAACUAAAUUUGGUUUGUAGGUUUAUGCAUCCGGGGGCUCAAGUUGGAUACUCGACAGCGGGUGCACAAACCACAUGACCGGGGAGAAAAGGAUGUUCUCCUCAUAUGAGAAAAACAAAGAUCCCCAACGAGCUAUCACAUUCGGGGAUGGAAAUCAAGGGUUGGUCAAAGGUUUGGGUAAAAUUGCUAUUUCACCUGACCAUUCCAUUUCCAAUGUUUUUCUUGUUGAUUCAUUAGAUUACAACUUGCUUUCUGUUUCCCAAUUAUGUCAAAUGGGCUACAACUGUCUUUUUACUGAUAUAGGUGUCACUGUCUUUAGAAGAAGUGAUGAUUCAAUAGCAUUUAAGGGUGUGUUAGAGGGUCAGCUAUACUUAGUGGAUUUUAAUAGAGCUGAACUCGACACAUGCUUAAUUGCUAAGACUAACAUGGGUUGGCUCUGGCAUCGCCGACUAGCCCAUGUUGGGAUGAAGAAUCUUCACAAGCUUCUAAAGGGAGAGCACAUUUUAGGAUUAACAAAUGUUCAUUUUGAGAAAGACAGGAUUUGUAGCGCAUGCCAGGCGGGGAAGCAAGUUGGAGUCCAUCACCCACACAAGAACAUCAUGACGACCGACAGGCCGCUUGAGCUACUCCACAUGGAUCUAUUCGGCCCGAUUGCUUACAUAAGCAUCGGCGGGAGUAAGUAUUGUCUUGUUAUUGUGGAUGAUUAUUCUCGCUUCACUUGGGUAUUCUUUUUACAGGAAAAAUCUCAAACCCAAGAGACCUUAAAGGGAUUCUUGAGACGAGCUCAAAAUGAGUUCGGCUUAAGGAUCAAGAAAAUAAGAAGCGACAACGGGACGGAGUUCAAGAACUCUCAAAUUGAAGGCUUCCUUGAGGAGGAGGGCAUCAAGCAUGAGUUCUCCUCUCCCUACACGCCACAACAAAAUGGUAUAGUGGAGAGGAAGAAUCGAACUCUAUUGGACAUGGCAAGAACCAUGCUUGAUGAGUACAAGACACCGGACCGGUUUUGGGCCGAAGCGGUCAACACCGCCUGCUACGCCAUCAACCGGUUAUAUCUUCACCGAAUCCUCAAGAAGACAUCAUAUGAACUCCUAACCGGUAAAAAGCCCAACAUUUCAUAUUUUAGAGUUUUUGGUAGCAAAUGCUUCAUUCUUAUUAAAAGAGGUAGAAAAUCUAAAUUUGCUCCUAAAACUGUAGAAGGCUUUUUACUUGGUUAUGACUCAAACACAAGGGCAUAUAGGGUCUUUAACAAGUCCACUGGACUAGUUGAAGUCUCUUGUGACGUUGUGUUUGAUGAAACUAACGGCUCUCAAGUAGAGCAAGUUGAUCUUGAUGAGAUAGGUGAAGAACAGGCUCCAUGCAUCGCGCUAAGGAACAUGUCCAUCGGGGAUGUGUGUCCUAAGGAAUCCGAAGAGCCUCCAAGUACACAAGAUCAACCAUCCUCCUCCAUGCAAGCAUCUCCACCAACUCAAAAUGAGGAUGAGGCUCAAAAUGAUGAAGAGCAAAAUCAAGAAGACGAGCCACCUCAAGAUGAUAGCAAUGAUCAAGGGGGAGAUACAAAUGAUCAAGAAAAGGAGGAUGAGGAAGAACCAAGACCGCCACACCCAAGAGUCCACCAAGCAAUCCAACGAGAUCACCCCGUCGACACCAUCCUCGGCGACAUUCAUAAGGGGGUAACUACUCGAUCUCGGGUUGCUCAUUUUUGUGAACAUUACUCUUUUGUUUCCUCUAUUGAGCCACACAGGGUAGAGGAAGCUCUCCAAGAUUCGGAUUGGGUGGUGGCGAUGCAAGAGGAGCUCAACAAUUUCACGAGGAAUGAGGUCUGGCAUUUAGUUCCACGUCCUAACCAAAAUGUUGUAGGAACCAAAUGGGUCUUCCGCAACAAGCAAGAUGAGCAUGGUGUGGUGACAAGGAACAAAGCUCGACUCGUAGCCAAAGGGUAUUCACAAGUCGAAGGUUUGGAUUUCGGCGAAACCUAUGCACCCGUAGCUAGGCUUGAGUCAAUUCGCAUAUUAUUGGCCUAUGCUACUUACCAUGGCUUUAAGCUCUAUCAAAUGGACGUGAAAAGUGCCUUCCUCAAUGGACCGAUCAAGGAAGAGGUCUAUGUUGAGCAACCUCCCGGCUUUGAAGACAGUGAGUAUCCAAAUCAUGUCUAUAGGCUCUCUAAGGCGCUUUAUGGGCUCAAGCAAGCCCCAAGAGCAUGGUAUGAAUGCCUUAGAGAUUUCCUUAUUGCUAAUGGCUUCAAAGUCGGCAAGGCCGAUCCUACACUCUUUACUAAAACUCUUGAAAAUGACUUGUUUGUAUGCCAAAUUUAUGUUGAUGAUAUUAUAUUUGGGUCUACUGACGAGUCUACAUGUGAAGAGUUUAGUAGGAUCAUGACACAGAAAUUCGAGAUGUCGAUGAUGGGGGAGUUGAAGUAUUUUCUAGGAUUCCAAGUCAAGCAACUCCAAGAGGGCACCUUCAUUAGCCAAACGAAGUACACUCAAGACAUUCUUGCUAAGUUUGGGAUGAAGGAUGCCAAACCCAUCAAGACACCCAUGGGAACUAAUGGGCAUCUCGACCUCGACACGGGAGGUAAGUCCGUGGAUCAAAAGGUAUACCGGUCGAUGAUUGGUUCAUUGCUUUAUUUAUGUGCAUCUCGACCGGACAUUAUGCUUUCCGUUUGCAUGUGUGCAAGAUUCCAAUCCGACCCUAAGGAAUCCCACCUUACGGCCGUAAAACGAAUCUUGAGAUAUUUGGCUUAUACCCCUAAGUUUGGGCUUUGGUACCCUCGGGGAUCCACAUUUGAUUUACUUGGUUAUUCGGAUGCCGAUUGGGCGGGGUGCAAAAUCAAUAGGAAGAGCACAUCGGGGACUUGCCAGUUCUUGGGAAGAUCCUUGGUGUCUUGGGCUUCAAAGAAGCAAAAUUCGGUCGCUCUUUCCACCGCCGAAGCCGAGUACAUUGCCGCAGGACAUUGUUGCGCGCAAUUGCUUUGGAUGAGGCAAACCCUGCGGGACUACGGUUACAAAUUAACCAAAGUCCCUUUGCUAUGUGAUAAUGAGAGUGCAAUUAAAAUGGCCGACAAUCCCGUCGAGCAUAGCCGCACUAAGCACAUAGCCAUUCGGUAUCAUUUUCUUAGGGAUCACCAACAAAAGGGGGAUAUCGAGAUUUCUUACAUUAAUACUAAAGAUCAAUUAGCCGACAUCUUUACCAAGCCACUUGAUGAACAAUCUUUUACCAGACUUAGGCAUGAGCUCAAUAUUCUUGAUUCUAGAAAUUUCUUUUGCUAAGCUUGCACACAUAGCUCAUUUGAAUACUUUUGAUCAUAUCUCCUUUAUAUGCUAUGACUAAUGUGUUUUCAAGUCUAUUUCAAACCAAGUCAUAGGUAUAUUGAAAGGGAAUUGGAGUCUUCGGCGAAGACAAAGGCUUCCACUCCGUAACUCAUGCUUCGCCAUCACUCCGAGCAACUCUCUAUUCCUUGGGGAGAAAUGAGCAUCAAAGAAAAGGACUUCAUCCUUGGAGGAGAGAGUAAAAGCUCAAAAGCAAAAGGACCGGAUUUCGUCUUUGGUAUAAUCUUAACUCAUUUACUUAUGACCAAAGGGGAAGAAAUUACUAAGGAGGGCUCUAAUGAUUCCGUUUUUGGCGAUUCAUGCCAAAAAGGGGGAGAAAUGAGCCCAAAGCAAAAGGACCGCACCACCACCACCAAAUUCAAAAACUUAGUGCUUUCCAAAAGUCUUUAUCAUUUGGUAUCCUAUUGUGUUCAAAAGGGGGAGAAAGUAGUAUUUCAAAAAUGGUAUAUCAAAACCCUCUUGAACACUAAGAGGUGGAUCUCUUUUAGGGGGAGUUUUGUUUAGUCAAAGGAAAAGCAUUUGAAAUAGGUGGAGAAAAUUUCAAAUCUUGAAAAUGCUUUACAAACUCUUAUUCAUUUACCUUUGACUAUUUGCAAAAGAUCUUUGAAAUGGAUUUACAAAAAGGAUUUGCAAAAACAAAACAUGUGGUGUAAACGUGGUCCAAAAUGUUACAUAAGAAAGGAACAUUCCAUGCAUAUCUUGUAAGUAGUUAUAUUGGCUCAAUUCCAAGCAACCUUUACACUUACAUUAUGCAAACUAGUUCAAUUAUGCACUUCUAUAUUUGCUUUGGUUUGUGUUGGCAUCAAUCACCAAAAAGGGGGAGAUUGAAAGGGAAUUAGGCUUACACCUAAGUCCUAAAUAAUUUUGGUGGUUAAAUUGCCCAACACAAAUCUUUGGACUAACUAGUUUGCUCUAGUGUAUAAGUUAUACAGGUGCAAAAGGUUCACAUCUAGCCAAUAAAAAGACCAAGUGUUGGAUUCAACAAAGGAGCAAUAAGGCAACCGAGGGCACCUCUGGCUGGAGGCACCGGACUGUCCGGUGUGCACCGGACAGUGUCCGGUGCGCCCGUAGACUUCGUUUUCUACCCUUCGCCAGAGGACUUCGACUUCAACCCUUCGCCCUCGGGAAUUCGCGGAGGCCGGCGCGCUAUAAUUCACCGGACUGUCCGGUGUGCACCGGACAUGUCCGGUGCGCCAACGAACCGCGGCCUCCGGAACUCGUCAUCCUCGGGUUUUCACGACAGCCGCUCCGCUAUAAUUCACCGGACUGUCCGGUGUGCACCGGACUGUCCGGUGUGCCAGCGGAGCAACGGCUCACUGCGGCGCCAACGGCUCCCUGCGCAGCAUUAAAUGCGCGCGCAGCGCGCGCAGACGUCAGGGCUGCCCAUACCGGUGCACCGGACAUCAAACAGUGCAUGUCCGGUGUGCACCGGACACCUCGGCAGGCCCACAAGUCAGAAGCUUCAACGGUCAGAAUCCAACGGCAAUGGUGACGUGGCAGAGGCACCGGACUGUCCGGUGUGCACCGGACUGUCCGGUGCGCCAUCGAACAGAGGCUGCCAGCAACGGUCACUUUUGGUGGUUGGGGCUAUAAAUACCCCAACCACCCCACCAUUCAUUGCAUCCAAGUUUUCCACUUCUCAACUACUACAAGAGCUCUAGCAUUCAAUUCUAGACACACUAAAGAGAUCAAAUCCUCUCCAAUUCCACACAAAGCCCUAGUGACUAGUGAGAGUGAUUUGCCGUGUUCAUUUGAGCUCUUGCGCUUGGAUUGCUUCUUUUCUUUCUCACUUGUUCUUGUGAUCAAAACUCCAUUGUAAUCAAGGCAAGAGGCACCAAUUGUGUGGUGGCCCUUGCGGGGAAGUUUUGUUCCCGGCUUUGAUUAGCGAAGAGAAGCUCACUCGGUCCGUGGGACCGUUUGAGAGAGGGAAGGGUUGAAAGAGACCCGGCCUUUGUGGCCUCCUCAACGGGGAGUAGGUUUGCAAGAACCGAACCUCGGUAAAACAAAUCUCCGUGUCUCAUUUGCUUAUUCGCUUGGGAUUUGUUUUGCGCCCUCUCUUGCGGACUCAUUUAUUAUUACUAACGCUAACCCCGGCUUGUAGUUGUGUUUAUAUUUGUAAAUUUCAGUUUCGCCCUAUUCACCCCCCCUCUAGGCGACUAUCAAUAAGAAAAGAAAAGCAAAACACUGUGGUAUUCAAGUUGAUCAUUGGAUCACUUGAGAGGAGUUGAGUGCAACUCUCGUCCGUUGGGACGCCACAACGUGGAGUAGGCAAGUUUUGUACUUGGCCGAACCACGGGAUAAACCACUGUGUCAUCUCUGUGAUUGAUCUCUUGUGGUUAUUGUGUUUUGUUGAGACUCCUCUCUAGCCACUUGGCAAUUAUUGUGCUAACCUUAACCAAGUUUUGUGGCUUAAGUUUUAUAUUUCACAGGAUCACCUAUUCACCCCCUCUCUAGGUGCUCUCAAUUGGUAUCAGAGCCGUUCUCUUCAAGAAAGGGACUAACCGCCCGAAGAGAUGGAUCCUAAGGGGAAGGGAAUCGUGAUCAACAACAAGGAGAAGGAGUCCUUCGUCAACGAGCCGAAGGAUGACAAGCCUACCGACUCGGGCUCAGGCCACAGACGCAAAGAUGGGAAGAAGAAGAAGACAAGACGCAUCAAGGAGAUCGUCUACUACGACGACAGCGAUGAGUCCACUUCUUCCCAAAAGGACAACGACGACAACGACUGCGAGAGAAGGAAACCGGUUAAUUCAAACUUUUCUUUUGACUACUCUCGUAUUCCGCAAAGUACAAAUGCUCAUUUAUUAUCCAUUCCACUUGGUAAACCUCCUCAUUUUGAUGGAGAAGACUACGGAUUUUGGAGUCACAAAAUGCGUAGUCACUUGUUCUCUCUCCAUCCUAGCAUAUGAGAGAUAGUAGAAAGUGGAAUGCAUUUUGAUAGUAGUGAUAGUCCCAUGUUUAUCAAUGAGCAAAUUCAUAAAAACGCACAAGCUACUACUGUGUUGAAAGGGAAAUGUGCCCUUGGGCCAUUUCUAAGUAUUUUGGUGAUUGAGUGCAAACACAAAGUGCUUAAAUGUGAAUUUAUGCCCAUGGAUGAACAAAGUGCAAAUCACGAGUAAAGGUAUGUUUCUAAGCCUUAGUACAUUGGUUUUGUGUACUAAUAUACUUGUCUAAGUGUUAGAAACAGAAAGAAGAAGAAAAGAAAAGAGGUGUGAAAGGCUUGGCUGUGUACAGCCAAGACUCAGCUCUGUCUGGCACACCGGACUGUCCGGUGGUGCACCGGACAGUGUCCGGUGCGCCAGGCUGACUCGGCGUGAAGUGGCCGCUCUCGGGAAUUCGCCGACGGCGUACGGCUAAAAUUCACCGGACUGUCCGGUGUGCACCGGACUGUCCGGUGAGCCAACGGUCGGCCGGGCCAACGGUCGGCCGGGCCAACGGUCGGCCGCGGAAUCUGCGCGCGACACGUGGUCGGGCCAACGGUCGGAAGGGGGCACCGGACUGUCCGGUGUGCACCGGACAUGUCCGGUGCGCCAAAGGCUCCCAGAUCUGCAAUGGUCGGCCGCGCCAUUUAAGGAAGGAAAUCGGGCACCGGACAGUGUCCGGUGUGCACCGGACUGUCCGGUGCACCCGACGACAGAAGGCAAGAUUGGCCUUCCAGAUUUGCUCUCAACGGCUCCUAGCUGCCUUGGGGCUAUAAAAGGGACCCCUAGGCGCAUGGAGGAGACACCCAAGCAACCUUAGAGCAUUCUUGAUCAUCCACACUCAGUCUUUGCGCAUUCAUUUGUCAUUCUCAGUGAUUCGAGCUCCGUUCUAGUGAGAACUUUGAGAUAGUCUUUUGAGCUCGAUUCUUGGCCGUGUGUGUGCGCAUUUUGCUGUGGAAUUGUGUGUGUUGCUUCCCUUCCUUACUCCGUAUUUCUUUGUGAAUCUCAAGUGUAAGGGCGAGAGGCUCCAAGUUGUGGAGAUUCCUCGCAAACGGGAUAUUGAAAGGCAAAGCAAAACACCGUGGUAUUCAAGUUGGUCUUUGGACCGCUUGAGAGGGGUUGAUUGCAACCCUCGUCCGUUGGGACGCCACAACGUGGAGUAGGCAAGCGUUGGUCUUGGCCGAACCACGGGAUAAACCACUGUGUCAUCUCUGUGUUUGAUCUCUUGUGGUAUUGUGUUUUGUUGAGACUCCUCUCUAGCCACUUGGCAAUUAUUGUGCUAACACUUAACAAGUUUUUGUGGCUAUAAGUUUAAGUUUCACAGGAUCACCUAUUCACCCCCCCUCUAGGUGCUCUCAAUUGGUAUCAGAGCCGUUCUCUUCAAGAAGAGGGACUAACCGCCCGAAGAGAUGGAUCCUAAGGGCAAGGGGAUAGUGAUCAACGAUAAGGAGAAGGAGUCCUUCGUCAACAAGCCCAAAGAUGACAAGCCUACCAACUCCGGCUCGGGUCAUAGACGAAAGGAAGGGAAGAAGAAGAAGACAAGGCGCAUCAAGGAGAUCGUCUACUACGACGACAGCGAUGAGUCUACUUCUUCCCAAAAGGACGACGACCACAACGACUACGAGAGAAGGAAACCGGUUAAUUCGAACUUUUCCUUUGACUACUCUCGUAUUCCGCAAAGUUCAAAUUCACAUUUGCUCUCCAUUCCACUCGGCAAGCCCCCACACUUUGAUGGGGAGGACUAUGGAUUUUGGAGCCACAAAAUGCGUAGUCAUCUAUUCUCUCUCCAUCCUAGUAUAUGGGAGAUUGUAGAUAGUGGAAUGCACUUUGAUAGUUCGGAUAGUCCUAUAUUCAUUAAUGAGCAAAUCCAUAAGAAUGCACAAGCUACUACUGUUCUUCUAGCUUCAUUGUGCAGGGAUGAAUAUAACAAAAUGAGCGGCUUGGAUAACGCCAAGCAGAUCUGGGACACCCUCAAGAUUUCUCAUGAGGGAAAUGACGUUACCUUGCUCACCAAAAUGGAGUUGGUGGAGGGCGAGCUUGGACGGUUCGCGAUGAUAAGGGGCGAGGAGCCAACUCAAACAUACAACCGGCUCAAGACCCUUAUUAACAAAAUAAGGAGCUACGGAAGCACGCGAUGGACGGACCACGACGUCGUUCGACUAAUGCUAAGGUCCUUUACCGUUCUUGAUCCUCAUUUGGUGAAUAAUAUUCGUGAGAAUCCCAGGUACACCAAAAUGUCGCCCGAAGAAGUCCUAGGAAAAUUCGUCAGCGGGCGAAUGAUGAUCAAGGAGGCGAGGUACGUGGACGACGCCUUGAAUGGACCGAUCAACGAGCCGCAACCUCUUGCUCUCAAAGCCACAAGAAGCAAGGAGGCGCUACCUAGCAAGGUGGCACAAAUUGAAGCGGCCGGACUUAAUGAUGAAGAGAUGGCCCUCAUCAUCAAAAGAUUCAAGACGGCGCUUAAGGGUCGCAAGGGACAGCCAAGCAAGACCAAAGCCAAGGGGAAGCGCUCAUGCUUCAAAUGCGGUAAGCUUGGUCAUUUUAUUGCUAAUUGUCCCGACAAUGAUAGUGAUCAGGACCAAGGGAACAAGAGAGAGUAAAAGAAGCAUUACAAGAAGGCCAAGGGCGAGGCACAUAUCGGAAAGGAGUGGGAUUCGGAUUGCUCCUCCUCCGACUCCGACAAUGAAGGACUCGCCGCCACUGCCUUCAACAAGUCAUCCCUCUUCCCCAACGAGCGUCACACUUGCCUCAUGGCAAGGGAGAAGAAAGUAAGCACUCAUGAUACUAGUACUUAUGCUUCUUCAAGUGAGGAUGAGUCUAGUGAUGAUGAUGAGAUAGAUUACUCAUGCUUAUUCAAGGGAUUAGAUAGAUCUAAAAUUAAUAAGAUUAAUGAGUUGAUUGAUGCUUUGAAUGACAAGAAUAGAUUACUAGAAAAACAAGAAGAUCUUUUAUAUGAGGAGCAUGAUAAAUUUGUUAGUGCACAAAAAUCUCUUGCUCUAGAAAUUAAAAGAAAUGAAAUGCUCUCUGGUGAAUUAUCUACUUGUCAUGAAACCAUUUCUACUUUACAAGGUGUUAACAAUGAUUUAAAUACUAAAUUAGAAGUAGCAAAUAAAUCUAAUUCUUGUGUAGAACAUGUUAUAAUUUGUACUAGGUGUAAAGAUUUUGACAUUGAUGCUUGUAGUGAACACCUAGUUUCAAUUUCCAAACUUAAUGAUGAAUUGGCUAGUCUUAAUGCUCAACUUAAGACUAGCAAGAAUGAUUUCGAUAAGCUAAAAUUUGCAAGGGAUGCCUACACGAUUGGUAGACACCCCUCAAUUAAGGAUGGACUUGGCUUCAAGAGGGAAGCCAAGAACUUAACAAGCCAUAAGGCUCCCAUCUCCGCCAAGGAGAAAGGGAAGGCCCCUAUGGCAAGUAGUGCUAAAAAGAACCAUGCUUUCAUGUACCAUGAUAAGAGACAAACUAGAAAUGCUUAUAGGAGUUACAAUGCUUAUGAUGAUUUUGAUUCUCAUGACAUGUUUGCUUCUAGUUCUUUCUGUGUGCAUGAUAGAAAUGUUGGUAGGAAAAAUGUUGUUCACAAUAUGCCUAGGAGAAAUGUUGUUAAUGUUCCUAGGAAAGUUAAUGAACCUUCUACAAUAUAUCAUGCUUUGAGUGCCUCCUUUGCAAUUUGUAGAAAGGAUAGAAAGGUGAUUGCUAGGAAAUUAGGGGCAAAAUGCAAGGGAGAUAAAACUUGCAUUUGGGUCCCUAAGACAAUUGUGACUAACCUUGUAGGACCCAACAAGAGUUGGGUACCUAAGUCCCAAGCCUAAAUUUGCCUUGCAGGUUUAUGCAUCCGGGGGUUCAAGCUAGAUUAUCGACAGCGGAUGCACAAACCAUAUGACGGGGGAGAAGAAGAUGUUCACCUCCUACGUCAAGAAUAAGGAUUCCCAAGAUUCAAUUAUAUUCGGUGAUGGGAAUCAAGGCAAGGUAAAAGGGUUAGGUAAAAUUGCAAUUUCUAAUGAGCACUCUAUCUCUAAUGUGUUUUUAGUAGAGUCUCUUGGAUAUAAUUUGCUAUCGGUUAGUCAAUUAUGCAAUAUGGGAUAUAACUGUCUAUUUACAAAUGUAGAUGUGUCUGUCUUUAGAAGAAGUGAUGGUUCACUAGCUUUUAAGGGUGUAUUAGACGUCAAACUUUAUUUAGUUGAUUUUGCAAAAGAAGAGGCCGGUCUAGAUGCAUGCUUAAUAGCUAAGAGUAGCAUGGGCUGGCUGUGGCAUCGCCGCUUAGCACAUGUGGGGAUGAAGAACCUUCACAAGCUUCUAAAGGGAGAACACGUGAUAGGUUUGACUAACGUGCAAUUCGAAAAAGAUAGACCUUGUGCAGCUUGUCAGGCAGGUAAACAGGUGGGAGGAGCGCAUCACAGCAAGAAUGUGAUGACCACAUCAAGACCCCUGGAGCUGCUACAUAUGGACCUCUUCGGACCCGUCGCCUAUCUAAGCAUAGGAGGAAGUAAGUAUGGUUUAGUUAUUGUUGAUGACUUUUCCCGCUUCACUUGGGUGUUCUUUUUGCAGGAUAAGUCUGAAACCCAAGGGACCCUCAAGCGCUUCCUCAGGAGAGCUCAAAAUGAGUUUGAGCUCAAAGUGAAGAAGAUAAGGAGCGACAACGGGUCCGAGUUCAAGAACCUUCAAGUGGAGGAGUUCCUUGAGGAGGAAGGGAUCAAGCACGAGUUCUCCGCUCCCUACACACCACAGCAAAAUGGUGUGGUAGAGAGGAAGAACAUGACGCUAAUCGAUAUGGCGAGGACGAUGCUAGGAGAAUUCAAGACCCCCGAGCGUUUUUGGUCGGAAGCCGUGAACACGGCUUGCCACGCCAUCAACAGGGUCUACCUUCAUCGCCUCCUCAAGAAGACUUCGUAUGAGCUACUAACCGGUAACAAACCCAAUGUAUCUUACUUUCGUGUAUUUGGGAGCAAGUGCUACAUUCUAGUGAAGAAGGGUAGAAAUUCUAAGUUUGCUCCCAAAGCUGUAGAAGGGUUUUUGUUAGGUUAUGACUCAAAUACAAAGGCGUAUAGAGUCUUCAACAAAUCAUCGGGUUUGGUUGAAGUUUCUAGCGACGUUGUAUUUGAUGAAACUAAUGGCUCUCCUAGAGAGCUAGUGGUUGAUCUUGAUGAUGUAGACGAAGAAGAUGUUCCGACGGCUGCUAUACGAACCAUGGCGAUUGGUAAUGUGCGACCACAGGAACAAGAUGAGCAAGAUCAACCUUCUUCCUCAACUAUGGUGCAUCCCCCAACUCAAGACGAUGAACAGGUUCAUCAACAGGAGGCGUGUGAUCAAGGGGGAGCACAAGAUGAUCAUGUGAUGGAGGAAGAAGCGGAACCGACACCUCCAACCCAAGUUCGAGCGAUGAUUCAAAGGGAUCAUCCCGUAGACCAAAUUCUGGGUCACAUUAGCAAGGGAGUAACUACUCGGUCUCGAUUAGUUAAUUUUUGUGAACAUUACUCCUUUGUCUCUUCUAUUGAGCCUUUCAGGGUAGAAGAGGCCUUGCUAGAUCCGGACUGGGUGUUGGCCAUGCAAGAGGAGCUCAACAACUUCAAGAGGAAUGAAGUUUGGACGCUGGUUCCUCGUUUGCUCAACAACUUCAAAAUGUUGUGGGAACCAAGUGGGUGUUCCGCAACAAACAGGACGAGCACGAGGUGGUGACGAGAAACAAGGCUCGACUUGUGGCAAAAGGUUAUGCCCAAGUCGCAGGUUUGGACUUUGAGGAGACGUUUGCUCCUGUGGCUAGGCUAGAAUCAAUUCGUAUCUUGCUAGCAUAUGCCGCUCACCAUUCUUUCAGGUUGUACCAAAUGGAUGUGAAGAGCGCUUUCCUCAACGGGCCAAUAAAGGAGGAGGUGUACGUGGAGCAACCCCCUGGCUUCGAGGAUGAACGGUACCCCGACCACGUGUGUAAGCUCUCUAAGGCGCUCUAUGGACUUAAGCAAGCCCUAAGAGCAUGGUAUGAAUGCCUUAGAGAUUUCUUAAUCGCUAAUGCUUUCAAGGUUGGGAAAGCCGAUCCAACUCUUUUCACUAAGACAUGUAAUGGUGAUUUGUUUGUGUGCCAAAUUUAUGUCGAUGACAUAAUAUUUGGUUCUACUAAUAAAAAGUCUUGUGAAGAGUUUAGCAGGGUGAUGACGCAGAAAUUCGAGAUGUCAAUGAUGGGCGAGUUGAACUACUUCCUUGGGUUCCAAGUGAAGCAACUCAAGGACGGCACCUUCAUCUCUCAAACGAAGUACACGCAAGACCUGCUGAAGCGGUUUGGGAUGAAGGACGCCAAGCCCGCAAAGACUCCGAUGGGGACCGACGGACACACCGACCUCAACAAAGGAGGUAAGUCUGUUGAUCAAAAAGCAUACCGGUCAAUGAUAGGGUCUUUACUUUAUUUAUGUGCUAGUAGACCGGAUAUUAUGCUUAGCGUAUGCAUGUGUGCUAGAUUUCAAUCCGAUCCUAAGGAGUGUCACUUAGUGGCAGUGAAGCGAAUCCUUAGAUAUUUAGUUGCUACGCCUUGCUUCGGGCUCUGGUAUCCAAAGGGGUCUACCUUUGACUUAAUUGGAUAUUCAGAUUCCGACUAUGCUGGAUGUAAGGUCGAUAGGAAGAGUACAUCGGGGACGUGCCAAUUCUUAGGAAGGUCCCUGGUGUCGUGGAACUCUAAGAAACAAACUUCCGUUGCCCUAUCCACCGCUGAGGUCGAGUAUGUUGCCGCAGGACAGUGUUGCGCGCAACUACUUUGGAUGAGGCAAACCCUCAGGGACUUUGGCUACAAUUUGAGCAAAGUCCCACUCCUAUGUGAUAAUGAGAGUGCUAUCCGCAUGGCGGAAAAUCCUGCUGAGCACAGCCGCACAAAGCACAUAGACAUCCGGCAUCACUUUCUGAGAGACCACCAGCAAAAGGGAGAUAUCGAAGUGUUUCAUGUUAGCACUGAGAACCAGCUAGCCGAUAUCUUUACCAAGCCUCUAGAUGAGAAGACCUUUUGCAGGCUGCGAAGUGAGCUAAAUGUCUUAGAUUCGCGGAACUUGGAUUGAAUUGUUGCUUAUUGUGGUGCUCAAGUUGUACAAACACUCCCUGGACCUCACAAGUCCGUUGCAAAGUGAUGCACAUGUUUAGGGGGAGAUGUGUUACAACUUGACCCUUUGAGACUAACCAUAUGCUUGAGUUUGCUUGAUUUAGUCUCGAAGGAGAAUUGAAAGGGAAAAGGUGAACUUGGACCAUGAAAGACUUCCACUGCACUCCGAUGAGAGGGUAACUUAUUCCAAGUUCAUCUCAUGAACUCUUAUUGCCAUUUGCUCUUAAUUGAAGAUUUUGGUGAGGCAAUGGGGUUAAAGGGCCAAGAUUGAUCCCGUUUUGGUGCUUGAUGCCAAAGGGGGAGAAAAUAAAGGCCAAAGCAAUAAAUGGAUCAGCUACCACUUGAGAAAUUUUGAAAAAUAGUAAAAUAGAGCUUUUUGUUUUGUCAAAACUCUUGCAUUGUCUCUUUUGUCAAAAGUUGGCCUCUUGUGGGGAGAAGUGUUGAUUAUGGGAAAUAGGGGGAGUUUUUGAUCAAUCUCUUUUGGAAUGACUCUCUUUAUGCUUCAACAUGUGUGUUUGACUUAGAGAUAGAGAUUUGAGUCUGAUUUGCAAAAACAAACCAAGUGGUGGCAAAGGAUGAUCCAUAUAUGCCAAAAAUGAAUCAAAAUAAAUUUGAGUUUUAUUUGAAGUGAUAUUGCACUUGUUCCAGUUGCUUUAUGUUGUGUUGGCAUAAAUCACCAAAAAGGGGGAGAUUGAAAGGGAAAUGUGCCCUUGGGCCAUUUCUAAGUAUUUUGGUGAUUGAGUGCAAACACAAAGUGCUUAAAUGUGAAUUUAUGCCCAUGGAUGAACAAAGUGCAAAUCACGAGUAAAGGUAUGUUUCUAAGCCUUAGUACAUUGGUUUUGUGUACUAAUAUACUUGUCUAAGUGUUAGAAACAGAAAGAAGAAGAAAAGAAAAGAGGUGUGAAAGGCUUGGCUGUGUACAGCCAAGACUCAGCUCUGUAUGGCACACUGGACUGUCCGGUGGUGCACCGGACAGUGUCCGGUGCGCCAGGCUGACUCGGCGUGAAGUGGCCGCUCUCGGGAAUUCGCCGACGACGUACGGCUAAAAUUCACCGGACUGUCCGGUGAGCCAACGGUCGGCCGGGCCAACGGUCGGCCGCAGAAUCUGCGCGCGACACGUGGCCGGGCCAACGGUCGGAAGGGGGCACCGGACUGUCCGGUGUGCACCGGACAUGUCCGGUGCGCCAAAGGCUCGCAGAUCUGCAACGGUCGGCCGUGCCAUUUAAGGAAGGAAAUCGGGCACCGGACAGUGUCCGGUGUGCACCGGACUGUCCGGUGCACCCGACGACAGAAGGCAAGAUUGGCCUUCCAGAUUUGCUCUCAACGGCUCCUAGCUGCCUUGGGGCUAUAAAAGGGACCCCUAGGCGCAUGGAGGAGACACCCAAGCAACCUUAGAGCAUUCUUGAUCAUCCACACUCAGUCUUUGCGCAUUCAUUUGUCAUUCUCAAUGAUUCGAGCUCCGUUCUAGUGAGAACUUUGAGAUAGUCUUUUGAGCUCGAUUCUUGGCCGUGUGUGUGCGCAUUUUGCUGUGGAAUUGUGUGUGUUGCUUCCCUUCCUUACUCCAUAUUUCUUUGUGAAUCUCAAGUGUAAGGGCGAGAGGCUCCAAGUUGUGGAGAUUCCUCGCAAACGGGAUAUUGAAAGGCAAAGCAAAACACCAUGGUAUUCAAGUUGGUCUUUGGACCGCUUGUGAGGGGUUGAUUGCAACCCUCGUCCGUUGGGACGCCACAACGUGGAGUAGGCAAGCGUUGGUCUUGGCCGAACCACGGGAUAAACCACUGUGUCAUCUCUGUGUUUGAUCUCUUGUGGUAUUGUGUUUUGUUGAGACUCCUCUCUAGCCACUUGGCAAUUAUUGUGCUAACACUUAACAAUUUUUUGUGGCUAUAAGUUUAAGUUUCACAGGAUCACCUAUUCACCCCCCCUCUAGGUGCUCUCAUGUGUUGCUAGCCUCAUUGUGCAGGGAUGAGUACCACAAAGUGAGCGGCUUGGACAAUGCCAAGCAGAUCUGGGACACCCUCAAGAUCUCACAUGAGGGCAACGAUGUCACCAUGCUCACCAAGAUGGAGUUGGUGGAAGGCGAACUUGGGAGAUUCGCUAUGAUAAGGGGGGAGGAGCCAACCCAAACAUACAACCGGCUAAAGACCCUUGUCAACAAGAUAAGGAGCUACGGAAGCACGCGAUGGACGGACCACGACGUCGUCCGCCUAAUGUUAAGGUCGUUCACUGUCCUUGAUCCUCAUCUUGUGAACAAUAUUCGUGAGAAUCCUAGGUACAUCAAGAUGACGCCCGAGGAGAUACUUGGAAAGUUCGUGAGCGGGCGAAUGAUGAUCAAGGAAGCAAGAUACGUGGAUGACGCAUUGAAUGGUCCAAUCAAUGAGCCUCAACCUCUUGCUCUCAAGGCAACAAGAAGCAAGGAGACGCUACCUAGCAAGGUGGCACAAAUUGAGGCGGCUGGACUUAACGAUGAAGAGAUGGCACUCAUCAUCAAGAGAUUCAAGACGGCGCUAAAAGGUCGCAAGGGGCAGCCAAGCAAGACCAAGACAAAGGGGAAGCGCUCAUGCUUCAAAUGUGGUAAGCUUGGUCAUUUUAUUGCUAACUGUCCCGACAAUGAUAGUGAUCAGGAUCAAGGGAACAAGAGGGAAAAGAAGAAGUACUAUAAGAAGGCAAAGGGCGAGGCUCAUCUAGGCAAGGAGUGGGAUUCGGAUUGCUCCUCUUUCGACUCCGACAAUGAAGGACUCGCCGCCACCGCCUUCAACAAGUCAUCCCUCUUCCCCAACGAGCGUCACACAUGCCUUAUGGCAAGGGAGAAGAAGGUAUGUACUCGAAACACUACUUAUGCUUCUUCAAGUGAGGACGAAUCUAGUGAUGAGAAUGAAAUAGAUUAUUCAUGUUUAUUUAAAGGCUUAGAUAGAUCUAAGGUAGAUAAAAUUAAUGAAUUGAUUGAUGCCUUGAAUGAUAAGAAUAGGCUUUUAGAAAAGCAAGAGGAUUUGUUGUAUGAAGAACAUGACAAAUUUGUAGAAGCACAAAAAUCUCAUGCUCUAGAAGUUAAAAGAAAUGAAAUGCUUUCUUGUGAAUUAUCUUCUUGUCAUGAGACAAUUUCUAACUUAAAAAGCAUUAAUGAUGAUUUGAAUGCUAAGUUAGAAAUAGCUAGUAAAUCAACAUCUUGUGUAGAAAAUGAUGUUAUUUGCAAUAGGUGUAAAGAUCUUGAUAUUGAUGCUUGUAGUGAACACAUAGCCUCUAUUGCAAAAUUAAAUGAUGAAGUUGCUAGUCUUAAUGCCCAACUUAAGACUAGCAAAAGUGAAUUUGACAAAUUAAAAUUUGCAAGGGAUGCCUACACAAUUGGUAGACACCCCUCAAUUAAGGAUGGUCUUGGCUUCAAGAAGGAAGUCAAGAACUUAACAAGCCAUAAGGCUUCCAUCUCCACAAAGGAGAAAGGGAAGGCCCCUAUGGCAAGUAAUGCUAAAAAGAACCAUGCCUUCAUGUACCAUGAUAGAAAAUUUUCUGGAAAUGUUCAUGAUGAUAGGAGUUGUAAUGCUUAUAAUGCUUUUGACUCUCAUGCCAUGUUUGCUUCUAAUUCUUCCUAUAUGCAUGGUAGAAAUGUGUUUAGAAGAAAUACUGUUCAUCAUAUGCCUAGGAGAAAUGUUGUCAAUAUUCCUAGAAAAGUUAAUGAACCUUCUACAAUUUAUCAUGCUUGUGAUGCUUCAUUUGCAAUUUGUAGAAAGGAUAGAAAGGUGAUUGCUAGGAAAUUAGGGGCAAAAUGCAAGGGAGAUAAAACUUGCAUUUGGGUCCCUAAGACAAUUGUGACUAACCUUGUAGGACCCAACAAGAGUUGGGUACCUAAGUCCCAAGCCUAAAUUUUCCUUGCAGGUUUAUGCAUCCGGGGGUUCAAGCUGGAUUAUUGACAGCGGAUGCACAAACCAUAUGACGGGGGAGAAGAAGAUGUUUACCUCCUACGUCAAGAACAAGGAUUCCCAAGAUUCAAUAAUAUUCGGUGAUGGGAACCAAGGCAAGGUAAAAGGGUUAGGUAAAAUUGCAAUCUCAAAUGAGCACUCUAUUUCUAAUGUGUUUUUAGUUGAGUCUCUGGGAUAUAAUUUACUAUAUGUUAGUCAAUUAUGCAAUAUGGGAUAUAACUGUUUAUUCACAAACAUAGAUGUGUCUGUCUUUAGAAGGUGUGAUGGUUCACUAGCUUUUAAGGGUGUACUAGACGGCAAACUUUAUUUAGUUGAUUUUGCAAAAGAGGAGGCCGAUCUAGAUGCAUGCUUAAUUGCUAAGACUUGCAUGGGCUAGCUGUGGCAUCACCGCUUAGCACAUGUGGGGAUGAAGAAUCUUCACAAGCUUUUAAAGGGAGAACAUGUGAUAGGUUUAACUAACGUGCAAUUCGAAAAAGAUAGACCUUGUGCAGCAUGUCAAGCAGGUAAACAGGUGGGAGGAGCACAUCACAGCAAGAAUGUGAUGACCACAUCAAGGCCCCUGGAGCUGCUACAUAUGGACCUCUUCGGACCCGUCGCCUAUCUAAGCAUAGGGGGAAGUAAGUAUGGUUUAGUUAUUGUGGAUGACUUUUCCCGCUACACUUGGGUAUUCUUUUUGCAGGAUAAGUCUGAAACCCAAGGGACCCUCAAGCGCUUCCUAAGGAGAGCUCAAAACGAGUUUGAGCUCAAGGUGAAAAAAACAAGGAGCGACAAUGGGUCCGAGUUCAAGAACCUUCAAGUGGAGGAGUACCUUGAAGAGGAAGGGAUCAAGCACGAGUUCUCCGCUCCCUACACACCACAGCAAAAUGGUGUGGUAGAGAGGAAGAACAGGACGCUAAUCGAUAUGGCGAGGACGAUGCUUGGAGAGUUCAAGACCCCCGAGCGUUUUUGGUCGGAAGCCGUGAACACGGCUUGCCACGCCAUCAACAGGGUCUACCUUCACCGCCUCCUCAAGAAGACGUCGUAUGAGCUUCUAACCGGUAACAAACCCAAUGUAUCUUACUUUCGUGUAUUUGGGAGCAAAUGCUACAUUCUAGUGAAGAAGGGUAGAAAUUCUAAGUUUGCUCCCAAAGCUGUAGAAGGGUUUUUGUUAGGUUAUGACUCAAAUACAAAGGCGUAUAGGGUCUUCAACAAAUCAUCGGGUUUGGUUGAAGUCUCUAGCGACGUUGUAUUUGAUGAGACUAAUGGCUCUCCAAGAGAGCAAGUUGUUGAUCUUGAUGAUGUAGAUGAAGAAGAUGUUCCGACGGCCGCUAUACGAACCAUGGCGAUUGGUGAUGUGCGACCACAGGAACAAGAUGAGCAAGAUCAACCUUCUUCCUCGACUGUGGUGCAUCCCCCAACUCAAGACGAUGAACAGGUUCAUCAACAGGAGGCGUGUGAUCAAGGGGGAGCACAAGAUGAUCAUGUGAUGGAGGAAGAAGCGCAACCGGCACCUCCAACCCAAGUUCGAGCGAUGAUUCAAAGGGAUCAUCCCGUCGAUCAAAUUCUGGGUGAUAUUAGCAAGGGAGUAACUACUCGAUCUCGAUUAGUUAAUUUUUGUGAGCAUUACUCCUUUGUCUCUUCUAUUGAGCCUUUCAGGGUAGAGGAGGCCUUGCUAGAUCCGGACUGGGUGUUGGCCAUGCAAGAGGAGCUCAACAACUUCAAGAGAAAUGAAGUUUGGACGCUGGUGCCUCGUCCUAAGCAAAAUGUUGUGGGAACCAAGUGGGUGUUCCGCAACAAACAAGACGAGCACGGAGUGGUGACGAGGAACAAGGCUCGACUUGUGGCAAAUGGGUAUGCCCAAGUCGCAGGUUUGGACUUUGAGGAGACUUUUGCUCCUGUGGCUAGACUAGAGUCCAUUCGUAUUUUGCUAGCAUAUGCCGCUCACCAUUCUUUCAGGUUGUUCCAAAUGGAUGUGAAGAGCGCUUUCCUCAACGGGCCAAUCAAGGAGGAGGUGUACGUAGAGCAACCCCCUGGCUUCGAGGAUGAACGGUACCCUGACCACGUGUGUAAGCUCUCUAAGGCGCUCUAUAGACUUAAGCAAGCCCCAAGAGCAUGGUAUGAAUGCCUUAGAGACUUUCUAAUUGCUAAUGCUUUCAAGGUUGGGAAAGCCGAUCCAACUCUGUUCACUAAGACUUGUGACGGUGAUCUUUUUGUAAGCCAAAUUUAUGUCGAUGACAUAAUAUUUGGUUCUACUAAUAAAAAGUCUUGUGAAGAGUUUAGCAGGGUAAUGACGCAGAAAUUCGAGAUGUCGAUGAUGGGCGAGUUGAACUACUUCCUUGGGUUCCAAGUGAAGCAACUCAAGGAUGGCACCUUCAUCUCUCAAACGAAGUACACGCAAGACUUGCUGAAGCGGUUUGGGAUGAAGGAUGCCAAGCCCGCAAAGACUCCGAUCGGGACCGACGGACACACCGACCUCAACAAAGGAGGUAAGUCCGUUGAUCAAAAUGCAUACCGGUCAAUGAUAGGGUCUUUACUUUAUUUAUGUGCUAGUAGACCGGAUAUUAUGCUUAGCGUUUGCAUGUGUGCUAGAUUUCAAUCCGAUCCUAAGGAGUGUCACUUAGUGGCAGUGAAGCGAAUCCUUAGAUAUUUAGUUGCUACGCCUUGCUUCGGGCUCUGGUAUCCAAAGGGGUUGUUGGUGACUUGUUCUCAAAUGCUAAGAGUUAAGAACAAGGCAACAUGAAAAGUGUUAAAUGUUAAAGUCCUUCAUCCUUCGAAGGACUUUAUGUCCCUUCGGGAAAUAAUGAGUUUCGGACGAAGGUCAUAAGAGACAUACCUUCGUAAAUAUAGUAGGUAAAAACGAAAGACUCAUAUAAAGCAUGAGAUAUAAUAUAAGCAUCAUCAUGGAAUCAUUUCUAUUUUAUUAACAUGGGAAAAUAGAAAUGAUUUCAAAUUACAGAUGUACCUUCGGUCCUGAGAGAAGGUAAAAAGUACAGGCGUGACGCAAAAGCAAAUGCAAAGUCAGCGUGAACAGUACGGGAGUACUGUUCAUCUAUUUAUAGACGCGGGAUGCAGCCCACGUAAAAUUACAUCCAUGUCCAUUACAUUUGUUAACGGUUUAUGGAAAUCUAUUGAGGACCCCGAAGUCUUUUCAUCUUAAGGUCGGUUCCCCCUUGUGCCAUCGCGCCGAAGCUUCCCUGCGUACAGCUUCGGCUGCCCCCGACCUUCGUCUGGCUCAACCUUCGUCCUGGUCGUGCUCCAUAUCCAUAAUUCUGAAUCCGAAAAUACCUGUUCAUAUAAUUCACUUGGAAAACAUUGUCAAAUCAUGUUUUUGAGGACCUUCGGAGGACGAAGGCCCCCAACAGUAGCCCCUCGCAAUAUUAAUUUGUAAAUAAUAAAUUCAGAUUGCGAUAUGGACGAAGGCCUUGAGCCGAAGGUCCGAAAAAACACCUUCCCUUUGCUAGAAUAGCAACAUUCACUGACAAGCGGGGCCUUUUAACUUUCAACGCCCUAGGCGUAUAAAUAAGAACACAUCGUGAAUUCAUUUGGUACACACGCUUGCCUUUUGCUUCGGCCCACUAAAAAUUUUUAGCUCUUGCUCAUUGAGAUUUGCUGGUCUUUUUGAUUUCGAAGCUUCGGCCUCGGGAACAAAUUUUUAGUGUUUCCGAAGAUGUCUGAAGACAAGAAGAUCCCUGCCGAGACGAAGCUGAGUCUCGAGGAGGAGAAGAAUCUGGGGUUCCUGAUAGCGAUGGCAGAGACUAAUACAGAGAAAAUCACGAAGGAGAUUCUCGAAGGUUUGUCCGAAGAUACUGAUGACAGCGACAGCUAUGAUGUGGAAAGUGAUGGGGAAGAGGCCGAAGAUCGACCGUGGCGACCAAGUCACUCAGUUUUUGGGAAAACAACCAUCAAGCAGAGUCACAUUGAUAAUAUGAGGGGGCGAUACUUCCGAGACAUAUCUAUUGUGAGAGCUGAUGCCGGGGAAAAGACUUCUCCCACCCCUGAAGAAGAUGAAGUUGUAAUUUUCCGAAGCCUCCUCAAGGCUGGGCUUCGAUUCCCCCUGAGCAACUUUGUUGUUGAGGUACUGAAAACAUUCCAAAUCUACCUUCAUCAACUCACUCCCGAAGCUAUUAUAAGAAUGGGGAUUUUUGUCUGGGCUGUGAGAAGCCAAGGUUUGGAGCCAAACGCUAAAAGCUUCUGCAACAUACACGAGUUAUUGUACGAGACGAAGCCCUGGGGAAAGGAGCAAUACCACAACAACUUUGGGUGCUACAGCUUCGGCGCCCGCUCCGGGUCAAGCUACCCUGUGCCAACCUUUCGGAAGAGGUGGCCCGGAGCCUGGAUGUCUGAAUGGUUUUAUGUGAAAAAUGAUCUAACAGCGCAAAAUAAUGUCCAAAGUAUCAUUAUGUACCCAAUUUGGCAACGCUUCGGACUUCGAAGGCCGAAGGUUGAAAUGGAUGAGGCAGCCGAAGAAUGCCAAAGAGCCUUCGGCGCAGUCUGCUCUUUCAUUGGGACAAGGGACUUGGUCCAGGAGCACAUUGCCUUCAGGAUAUGGCCACUUGCAGAAAAGUGGGAAAUGCCGAAAGAAACCAUCAAAGAGUCCGACGAAGGCGGACUAGUCAGAUUAAAAUACACAUUCAAAUAUGCAGAUAAAUUUAUUGAACCUGAUGAUGACUGGCUGAAAAGCAUUGAAACAUUAAGUGAUGAAUUACUUGGGGCAUUCUCGAAGGCUGAAAAUACUGCACUAUCAGCAGCCUUCGGAGGCCGCAAAAAGAAGAGACUGAACCGAGUGUUUGAUGCAAUCGGGUUCUUCUACCCUGAUUAUUGUUAUCCCAUCCGAAGGCAGAAAAGGAAAAGCAUAACCUCUGAAAAAGAAGAAGCUGGAACCGCUCCUAGCGAGCCAGAACCAAAAGGAAAAAGGCUGAAGGUCUUCACACACCGACCACGCCAUAUUGAGCCAGCUUCGGUGCCGGAGUUUACCGGGAAAACUUCUUCAGCCACCGAAGCUGAAAAACCAAACGAGCCGGCCUUGCUGCCAGAGAUCGCAGAAACGGCCGAAGUGCCACCAAAGAUAGAAUCAGAACAAUCAAACAUUUUGUUGUCAGAAACAAAAGAGAAAACCGAAGCGCCGCUCACAGAAAAAAUUGAGAAAGUAAGAGAAGCAACUGAGGGCUUCAAAACAUCAGAAGUUUUGAGUCCUACAGCAAUCAUUGGGACGGCAAAAAAUGAAAAAGUGCCAGCUGCAACUCCGAAGAGAAAGAGAAUGGCUAAUGUGCUAGACGUAUUGGAAACGAUCAAAUCUUCGAGCACACCUCCGAAGAAAGCUGCUAUUACUCCUGAAACAAAAGCUGAAAUCUCUGGUUCUACAGCUCCAGAGGAAGAGAUUGAAGCCGAAGCUGGACCCUCAGAGUCCGCAAAAACUUUGAGAAGUGAGGCAGAGAAAAUAACAAAGCUAACUAUUGAAGAAUCUAGUGUUGCUGCCCCCGAAGCAUCCCCCAAAAUUCGUGAUUAUAUUUUUCGUCAUGCUUCGGGGAAAAAAUUAUCAGAAAAAGAAGAACAAGAGGCCCAGCAUUAUGCCCAAAAACUGAAAUAUCCGAAGGGGGCGUUAAUAUUUAAUGGCAGUGGAGAAGGAGACUUCUUGUACUGUCUUCCCGACAACAAGGAAAUUUCUGUCUGUCGGGAGAUAGGCAGAAGCUUUGGAUUCCCAACUUUAGAAGACGGACUUUCGGUGCUAUCAAAAAACGAUCUGGCUGACAGCCUAGCUUAUAACAGUUUAAAGGUAUGAUAAAUGAAAUCCUUGUAUUUUUCCGUUCAUUUAAACCCUCUGACACACACACAUAUUCCUUUUUGCAGGGCUUGAUACUUAGCAAUGCUCUCAGAGCCCAGAAAGAUACUGAAGACGAAGGGUGUACUAUAGCCCUGAGCAACCUUCGUUCCGAAGUAAUUGAACUGAGGAACGAAGGUCUCGAAAAAGACAAAAUAUUAUACUCAUUGAUAGAUAAAAUAAAGGAGGACGAAGCUGCCUUCAAAAGUCAGGCUGAAGCUCAGAAACGCGAAAUUGAAGACCUUCGGAAACAACUGGCCAGAGCUAAAGAAGAACGUAUACUUGAAGAAACAAAGCGUGAACUCAGCGAUCAAUGGGCAGAACACCUAGAAGUGACUGUUGAAGAGCUUCGUUCAUCCAAAAAGAGAUGCUACAAUAAAUCUAUAGACUGUGUUAAAAAAUUAAAGGCUAGCUUCGCCAAGGUCGGCGCAUUCUCAAGUGAAGAAAAUUUUCUGAGGGGCAAUCCCGAAAGUGUCAUUGAAUGGAUUGACCACGAAGCUGAAGUCUUCGAAGAAAUUUUAAAUAGCCGAGGAGAUAUAUGUGCCUUCUCUGGCGCCAGAGGGAUUGCCACUAUUUUAGAGAAGAAGGGCUGUGAACAUGUGAAAAUUUUAGCACAGUCCGAAGCCACCUUGUCGACUGAAGAUAUAAAAGAUCCUUCAGCCGAAGCUAGCGCGGUUGGAGGAAAAUUUUUUACCGACAUCUGGGACAACGGUGGCCGAGAAAUGGCAAGAGAAAUUAUUCAGAGAAGUGAAAAGGGCAUCCAUGAUGCUAGAGAAGUGGCUAAGGCUGCUGAAAAGAGCACAGAGCCCGAAGGUCAAUUAGGUACUAAAUAAUAGCUUCUACCGUGUUGUAAUCUUUAGGCUUUUAAGAUCUGUUUGCGAUUUGUAAUAGUAAUGUAGUCGUGUCCUGCUUCAGAUCCGACUAAAGCGCCUUCGGGCCCUCAGCCGAAGGGGGACGACGAAAUUAAAAAGAUGGCCGAAGAUAUUAUGGACGAAGUCGUCAAUCGGCUUCUGAAUGAAGCUGCAGGAGUCGUUUUGAGAGAGGAUUAAACAUUUUUGUAAAAAACUUCGGAAAUGUAAUAUAAUGUAACAUUUUUGUAACCCCGAAUGUAAUAUAUCUAUUUUUGCUACUCAAUUCUUUACGAUGCAUGAAACUUUACACACGUACCGUUUUUGAGUUUGGCGAAAAAAACACCUUCCCUUCUUUUCAUGCUUCGUGAAGAAUAUCCAAACUUCGUGAAAAAAUUCUCCGAAGCUAUACUUCCGAAGAUGAAGAUUGAUUCUCUUUACGACCAUGAUUUUCACUCUUUCAAAUCAUACUUUCGAAAAUCAAUAUUGUGUCCCCUUCUUGGGACCACGAUUUUCACUCUUUCAAAUCAUACUUCCGAAGAUCAAUAUUGUGUCCCCUUCUUGGGACCACGAUUUUCACUCUUUCAAAUCAUACUUCCGAAGAUCAAUAUCGUGUCCCCUUCUUGGGCCAUAUGCAACAUGAUGUAUGAUGCUUAUGCUAUGCAAAAUGAUGUAAUGAUGUUAUGCUACGUAGAUGACAUUUGUUCCGAAAGAUACACACAUAUCCCCACACAAUAUUUUUGUAUCAGCACUGAUUCUUCGCUGUAAGCUCUGCAUUCCCUUAGGAACGUCUUUGGAGCUUCUUCGCCUCUUACUUAGGCGGUAUAAGCUCUGCAUUCCCUUAGGAACGUCUUUGGAGCUUCUUCGCCUUUUACUUAGGCGGUAUAAGCUCUGCAUUCCCUUAGGAACGUCUUUGGAGCUUCUUCGCCUUUUACUUAGGCGGUAUCAGCGUUGACUUUUCGCUGUAGGCUCUGCAUUCCUUUAGGAACGACUUCUGAGCAGAAAACUUACACUGCGCUCCCUUUGGAACGGCUUUUUGUGACUUCACAAACUUACUCUGCGUUCCUUAGAACGACUUUUCGUUACUCCGAAGGAUUUUUAAUUCGAAGGUCCUCCUUGGUAACGGAAAAAAUUUUUAAUCUUCAGCAACUUAAGCUUGUGGAGCAAAUAGAUCUUCCUCGUGGAAAACAACGACAUUAUUACAUGAAAACUAUCAAUGUUUUUUGCUUGACAGAAAACAAAACUGAAUAAGAAAGACUGCUAUCAAAGAUAGGAUAUGUGUCAAUAAAUGUGUUUCGACUCUGGCACAGUGCUGUUGACUGUGCGAGCUUCGGACUGCUCUCUGAAGUCCCUCUGCUGUGGAGCGUAUUGACUCCCUUCUGGCUGCUGACCUUGUUGCAACGGAGGUGGAGGCGGAGGCUGUUGCCAGGAAGCUGAAGGCUGACUUGCCGAAGCAGCAGAGACUACAGGAUGAUUGCCCACAUAUUCUGGGAUGUAGGGCGAAUGAUACGAAGCUGUAUGCAUGACCUGCUUCGGCUGGGCUUGUUGUGCUGCUGCUUCAGCUAUUUCCUUUUGCUUCUGUAUAGUAACAUGGCACAUCCUGGUAGUAUGGCCUUUGUUCUCACCACAGAAUAAGCAAAAGAUUCUUCUUGGUUGAUCGCCAAAUCUUCCUCCGAAGCCCCUGGCGCCUCUGCCUCUUGGAGCUGGUGGUCGGAAGGAGCUUUGCUGUUGCCCCGAAGCCUGUGAGGAGUACUGUGGCCUUUGCUGCUGGCUCCCUUUAUCAUCAUUUUGAUUGGAAUUAUGAAUUGAUCUGACAUGCCUCGGAUAGAAUCUUCCUCCGAAGCCCCUGGUCAUCUCAGAAAAUCUGAAGGCCUCCUCCCUUCUUUGGCGAAAAUCAUUGUCAGCUCGAAUAUAUUCAUCCAUCUUCUGGAGCAGCUUCUCCAGCGUUUGAGGAGGCUUCCUGGCGAAGUACUGAGCUGACGGACCUGGCCGAAGCCCCUUGAUCAUGGCCUCAAUGACAAUUUCAUUGGGCACCGUUGGUGCCUGUGCCCUCAAACGCAAAAACCUUCGGACAUAUGCCUGAAGGUAUUCUUCGGGGUCCUGAGUGCACUGGAACAGAGCCUGAGCAGUGACCGGCUUCGUUUGAAAUCCUUGAAAGCUGGUUAACAACAAGUCCUUCAGCUUCUGCCAUGAAGUGAUCGUUCCUGGUCGAAGGGAGGAAUACCAGGUUUGAGCAACACUUCUGACAGCCAUAACAAAAGAUUUGGCCAUGACUGAAGCAUUGCCACCGUACGAAGACACUGUUGCUUCGUAGCUCAUCAAAAACUGCUUCGGAUCAGAAUGGCCAUCAAAUACGGGGAGCUGAGGCGGCUUGUAGGACGGAGGCCAAGGCGUAGCCUGCAACUCAGCGGACAAGGGAGAAGCAUCAUCAAAAACAAAAUUCCCAUGAUGGAAAUUGUCAUACCAGUCAUCUUCGUUGUGAAAGCCCUCCUGAUGAAGGUCUUGAUGCUGAGGCCUUCGGAAUUGCUCAUCCUGAGCAAGAUGACGAACUUCUUCAGAGGCUUCAUCUAUCUGCCUCUGCAGUUCAGCUAGCCUGGCCAUCUUCUCCUUCCUGCGUUGAACCUGUUGCUGAAGGAUUUCCAGAUUCUGAAUUUCCUGAUCUAGAUCAUCCUCCGGAUGUGUUGGACUGGUAGCCUUCCUCUUCUGGCUUCGUGCCUCUCUGAGAGAAAGGACAUCUUGAUUGGGGUCCAGCGGCUGCAGCGUGCCAGCCCCUGGUGCUGGAGCCUUCUUCGGCGGCAUGACGAAGCUGAUGCUUGCCGAAGGUGCCGAAAAACUCAAGAAGUGGAAGUGAGUUCACCGGAGGUGGGCGCCAAUGUUGGUGACUUGUUCUCAAAUGCUAAGAGUUAAGAACAAGGCAACAUGAAAAGUGUUAAAUGUUAAAGUCCUUCAUCCUUCGAAGGACUUUAUGUCCCUUCGGGAAAUAAUGAGUUUCGGACGAAGGUCAUAAGAGACAUACCUUCGUAAAUAUAGUAGGUAAAAACGAAAGACUCAUAUAAAGCAUGAGAUAUAAUAUAAGCAUCAUCAUGGAAUCAUUUCUAUUUUAUUAACAUGGGAAAAUAGAAAUGAUUUCAAAUUACAGAUGUACCUUCGGUCCUGAGAGAAGGUAAAAAGUACAGGCGUGACGCAAAAGCAAAUGCAAAGUCAGCGUGAACAGUACGGGAGUACUGUUCAUCUAUUUAUAGACGCGGGAUGCAGCCCACGUAAAAUUACAUCCAUGUCCAUUACAUUUGUUAACGGUUUAUGGAAAUCUAUUGAGGACCCCGAAGUCUUUUCAUCUUAAGGUCGGUUCCCCCUUGUGCCAUCGCGCCGAAGCUUCCCUGCGUACAGCUUCGGCUGCCCCCGACCUUCGUCUGGCUCAACCUUCGUCCUGGUCGUGCUCCAUAUCCAUAAUUCUGAAUCCGAAAAUACCUGUUCAUAUAAUUCACUUGGAAAACAUUGUCAAAUCAUGUUUUUGAGGACCUUCGGAGGACGAAGGCCCCCAACAGGGGUCUACCUUUGACUUGAUUGGAUAUUCAGAUUCCGACUAUGCUGGAUGUAAGGUCGAUAGGAAGAGUACAUCGGGGACGUGCCAAUUCUUAGGAAGGUCCCUAGUGUCAUGGAACUCUAAGAAACAAACCUCCGUUGCCCUAUCCACCGCUGAGGCCAAGUAUGUUGCCGUAGGAAAGUGUUGCGCAGAACUACUUUGGAUGAGGCAAACCCUCAGGGACUUUGGCUACAAUCUGAGCAAAGUCCCACUCCUAUGUGAUAAUGAGAGUGCUAUCCGCAUGGCGGAAAAUCCUGUUGAACACAGCCGCACAAAGCACAUUGACAUCCGGCAUCACUUUUUGAGAGACCACCAGCAAAAGGGAGAUAUCGAAGUGUUCCAUGUUAGCUCCGAGAACCAGCUAGCCGAUAUCUUUACCAAGCCUUUAGAUGAGCAGACCUUUUGCAGGUUGCGUAGUGAGCUAAAUGUCUUAGAUUCGCGGAACCUGGAUUGAUUUAUAGCAUACAUGUGCUUAUGCCUUUGAUCAUGUUCCCUAUGCAUUUUGUUGCUUAGUUAUGGUGCUCAAGUUGUACAAACACUCCCUGGACCUCACAAGUCCGUUGCAAAAGUGAUGCACAUGUUUAGGGGGAGAUGUGUUACAACUUGACCCUUUGAGACUAACCAUGUGCUUGAGUUUGAUGAUUUAGUCUCGAAGAAGGGUUACAAAUUGAAAGGGAAAAGGUGGACUUGGACCAUGAAAGACUUCCACUGCACUCCGAUGAGAGGGUAACUUAUUCCAAGUUCAUCUCAUGUACUCUUAUUGCCUUUAUAUUCUUAUUGAAGAUUUUGGUGAGGCAAUGGGGUUCUAGGGCCAAGAUUGAUCCCGUUUUGGUGCUUGAUGCCAAAGGGGGAGAAAAUAAAGGCCAAAGCAAUAAAUGGAUCAGCUACCACUUGAGAGAUUUUGAAAAUAGUAGAAUAGAGCUUUUGGUUUGUCAAAACUCUUUUUGUCUCUCUUGUCAAAAGUUGGCUUCUUAUGGGGAGAAGUCUUGAUUAUGGGAAAAAGGGGAGUUUUUUUUGAAAUCUUGGAUCAAUUUCUCUUGGAAUGACUCUCUUUAUGUCUUAACAUGUGUGUUUGACUUAGAGAUAGAAAUUUGAGGUUGAUUUGCAUAAACAAACCAAGUGGUGGCAAAGAGUGAUCCAUAUAUGUCAAAUGUAAAUCAAAACAGUUUGAGUUCUUAUUUGAAUUGAUUUUGCACUUGUUCUACUUGCUUUAUGUUAUGUUGGCAUAAAUCACCAAAAAGGGGGAGAUUGAAAGGGAAAUGUGCCCUUGGGCCAUUUCUAAGUAUUUUGGUGAUUGAGUGCCAACACAAGUGCUUUUGUGUUGAUCUAUGCAAUGUGGUGGACUAAGUGCAAAUCAUGUCAAAAGGUAUGUUUCUAGACUUAGUACAUUAUUUUAUGGACUAAUGUAUUGUGUCUAAGUGCUGGAAACAGGAAAAAUCGAAUUGGAAAUGAGAUGGCUUUGUUCAGCCAAGUCUGCUCAGUCUGGGAGCACCGGACUGUCCGGUGGUGCACCAGACAGUGUCCGGUGCGCCAUGCUGGCUCGAGCGAACUGGCCGCUCUCGGGAAUUCACUGGCGACGUACGGCUAUAAUUCACCGGACUGUCCGGUGUGCACCGGACUGUCCGGUGUGCACCGGACUGUCCGGUGAGCCAACGGUCGGCCGGGCCAACGGUCGGCCGCGCGAUCUGCGCGGGACACGUGGCCGAGCCAACGGCUAGAAGGAGGCACCGGACUGUCCGGUGUGCACCGGACAUGUCCGGUGCGCCAACGGCUCUCUGGCUGCUAACGGUCGGCUGCGCCAUUUAAGGAAAGAAAUCGGGCACCGGACAGUGUCCGGUGUGCACCGGACUGUCCGGUGCGCCACACGACAGAAGGCAAGGAUUGCCUUCCCAGAUUGCUCUCAACGGCUCCUAGCUGCCUUGGGGCUAUAAAAGGGACCCCUAGGCGCAUGGAGAAGAACACCAAGCAUCCUUUGAGCAUUCUUGAUCACUCACACUCCACUCUUGCGCACUUGUUCGAUAUUCUAGUGAUUUGAGCCCCGUUCUAGUGUGCUAGUCUUGUAAGCUCAAGUCUGGGUCUUGUGUGUGCGUAUUUGCUGUGAUCUUUGUGUCUUGUGUGAGUUGCUCAUCCCUCCCUUACUCUGUGAUUCUUUGUGAACAUCAAAAGUGUAAGGGCGAGAGGCUCCAAGUUGUGGAGAUUCCUCGCGAACGGGAUAAGAAAAGAAAAGCAAAACACUGUGGUAUUCAAGUUGAUCAUUGGAUCACUUGAGAGGAGUUGAGUGCAACUCUCGUCCGUUGGGACGCCACAACGUGGAGUAGGCAAGUUUUGUACUUGGCCGAACCACGGGAUAAACCACUGUGUCAUCUCUGUGAUUGAUCUCUUGUGGUUAUUGUGUUUUGUUGAGACUCCUCUCUAGCCACUUGGCAAUUAUUGUGCUAACCUUAACCAAGUUUUGUGGCUUAAGUUUUAAGUUUCACAGGAUCACCUAUUCACCCCCCCCCUCUAGGUGCUCUCAACUCUCCACCAACAAGAGAGAUAGAAAUCUAUUAGAAGCCAGAGCUCCAGCUUGCUAGUUCGAUUUGAUGGCAGCAACUAACACGACAAUGACGCUCAGCAUGAUAUGAAGAUUGCCAUCGAUAGGAAGGCUCAUCACCUGCUGUUCGCGGAGGCGAGAAAGGAUGUGGUCGACUUCUUCUCCCUACUCGUCCUGCUCGUCGGCGCGACCGUCAAACUGCUGGGGAAUAAGGGCAUGGCCGGCAGCACCGACAACCUCUAUGAUAGUGUGGAGGGCCUCGAAUACGCCCACAUCCAGACCAUUGUCGUGCAUCGAGGAAGAUGGACUUGAGACCCACUUAAUGCCUUUCCAUAAUAGUAGCAUUUUCUAUGUGAUUGGAGAUCUCAUGAAGUAGAAUGGUGAAACAAGCUAGAGAAUGACCGAUGGAGAGACUCCUUAAAUAAAAUCUAGGUAAUUUCAUAUGCACAUUUCUCCUUUGAUGUACGAUAGGCUAACUAAAAUCUUAAUAUGAUUUGAGUGACUUAUCUAAGCAGGGAUGUUAUCUUAUAGAACAUCUUAGAAGGAACACACCUAUAUGAGUUUGACUGCUAGUCACAAUCUAUGAUAUGUGGGCAAUAUUUAUAUACUCAUGAAAGGUCUCGAAGUUUGACUUAUAUGCUUCAAACCAAGGGGAUUCUUGUAAUAGUCUAGUACUAGAUAAGAACUUUGGUGAAACUCACUUCAUACAAAACUGUCAAUUCAAUAUAUAGUCUAUUGUUCAGAUGUGAUUGUGUAAUCCCUGUUCUAGAUGGAUGGUCAACUUAACAACCUCCACCAAAACCCUUAUAUAUCAAAGAGUAGUGGAUUUGAAUUUGCCUAAUAUGUAGUUUAUGGGCUUGGCUCAUUUAAAGUAUUUAAUAAUUCUGAAUGACAAGAUUAAACUAACUAUGUAUGAUCCUUUAGCUCCGUACAGAUGGUCGAUGGGAUAGUUACAUGGUUUAUGUAGAUGGACCUAUCUAUAUUCCUUCAGUGGUUGAGAGAAAGGUAAAGGUGUGUCACACUCACGCGUGCGCCGCCUCCGCCGAGACAAGGUGUGGCGUUGCAAGGUGAGGCAUGGUAUGGUGCAGCACGAUCACAGUCAUGGUCGUGGCACGAUGUAGCAUUGUUGUGGAUAGAUAGAUAAACUAUUGUUGUAGUUAGAGCGCGUGAGUUUUUGAAUGCAACACUAGAAUUUUCACAAUUUAACUUAAUUAAGAAGUUAUAUCUUGAUGACACAGAGUUACCUGACCAUUGAUCUCACAUGCCAUUUUAGCUCUCUCGUUCUCUAGUCUCACCCUAACUAUUUAGGUCUCCUGACUCACCAAUAUAAACACCAUCCUAUCAUUUGCUCUCCAAUACUUCUCUGUCACAACUCAACUAUUAGAUGAGUACUCCAUUACAACACUUACGUACACGAGUUCAUGAGAUCAGGCCUCCAAAAUGAAUAUCGGCUAAGUGUUUAUCUACUUAGAUGAAAGACGAUAAUCGUGUUCUUGGGAAAUAUCAGCGACAUAACUCCUUACUUCCUCUGCUUCUUCCUAGUGUUUUUGUUGUUGUGAUUGAGUCGACACAGCAACAACGCUGCACUAUUACAACCAGUACGAUUAUAUCAACUAACAAUGUCUUCCUUAUAUGUUACUAUUUAUUUUGCUCAUAUUCAUUAUGCUUAAAUCACAUGUGCACCUUUCUAUUGACAUCAAAAAUAGUAUCAACUUUCUAGAUUAAAAUGCAACUAAAAGUACCUAAAUUUCUAUCAGUGGGGAUUGAGUGAUUCUUUAAACCGAUUAUUACAUAAGUUAACCACACUAAAAUUAACAUUGGUGAAUCGUGCCAUGAUUUUUUUCUAGUGCAAAAUAGCCAAACCAAGCAACACAUAUGUGGCUAUCGUUACACAUUUGUAAAGGUAUUGCAUCACACCAUUGUCACCCAUGUAUUUGGACAAUAACGAGAGGAAAAACCACUUAUUUAUUGUAUUUUAUCAAGUUUGUCUUGCUUACGUAUAAAUUAUAACCCAACAAAGUAAUCACUAAAUGUCAAAACCAACUAGAUACCAUGUCAUCUCUACCUUAUCUUACUAAUGUUCUUUUUGCAAAAUCCAAAAGUAAUCUUGCACAAGCACAAGGACUGAUAUGUGUAUAAAUAUCUCUUAGAUUAGUAGUUAAUACAUCACUCAUAUUAUUAAGACCAACUAGCAACAUAGAAAGCACAAUAGUGUACCAACAAUGGCAACCAAAAUAUUUUGCUUCCUUAUGCUCCUUGGUCUUUCUGCAAGUGCUGCUACCGCGACCAUUUUCCCGCAAUGCUCACAAGCUCCUAUAGCUUCCCUUCUUCCCCCAUACCUCUCACCAGCGGUGUCUUCAGUAUGUGAAAACCCAAUUCUUCAACCCUACAGGAUCCAACAGGCAAUCGCAGCAGGCAUCUUACCUUUAUCACCCUUGUUCCUCCAACAACCGUCAGCCCUAUUACAGCAGUUACCUUUGGUGCAUUUGUUGGCACAAAACAUCAGGGCACAACAACUACAACAACUUGUGCUAGCAAACCUUGCUGCCUACUCUCAGCAACAGCAGUUUCUUCCAUUCAACCAACUGGCUGCAUUGAACUCUGCUGCUUAUUUGCAACAACAACUACCAUUCAGCCAACUAGCUGUUGUCUACCCCCAGCAAUUUCUUCCAUUCAACCAACUAGCAACAUUGAACUCUGCUGCUUAUUUACAACAGCAACAGCUACCACCAUUCAACCAGCUAGCUAAUGUGAGCCCUGCUGCCUUCUUGACACAACAAUAGUUGUUGUCGUUCUACCUGCACGCUGCGCCUAACGCUGGCACCCUCUUACAACUGCAACAAUUGCUGCCAUUCAACCAACUUGCUUUGACAAACCCAGCAGCGUUCUACCAACAACCCAUCAUUGGUGGUGCCCUCUUUU
rnacentral:lncRNA from 1 species